rnacentral:lncRNA from 1 species
CGUUUCACGCCACAGGUUUCAAUUACCGUAAUGCAAAGGUUGCGAGCUCUUCAAUUUAGGGAAUCUGGUUCACCUAUUAUGACUCUUUAUAGCGAGGCAAAAUGGUUACGCCUGUUGGAUUUACAUGAUUCCAAAAUUUCUAUGUUGNAAAGCAUUGGCGCGUGCGUUCCGGCCCCCACCAUAAUUAUUGGAGACACAGCACAAUAAUUGGAGCAAUCAUCUUCCACUGGUGGAGGAGCAUCCCCUUAUCAUCCUCUGCUUCUCUGUAGUAGGACGUUCGUAUUGAGAAGGAUUAGGCAGCAGCACGCGCGCGCGAUGGCGGAGGGGAUCGCAUUCGAAUUGGUGACGGGAGUGCUGGGCAAGCUGGGCUCCGCUCUCGGGGACGAAAUCGGGCUGCUGCGGAGCUUCAAGGACGACGCGGACGACCUCCGAAGCAACUUCUCUGCGAUCCAGGCGGUGCUUCUCGACGCCGAGGAGCGAAGCAGCGCUGGGAAGGAGAGCCACGCUCUGCGCGACUGGCUGCGCAAACUGAAGGACGCCGCCUACGACGCCGACGACCUGCUGGACGAGAUCCGGACGCAACAGCAGUACCCCGAGGUGCAGAAUCAUCAACACCAGCCAGCUGGAAAGGUACGUGGAUUUCUGUCCCGCGCUAAUCCGAUGCAUCUGAAGUUUAAGGUCAAGAUGGCGCACAGGAUGAAAGCGCUCAGAGAAAAGAUCGGUAAGAUCGCGAAACAGAGGCAUGAUUUCGGUCUUGCCGAAGCUGGCCCUCUUGGACAGGCUGAGUUCAAGCGCCCUGAGACAUUCUCGGUCGUCGACGAAAAGACAAUAGUGGGGAGAGAUGGUGAUAAAGAGGAAAUUGUGAACCUUCUCCUAGAGACUAACAGCGAUCACGACGUGUCGGUCAUUCCGAUCGUGGGAUUGGGGGGAUUGGGGAAGACGACGCUUGCUCAGCUGGCCUACAACGACGAGCGGGUUACGGACGAGCUGGUUACGGGCCAGAAGCGCUUUGAUCUACGGGUGUGGGUCUGCGUGUCUACCGAUUUCCACAUGAAGACGAUUGCAAAGCCGGUGAUAUCUGCAGCUGGAGAAAAUUGUGCUCUUGAUAACUCGGAUGCCGUUGCCACUUGCCUUGUCAGGAUCUUUAGCCAGAAGAGAUUUUUGCUGGUGCUGGAUGAUGUAUGGAACGAAGAUCAGAAUAAGUGGAAGGAAUUGAAUGUUGUAUUUAAGAACAGCAAGAAGGGAAGUAAAGUCUUAGUGACCACGCGGAGCGAAAAGGUUGCCGAGAUAAUGAAAACAGUCAAACCGCACCGUGUGAAAGGCUUAUCAGAUGAUGAUUGUUGGACAUUGUUCAAAAGACGGGUAUUCGAUGAUGGGGAAGAGAACUACUAUCCGAGUUUGGUCGCAAUCGGAAAGCAGAUAGUUAAGAAGUGCGGCGGUGUGCCGUUAGCAGCAAAUGCUUUAGGAAGUAUGAUGCGCUUUAAGAGCAGGACAGAGGAUGCAUGGUCCGCUAUUAGAGAUAGCGAAAUUUGGAGUCUGAAAGAAGAGAAAACUAUUUUACCAUCGUUAAAGUUGAGCUACAUUCAGAUGCCGUCGGCUUUGAAGCAGUGCUUUUGUGACGCCCCAACUUCCCAGGAGGUCACCCAUCCUAGGACUACUCCCGUCCUAGCACGCUUAACUCUCUUAACCUCUUAGGCCUUGCUACCACCCAAAAUGCUUAAGCUGGGUUAAGAGUUUAGCCCUAUUAUAUCUUGUAUAUAGGACUACCCGGGGUCUCACAGCUUUGCUUACUGCUCCAUAUUCCCCAAAGACUAUGAGAUUGACAAGGAUGACUUGAUCCGGCAAUGGAUUGCUUUAGGCUUCAUUUCAUCGCAUGAAACAUGGACUUCGACGGAAGAUAUUGGGAAUGAGUACUUUAACAAUCUAUUAUGGAUGUCUUUCCUUCAAGACGUGAAGGAAAAUUAUAGAAAGGUUACCACCUGUCGGAUGCAUGAUUUAGUGCACGACCUCGCACAAUCUGUAGCAAGAGAAGAAGUUGCUGCUAUAGUUGGAAAAGAGUCAACAGGGUUCCCGGAAGGUUGUCGCUAUGCAUCAAUACACAGUAGUUUCAUGCCACAGAUUCCAACCACAGUAGUGCGGAGGUUGCGAGCUCUUCAAUUUAGGAAAUCUGGUUCACUUAUUAUGGAUUUUUAUAGCGAUGCAAAAUGCUUAUGCCUGUUGGAUUUACAUGGUUCCAAAAUUUCUAUGCUGCCAAGCUCAAUCGGUAAGUUGAAGCUCAUANUAAGAUACCUCAACCUUUCGAAGAACAGUAUACAAGAAUUGCCUGAAUCAACUACCAGCCUCUGCAACUUGCAAACCUUGAAUCUUUCACGCUGCCGCGAGAUCCGUACAUUACCCAAAUUUCUAGGAAGGCUUACGAAUUUGCGGAUUUUAGAUUUAGGAGGUUGCCUAUCUCUGACAAUACUGGACUCCAUUAGCAACCUUCAGAAUUUGUACACACUAGAUUUGAGUUGGUGCCAAAAGGUGAUAUCACUUGAACCUAUAUGUCACCUCAAAAACCUGCAUGACUUAAACCUAUCAUGUCUAAAAUCUUUGGUGGCAUUACCUGAAUCCAUUGGGAGCCUUCAAAACUUGCGUAUUCUGAACCUUUCUUGGUGCUAUUCCCUACUAUCAUUACCCUCAUCGUUAUGUCACCUCAAAAACCUGCAUAGGUGCUCUUCUCUAGAAUCGUUACCCUCAUCGUUAUGUCACCUCAAAAACCUGCAUCACUUAAACCUAUCGUGUCUAAAUUCUUUGGUGGCAUUACCUGAAUCCAUUGGGAGCCUUCAAAACUUGCAUAUUCUGAACGUUUCUGAAUGCUCGUCUCUAGAAUCAUUACCCUCAUCGUCAAGUGAUCUUCAGCAUUUAGAGAAACUCGACAUCCGUGAUUGUGGAAAAUUAUGUGAGCUGCCUAAAAUGAUCCAAAAGCUGACCAAACUUAGAGUCUUGUUAAACAACAAUUGCUCGGAAUUGAAGGGCAUGCCCCGAGGGAUCGGCAAGUUAGUUAGCUUGCAGGAAUUGUCCGUUUUUGUCGUCGGCAAGCAAGACCGCGUCGAACAUUGUGCCAGCAUCUCUGAGCUAGAGCACUUGAAGCUUGUCGGCCAGCUGCGGAUCAAGGGUCUCGAGAAUGUGACGAGUCCGGUUGAUGCCAAGGCUGCAAAUUUGAUAGAGAAGAACCUGCGGUCUUUGAAGUUGGAAUGGAACGUUUUAAGCGCAGAAGAAGCCGUGUUAGAAAAUCUUCAACCACAUCAAAAGCUAGAGAAUUUGGAAAUAGGAGGCUAUGGAGGCGGGAAGUUUCCUAGCUGGAUGAUGAACAGGAUUGGCUCGUGCCUCCCAAAUCUCGUUAAAAUCAAACUAGCGAAUAUGCCCGGAUGCAGCUCACUUCCGCAGCUGGGGCAACUUCCUUUUCUUGAAGAACUGACUAUACGAAACAUGCCCGCGGUAACAAAUUUGGGCGUAGAUAAGUUCCCUGCGCUGACGACACUUGAGUUGUCCUCCAUGCCGGAGCUGCGAGAAUGGGUGACUGUGUUGACGGUGGAUGACGAAGAAGGCAGGCGAGAGCGAGUUCCCAUUUUUCCGCGUCUCACUCAAUUGUGGCUUAAAGGAUGUCCUCAAUUGAGGCCGGAGCCUUGCGUCCCGCCAUCGGUUAAGUAUCUGACCAUUUCUAGAGCAAGCAAGGAGAAUCUAUCGUUGAUACUCGAACGCGCGAUGCCAUUUGGAGGCGGUGAUGCCGCCGUUUCACCCCAACCGCCACCAGAUAAGGGGCUGCGGGAUCUAGUAAUAAACGAAUGUCAGCAGCUUACCUGUUUGCCCGAGAGCUUGCGGGGUCUCACGUCCCUCCAGCGGCUGAGAAUAUCUGAUUGUGAAGAUCUUGAGAGAAUUGAAGAUUGGCUCGGGGAGCUCUCCGACCUGCAGUCCUUGGAGAUCUGGGAGUGCAGCAGUCUCCGUUACUUGCCUGCGCACAAGAUGACCACACUUCAGGAGUUAGAUAUUAACAAGUGCCCCCUGUUGUUCGAUGCGGACGGACGAUUUGUCGACACCAGUGUCGAUCACAUCAAAAAUGUCGAAGUUGAUGGGAGGUAAUUAAUUUGGAACUCUGACUACUCUUUAAUUAAUGAGCUAGCACCUUAAUAUUCUAUUGUAGCUAGCAUGAACAUCUCGGUUUUUUUUUUNCUCUGCAACUUGCAAGCCUUGAAUCUUUCAGGCUGCCGUGAGAUCCGUACAUUACCCAAAUUUCUAGGAAGGCUUACGAAUUUGCGGAUUUUAGAUUUAAGGGAUUGCCCAUCUCUGACAAUACCUGACUCCAUUAGCAACCUGCAGAAUUUGUAUGCACUAAAUUUGAGUUUGUGCAAAAACGUGAUAUCACUUGAACCUAUAUGUCACCUCAAAAACCUGCAUUACCUAGACCUAUCAUAUCUAGAUUCUUUGGUGGCAUUACCUGAAUCCAUUGGAAGCCUUCAAAAUUUGCGUGGUCUCAACCUUUCUAGCUGCUCUUCUCUAGAAUGGUUACCCUCAUCAUUAUGUCACCUCAAAAACCUGCAUCUCUUAAACCUAUCAAAUCUAGAAUCUUUGGUGGCAUUACCUGAAUGCAUUGGGAGCCUUCAAAACUUGCGUAUUUUGAGCCUUUUUGGCUGCUCUUCUCUAAAAUCAUUACCCUCAUCAUUAUGUGAUCUCAAAAACCUGCAUGACUUAAACCUAUCACGUCUAAAAUCUUUGGUGGCAUUACCUGAAUCCAUUGGGAGCCUUCAAAACUUGCGUAUUCUGAAUGUUUCUAAAUGCUAUUCUCUACUAUCGUUACCCUCAUCGUCAAGUGAUCUUCAGCAUUUAGAGAAACUCGACAUCAGUGGUUGUAAAAAAUUAUGUGAGCUGCCUAAAAUGAUCCGAAAGCUGACCAAACUUAGGGUCUUGUUAAACAACAAGUGCUCAGAAUUGAAGGGCAUGCCCCGAGGGAUCAGCAAGUUAGUUAGCUUGCAGGAAUUGUCCGUUUUUGUCGUCGGCAAGCAAGACCGCGUGGAACAUUGUGCCAGCAUCUCUGAGCUCGAGCACCUUAAGCUUGUCGGCGAGCUGGAGAUCAAGGGUCUUGAAAAUGUGACGAGUCCGGUUCAUGCCAAGGCUGCAAAUUUGAUAGAGAAGAACCUGCGGAAUUUGAAGUUGGAAUGGAAAGUUUUAAGUGCGGAAGAAGGCACGGAUAGUACUGUACUACCGGUGGAAGAGAUCGAAACCGUGCUUGAAAAUCUUCAACCACAUCAAAAGCUAGAGAAUUUGAAAAUAGAAGGCUAUGGAGGCGGGAAGUUUCCUAGCUGGAUGAUGAAUAGGAUUGGCUCGUGCCUCCCUAAUCUACUUCAAAUCGAACUAGCGGAUAUGCCCGGAUGCAGCUCACUUCCGCAGCUGGGGCAACUUCCUUUUCUUAAAGAACUAACUAUACGAAAUAUGCCCGCAGUAACAAAUUUGGGGGUAGAUAAGUUCCCUGCGCUGACGAGACUUGACUUGUCCUCCAUGCCGGUGCUGCGAGAAUGGGUGACUGUGUUGACGGUGGACGACGAAGAAGGCAGGCGAGAGCGAGUUCCCAUUUUUCCGCGUCUCACUGGAUUGUGGCUUAAAGAAUGUCCUCAGUUGAGGCCGGAGCCUUGCCUGCCGCCAUCGGUUUUGAUUAUGAUCAUUUCUAGAACAAGCAGCGAGAAUCUAUCGUUAAUUCUCGAACGCGCGACGCCAUUUGGUGAUGGUAAUGCCGCCGUUUCACACCAACCGCCACCAGAUAAGGGGCUGCAGGAUCUAGUAAUAAACGAAUGUCAGCAGCUAACUUGUUUGCCCGAGAGCUUGCGGGGUCUCACGUCCCUCCAGCGCCUGGACAUAUGGGGUUGCCAUGAUCUUGGGAGAAUUGAAGAUUGGCUCGGGGAGCUCUCCGACCUGCAGUCCUUGACCAUCUCGAAGUGCCGCAGUCUCCGUUACUUGCCUGCCCGCAAGAUGGCCGCACUUCAGAUGUUAUCUAUCGGGAAUUGCCCGCUGUUGUUCGAUGCAGACGGACAAUUUGUCGACACCAGUGUCGAUCACAUCAAAGAAGUCUAUGUUAAUGGAAGGUAAUUAAUUUGGAACUCUGACUACUCUUUAAUUAAUUAGCUGGCUAGCACCUAAAUAUUAAUUCUAUCGUAGCUAGCAUAAACAUCUCUUUUUCUUUUUCUUUUUUUUUUCUAAAUAUUCGGAUGGAAAACUUUCAAUUAGCCCCACCGCACCUGAUUCAGAGCAUUUUCGUUUGCUAUGAAAUAUUUCAUUUUGCUAUUUUAUAGUUUUGUUUUUAUUUUCUUGCAAAAAUCUUCUACAAGAAAGAAAAAAGAAACAAAUUAAAGUGCUAAAAUGUAUGAAUUAUAAGGCUGUCAAUUAAUUUAUUUUACAAACCACAUAGGGACUGUGUGAAAUAUAUAUAUAUAAUCAUUUUAGUAUUUUAUGGUUUAUAAAUUUAUCACUUUAAUACUCCACUUUAAUUACUUGAGAUUGGAUAUAAUCAUAGGAUUUUCAAGUAAAACUAUUUAAAACGUAGUGUGGCAAAAAGAAAACACAUUAAACUACAUUUCAAUAUCAAAAGUGCAAUUAAGAUAUUCGAAAACAUGGUUGGUUUUCUGGAAAAAUUUUCAAGUGGUCUCUUGCAUGUGCAUAGACUAAUUAAUGAAAUUUUAAUCUUUUCUUAAUUUGUAGCGAUUUGAGAUGCCAGAAAAUUUCUACUUGAACGAUAUAUAGUAUUUACAAAGUAAUUAUUUUCAGUGAUAUUGUUGAUAUACUAUUUGAGUCCUUGGAUAUUUUUUUUUACAAAUUGAAAUUAGGUAUCUUAUAUAUCAUACAUUAUUAAAAUGUCUAAGCAAAAUGUCCAGCACAUGUUGCACGAGCGUCGGAUAAAAAAUAACCAUUUUGUGUUGUUGUGUUGUAGUUCUUACCGGUACAAGAAACAAGCGAGCAGCUCACCACAGGAGGAAGAGAGCUCAGCGAAGGAGGAGAAGAAGAUUGGUUAGCGAGNGAAAAAUUUCUACUUGAACGAUAUAUAGUAUUUACAAAGUAACUAUUUUUGGUCAUAUUGUUGAUAUAUUAUUCAAGUCCUGGAAUAUUUUUCUUUAUAAAUUGAAAUCAGGUAUGUUAUAUAUCAUACGUUAUUAGAAAGUCUAAGCAAAAUGUGCAGCACAUAUAUACUGCACGAGCGUCGAAUAAAAAAGUAACUAUUUUGUGUUGUUGUGGUGUAGAAAAUACCCGUACAAGGAACAAGCGAGCAGCUCGCCACAUGUGGAAGAGAGCUCACCGAAGGAGGAGGAGGAGAAGAAGAUUGGUUAGCGAGGAGAGCAUAAGUAUAUGUACCUAUUAUUUGGAGGUAAAAAGAUAUUAGAUAUUAUCUAAACUAUACUGCACUUUGAAAGCGGCCAAUUGGGCUUUACGAAAUUCGAUUUUAAUUCGAUUUUGACAUAAGAAAUUUUCUUUGAAAGAUUUGUUAGAUCCUUUUAGAAUUUAGUCUCUUCCGUUAAACAAAGUGCAGAAUGUUUCAUAAAAUAACAAAAUAUUUUUUUUAUCAAAUUUUAAAAUAUUUUAUCAAAAAAUGUUAAGUAACCUUUCAAAUUCUCUAUGGAACAUAAUAAACACGGCGGAAAGUUAGAGAGUAGAAUUAAAUUUUUUAAAGUUCNAUAUAUAUAUAUAUAUAUAUAUAUAUAUAUAAUUGAGCCAGAAUACUGUUAAAAGAACCAACCCCUUGGUACUUUUGAGUUUCUAGCCCUUGGAUCUACUCCUUGAUUAUUAAUAAUCUUUGAAUCAAACACUAUUCCACCUACCACCACUUACCACCAUCAUCUCAACCCUACAUCUUUCCAUUCAAUAGCUAAAAACUCAAAAGCACCAAUCCCUUGGUGCUUUUGAGAGUAUUCUAGUUCAACUCUUCCUCUCUCUCUCUCUCUCUCUCUCUCUAUAUAUAUAUAUAUAUUAGUAUUUUAUGGUUUAUAAAUUUUAGCACUUUAGUACUCUACUCUACUUUAGAUAGGUUCUUAUGAUCGUAUAUAAUUAAAAAAAAAAUCCAUAGGAUUUUCAAGUAAAACUAUUUAAAACGUAUGGCGGCAAAAUGAAAACGGGUUAAACCACAUUUCAAUAUCAAAAGUGCAGUUAAGAUAUUCGAAAACAUGGUUGGUUUUCUGGAAAAAAAUUCAAGUGGUCUCUUGCAUGUACAUAGAGUAAUUAAUGAAAUUUUAACCUUUUCUUAAUUUGUAGCGAUUUGAGAUGCUGGAAAAUUUCUACUUGAACGAUAUAUAGUAUUUACAAAGUAAUUAUUUUCGGUCAUAUUGUUAAUACACUAUUCAAGUUCUGGGAUAUUUUUCUUUACAAAUUGAAAUCAGCUAUGUUAUAUAUCAUACGUUAUUAGAAAGUCUAACCAAAAUGUACAAUACAUAUAUGCUGCACGAGCGUCGGAUAAAAAAGUAAUCAUUUUGUGUUGUUGUGCUGUAGAAAAUACCCGUACAAGGAACAAGCGAGCAGCUCACCACAUGUGGAAAAGAGCUCACCGAAGGAGGAGAAGGAGAAGAAGAUUGGUUAGCGAGGAGAGCAUAAGUAUAUAUACCUAUUAUUUGGAGGUAAAAGGAUAUUAGAUAUUAUAUCUAUACUAUACUGCACUUUGAAAGUGGCCAAUUGGGCUUUAUGAAUUUUGAUAUUAAUUCGAUUUUAAUUCAAUUUUGAUAUAAGAAAUUUUCUUUGAAAGAUUUGUUAGAUCUUUUUAGAAUUUAGUCUCUUCCGUUAAACAAAGUGCAGAAUGUUUCAUAAAAUAAAAAAUAAUUUUUUAAUCAAAUUUUAAAAUAUUUUAUCAAAAAAUGUUAAGUAUCUCAAAGGACCAUAAUAAGCACUGCGGAAAGUUAGAGAGUAGAAUUAAAUUUUUUAAAGUUCAGUUAUUUAUCUCAAAGCGUAGUAUAGCUCACGUAAGAAUCAUUCUCUUUUAGCUUAUUUGGUGAUCACUAUUCCCCUUUGAGAAGAGUUUUCUUUUUCCCUUUGUUUUGCCAAAAAUAAACAAAUUUUAUAUAUCUACAUGCAAUGGUGACAGUUUUUAUUCAUAAACUUGUGGCCUUCUCUUUCAAGUUGGUGCUAUUUAGCUUUCCGGACAAGAAUUGUAGUGUGCUGUUGUCGGGUUAAUAUAUAUUUGUGUUUUCGUGAUAUAAAUUUAGUUUCGGAAUGUACUAUUUUAUAAUUUGGUUUGAUUGUUGGUAAUUUUAUGGUGUUCUCUAUAUAUGUUAUGGGCUUGAAAAAGAUUGUUUGGUUUGAAUAAACAAAAUGUUGCUACUUUUUUAAUACGGAUAUUAGAGGGUACAUUAAUUUUUAAGUAAAUCUCACGUAGAGUUUAUUACUAGCUAGUAUAUAUGCAUUGUGUUACGAACUUGUUUAAAAUCAGAUGCUGUUUUUGGCAUGCAAGUUGAAGCUAGUAUAUAUGUAUGUACCGCAGUUGAGAGGGUUAAUUUCCAUCUAUGUUUACUUUAAUUUAUCUUUUCUUUUAUUUGAUUAGAUCCGAAUUAAGCCGAUAAAUUUUAAAGUAUUAAAAGUUUUAUUAUUUUGCUUUCUGCAAGAUUUUUAGUUUUUAAAUUCNUGAAGUACUAAAAUUUUAUUAAUUUUCUUUUCGCAAGAUUUUUAGUUUUUAAUUCCCCAAAUUCGAAAUCAAUUUAUUACUAAAAUCAAACUUGAGGUGCUUUUCCCAUUUGGUUUUCACGAAACGUGUGGUUUAAAUGGGAAUAUAGAUUUAUGUUGCCGCACAAUUUAAUUUAUUUGAUUUAAGCGAUUUGAUUACUUUUUUAAUAUAAAAUUUAGAAUAAUUAUUUAUUUCAAUAAAUUUAUAUUUGCAUAAUUAAAAAUAUAUUUAAAAUUUUAAAGUCAAAGAGUCAUUAGUUGAUUUAAAUCAAAUAAAUUAAAAGAUUAUAUAGCAAAAUUAAAAUUUUUAAAGAUUAGAUAAUCAGAUUAAAAGAACUGACAGUCGGGGCGAGUUAUAUAAAUUUUUGACUUUUUUAUCCAAGAAAUCUGGAAAAUUAAAAGAGGUAUUUACUUCAAAAUAUGUUAAACUAUUAUUAUUAUUAUUAUUAUUAUUAUUUUACCAUAAAGCAUUUUCGAGAACCUAACAUUUGGGACCAACCGUAAAAAUAAUAAGAAAAAUUGUGCGAAAUUAACUGAAAAUUUAUUUUAUUGAAAAUCUCACCGUGAAUUUUUUUUUUUAUUGUCUAUUCUUUCUGAUUUGAGUUUGCUUUUCUUCUUCUUUUUUUUUGGGAAAAUGCAGUAUGCAUAAUUGAUCCUUGAUUUAUACUAUAGUUUCAGCUUAACAACUGGAAAAAAAAAUGCUAUAAAAAUUAAAUAUGUGGAUAAAAUAUUAAGGUAUCGCAUAAAUAUAACCGCAUAGUUCUUCAAUAACAAUUAAGCACAAUUUUAUAGCUUCGGACGAGAAAAGAUUAGAAGCAGUUUUAAAAUUUUUGGACCUUUCAAAAUAUGAAAAUGUUGCUUCUUACCACUACGUUCCUAAAGAAAGUUGGGUUAGUUGCAAUUUUUUAUACUUACGAAUUAAAUGAAUGAAAUACAAUAAAAAGAAAAUAUUAAGGAUGAAUAAAACCUUGGUGCAUCACCUGUUUGGAUGCACCAGGUGUAGGCAGUGAUUUUUCAUAAAACGAAAUCGUAAAGCGUUAAAGAAUAGGUAGUCAAAUUAAUUUAAAUUUUUAAAUAUUAGAUAAUUAAUUUCAAAUUAUAAAAGUUCAGAUUAAUUAAGUACAUUUUUAUACCCAAAAAUUAAACACAGCAACAACAACAACAACAUGACCACUGCAAAGAGGGGUCUUUCUUUCUCAUAAAGAACAGGGCAUCCCGUGCACCAAGAUACGAAUUUGGUUGAUCAAGAGAGAAAAUUUUGGCUCUCCAAUAGAUAGAACAAAAACUUGCUGCAUACAAUUGUGGAGCAAAGCCUUUUUUAAAAUAAAAAAGGUGAUAAAACCUUAAUUAGCAAGAGAUGUUUUAUGUACGAAAUUAUUUUUAUUUUUAUUUUUUAAGAGAUAGGUAGCACGCCACCUACUUCGUUUAUUUCAUUUAGAAAUAAACUUAGCUGAAAAUAUGAAUCAACUAGGAUUCGAACUUGGGUCUCGGGUACUAACCACUAAGCCCUUUGCCACUUGCUUUAGGAACGGUCGGUUAUGUACGAUAAAUUAACAAGUGCAUUUAUGUAUGGUAACUUGGUAACGGUUAUACCUUCCUACUUGUACUGUUUGGAUUCAUUAGUGAUAUUUGCAGUUUGUUAUGAAUGCAUUAAGCAGUGCAAUGUGUACGUAUGCUUCAAAAGCUAGGUGUUUCGCCAAAUAAUUAAUCGAAUGGUUUAAGCUAGGUGUGUUGCCCAAAGAUUCAAAUAAAUGGUUCAAGUUAGGGGUUUUUUAAAAAAAUUCUUGUUAAGUAUUGGAUGGAUCUUUGCUUCAAUCUGAGCAGUUUUGGAGUUAACAGCUUGUUUUGGAUACUCUCUAAUACUAUUUUUUGAAAUAGAGUUGUUACUGUUAAGUGUUAAAUAUAAAAAUGUUUAAAUACCGUUUUCUAACAAUUUAAGCUUUUAGAGUACAACGGUUAUUUCACAUGGUAUCAGAGCAGGAGGUUCUAAGUUCGAGUCACGCUAGGCUCCUAGCAUAUUAAUUUUCUUCCAUUUAAUUCAAGCCCACGUCAUGGGCCGAUUAAAAAGUUUUGAGCCCAGACGUGAGGGGGAGUGUUAAGUGUUAAAUAUAAAAAUGUUUAAACACCGUUCUCUAAGUACAACGGUUGUUUCACAGUUACUACAGUUACUCCUCUUGUUGAUGUACUGCAGUACUGGGUGAUGCUACUGGUGUCUUUGAAUGAUGAGUUUAGACCAAUAGCAGCUAAGUUAAAAAUUGAAACAGUUUCAAUCUUAAAACUUCUAAAUAAUAAUAGUAUUUAAGAUUGCUUUUAGUUUUAGCUCAGCAUCUAAAUUGUUCUCCAGCAAUCCAUACAUAUUUGCCUUUUGAUGUAGAAUCAUUGGGCAUACACUUCACAGUUUAAGAAAAGCUGCAUAAUAGAAAAGCUGCAAAAUCAUAAAUAGAAUGAGUGCAUAAAUAGAAGAGAAUUAAUUAAUAACAUUGAUGUCUAAAACAAAUUUCUCCUUCAUGAAGUUUUGAGUCAUCAUCCUACUUGCUUCAUUUCUCUCGCUGCCAUCAACAUGCAUCUUGGAUGCAUUAGGAUUUACUUAAAGUGACAACAAAAGUGAACAAAAACCAAAGCAAAAUAAAAAAGCAAAAUAAAGGAGUAGCAACAAAUAAAAACAAUAAACUCUGAAAGGCAUUAACAUAGAUUGAAGCCAAAUGCACAGCUAAACAAGUAGCGUGGGUCAGUCCAUAAAAAUCUCUAGAUGCUGCAUGUAGUCCUCUAAAUCUUGCAAUUUAUCUGAAAUAAAAAGAGAUGCAUCAUGUGCAGAAGUAUGUAACACUAAGGAUUGCAGAUGUAGGCGAUCUGAUCAUGAGCAACUACAAACUAUGGCUGGCACACAUUUAUUUAAUUAUAUUUUACUUGUUCACUAAGCGGAGAGCCAGCUCAGCCACCAUGAUCAUUGCUCUCUUUUACGAAGUGGGGCGUGUGAAAUUGCCCCACUCUACUUUUAUUUUUUUCACUUAUAUUUAUUUGUCUCAAUUAGAUCUCUAUAUUAAUAACAAUGUUAUUUUCUUUUUUGUUUUAAACCUAUGUUAAGACCAUCAAGAGUUGAGUAGCAGUUGAGAUCUAUGGCAAUGGUGACAACAAUGAAAAACAAAUGAGCUGUUGUCUCUAAUAAUAUAAUGAGAAUGCCAAUUUAAUUUUAAUUUGAAUCCGUAAAUUUAAAUUUUAAUUUGAAUCCAUAAAUUUAAUUUAAGUUUGAAAUAAAAUUUCAAUAAAAUNCAGUAAGUCUAUUGAUCUGUCGUAGAGAAAGAGUUGUUAUUUAAUUUAUGAAGAAAUAUAACUUCAAAAUAAGAAAUACGACUGGUGCAUUCAAAAGUAGAGUGUAAAUCUAAGAUUUAUCCUCAAUAUGAAAUUUGUUUAAAAUCUCAUCUUAGCAUCCUUUCAGUGUAAGGACUAGUUUACUGGAAUAGGCUUUGGCAUCCUACCUAAUUCCAUAUAACGUUUUGAUUCUGGUGGUCGCAGUAGGGUAAAUUUGAAUUUAUCAAAUCAACUUAUCAUGACACAUAACUUCUCUUUGCUUUUCCUUUUUUGUUUUUCCUUUUCUUUUUGGAUAAAAGCCUUCCCAUGCUUGUAUGCAAGAGAUUAUAACGGGAUUGCUUAUGAAUAUAAGAGAAGAUUGAUGUUUAUUUUUUGAAAUUUGUUGUUUGUCUGACGAUCCUGAUUAAAUAAUAUGAAGUACAUAUCUCUGUUUCUUACAUUUAUUUGAUCUUUAUAUACGUUUCAUUUUGGUCCUCAAACUUUCAAGUUCCGAGACUAUGAACUCUUAAAAUAUUUUGCACAUCUACCGUUAGAUGGUAAUUUAUUGCCUAAACCUAAUAUACGUGUACUACAUAUUUGUAUACUUAUUUAUCGACUCUGUACUGUUAUGUUAUUUCUACAUUGCCGCUUGUAGAUUUACAAUUUUUUUUUUUUAAUUUAGAAAUUAGAGUAUUGAAUUGAAAGUAUGAGAUGAGAGAUGGGUUGAUGAAUUUGUGGUGCACAAACAUGCCGGUAACAUUUUCCAAGGUAUCGCUGUUCAUUAUUUUGAGGAAUAAUAUAUUUUAUUAUGAGAUAAUUUAUCUUUCCGUGAAAAAAUUGAAUUUUAGGCUAAAUAUUUUAUCCAUUCUAGGAGUUUUCUUAUACUCCUCACAGUAUGAAAUAAUUGCACAAAGCUAGAGUUUCUAUUUUGCACAAACUUAAAUUAACCCCUCCUAUGAUUUACUGUAUUUUUUUAAUUCUGCAAUCGUGCGACUUAGAAGUUUUAUUUUGCUAUCCCAUAGUUUUGUCUUUGUUCUACCGUAACAAUUUGUCAUUAAAUAGAAUAGUAAUGUAAGAUUAUUGUAAAUUAUAAUAAUAAUAUGGUUUGUAAAUUAUAAUAAUUUAGUUACAUGUGGUUUAUAAGUUACACUAUUUUCGCAACUAAUUCAACUGAAGGGCCUUAUAGUGAUAAAAAAAAAAUUAAAAAUUUAAAAACAAGGGCAAUAUGUCAAAGCCAAAGUUUUUUUAACCACAUAUUGAAAAAGUGAAAAUAUGCUAAUUUAUAGGGGGCUAAUUAGAAGUUUAUUACAUCCUCUUUUAUAGCGCUAUUCCAUCCAAAGGCCUACAUUUUCACACUAAUUUUAUCAAUUUUUUCUUUGUUCAUAUUAAAAACUUAAAAGUAUUGUGUAAUUUUUUAAAUAUGUGAGUAUAAGAUUUACACUGCACUUUUGAGUGGGUAUAAUAUAUAAAAAGAAUAAAAGCUAAAUCUUAAAAUUCAUCCGUUGACUUAUCAUCCACAUUAUCAGUCAAAAUUUUUAUUUGGACAAGAGUGAUUUUUCAAUCUCUUUUUUUAUUACAUUUGUCACCUAAACAAUUUCAAUAGCAUUUGGAGGUACCAUCUGGAUUUAGGGUUGAGGGUUUGUUCGUAAACUUCGAUUGGCGAAAGUGGUAGCAACGUGCAUGUACUAAAUUGCAUAAGAGUAAAGUCGCAAAAACGUAAAGAGAAUCGGUUCACAAAUAGAAGACGAUUUUAAUUAAUAGCAUUGAUGUCUAAAAAAAAAUUUCUCCUUCAUAAAGUUUUGAGUCAUCAUCCUACUCGCUUUCUUCAUUAAUUACCAUCGCCGCCAUCAACAUGCAUCUUUGAUGCAUCAGGAUUUACCUGAAGUGAAAAGUCCUCCUUUAAGGGACCUUGCAAAAAAAAAAAAAAAAAAAAAAGAAGGUCCCCCUCCUCCUUAAACAUCUUCGUUGCGGUUUUAUUCGUUUCCUCCUUUCCAAGCACGAGAGAGGGGGAAAAAAAAAACCAACAAAGGGAGCUUGCUUCUCUGCCUCUUUAUCCGAAAAUAUUUUUAUAAAUUGUACAAUUGGGUAAAGAUUGAUCAUUGACCCAUGGGGUGUAUUUCACUAGUUACAUUGAUGUUAUUAGUAAAAUACACUUUAUUUUUAAAUAGAUGGGGUGUAUAUUCUAUACCCAAUGAAUGUAUAAGUAAGAGUUUUAAAAAAAAAACAAAAAAAAAGAGUAAAAAAAAAAAAGCAUUGGCGCGUGCGUUCCGGCCCCCACCAUAAUUAUUGGAGACACAGCACAAUAAUUGGAGCAAUCAUCUUCCACUGGUGGAGGAGCAUCCCCUUAUCAUCCUCUGCUUCUCUGUAGUAGGACGUUCGUAUUGAGAAGGAUUAGGCAGCAGCACGCGCGCGCGAUGGNAAAGCAUUGGCGCGUGCGUUCCGGCCCCCACCAUAAUUAUUGGAGACACAGCACAAUAAUUGGAGCAAUCAUCUUCCACUGGUGGAGGAGCAUCCCCUUAUCAUCCUCUGCUUCUCUGUAGUAGGACGUUCGUAUUGAGAAGGAUUAGGCAGCAGCACGCGCGAGCGAUGGCGGAGGGGAUCGCAUUCGACUUGGUCGAAGGAGUGCUGGGCAAGCUGGGCUCCGCUCUCUGGGACGAAAUCGGGCUGCUGCGGAGCUUCAAGGACGACGCGGACGACCUCAGAAGCAACUUCUCGGCGAUCCAGGCGGUGCUUCUCGACGCCGAGGAGCGAAGCAGCCCUGGGAAGGAGACCCACGCUCUGCGCGACUGGCUGCGCAAACUGAAGGACGCCGCCUACGACGCCGACGGCCUGCUGGACGAGAUCCGGACGCAAGCGGCCCUCCGGCAACAACAGCAUCCGGAGGUGCAGAAUCAAAACCAGCCAGCUGAAAAGGUACGUGAAUUCCUGUCCCACGCUAAUCCGAUGCGUCUGAAGUUUAAGGUCAAGAUGGCACACAGGAUGAAAGAGCUCAGAGAGAAGAUCGGUAAGAUCGCGAAACAGAGGCAUGAUUUCGGUCUUGCCGAAGCUGACCCUCUUCGACAGGCUGAGUUCAAGCGCCCUGAGACAUUCUCGGUUGUCGACGAAAAGACAAUAGUCGGGAGAGAUGGUGAUAAAGAGGAAAUUGUGAAGCUUCUCCUAGAGACUAACAGCGAUCACGACGUGUCGGUCAUUCCGAUCGUGGGAUUGGGGGGUUUGGGGAAGACGACGCUUGCUCAGCUGGCCUACAACGACGAGCGGGUUACGGACGAGUUGGUUAUGGGCCAGCAGCGAUUUGAUCUACGGGUGUGGGUCUGCGUGUCUACCGAUUUCCACAUGAAGAAGAUUGCAAAGCCGGUGAUAUCUGCAGCUGGAGAAAAUUGUGCUCUUGAUAACUCGGAUGCCGUCGCCAGUUGCCUUGUCAGGAUCUUUAGCCAGAAGAGAUUCUUGCUGGUGUUGGAUGAUGUGUGGAACGAAGAUAAAGGGAAGUGGAAGGAAUUGAAGGUUGUAUUUAAGGACGGCAGGCAGGGAAGUAAAAUCUUAGUAACCACACGAAGCGAAAAGGUCGCCGCGAUAAUGAAAACAGUCGAACCACACCGUGUGAAAGGCUUAUCAGAUGAUGAUUGUUGGACAUUGUUCAAAAGGCUGGCAUUCGAUGAGGGGGAAGAGAACGACUAUCCGAGUUUGGUCGCAAUCGGAAAGCAGAUAGUAAAGAAGUGCGGCGGCGUGCCUUUAGCAGCGAAUGCUUUAGGAAGUAUGAUGUAUUCAAAGAACAGGACAGAGGAUGCAUGGUCCGCUACUAGGGAUAACGAAAUUUGGAGUCUGCAAGAAGAGAAAACUAUUUUACCAUCAUUAAAGUUGAGCUACAUUCAGAUGCCGUCGGCUUUGAAGCAGUGCUUUGCUUACUGCUCCAUAUUCCCAAAAGACUACGAGAUUGACAAGGAUGACUUGAUCCGGCAAUGGAUUGCUUUAGGCUUCAUUUCAUCGCAUGAAACAUGGACUUCGAUGGAAGAUAUUGGGAAUGAGUACUUUAACAAUCUAUUAUGGAUGUCUUUCCUUCAGGACAAAGAAUAUAGAAAGGUUACCACCUGCCGGAUGCAUGAUUUAGUGCACGACCUCGCACAAUCUGUAGCAAGAGAAGAAGUUGCUGUUAUAGUUGGAGAAGAGUCAACAAGGAUCCCGGAAAGUUGCCGCUAUGUCUUGAUAUACAGUCGUUUCACGCCACAGGUUUCAAUUACCAUAAUGCGGAGGUUGCGAGCUCUUCAAUUUAGGGAAUCUGGCUCACUUAUUAUGGCUUUUUAUAGCGAGGCAAAAUGCUUACGCCUGUUGGAUUUACAUGGUUCCGAAAUUUCUAUGCUGCCAAGCUCAAUCGGUAAGUUGAAGCUCUUAAGAUACCUCAACCUUUCGUCAACCAAUGUACAAGAACUGCCUGAAUCAAUUACCAGCCUCUGCAACUUGCAAUCCUUGAAUCUUUCAGGCUGCCGUNAUUUACAUGGUUCCGAAAUUUCUAUGCUGCCAAGCUCAAUCGGUAAGUUGAAGCUCUUAAGAUACCUCAACCUUUCGUCAACCAAUGUACAAGAACUGCCUGAAUCAAUUACCAGCCUCUGCAACUUGCAAUCCUUGAAUCUUUCAGGCUGCCGUGAGAUCCGUACAUUACCCAAAUUUCUAGGAAGGCUUACGAAUUUGCGGAUUUUAGAUUUAAGCGAGUGCAGUUCUCUGACAAUACUUGACUCCAUUAGCAACCUUCAGAAUUUGUACACACUAGAUUUGAGUUGGUGCCAAAAGGUGAUAUCACUUGAACCUAUAUGUCACCUCAAAAACCUGCAUUACCUAGACCUAUCAAAUCUAGAAUCUUUGGUGGCAUUACCUGAAUCCAUUGGGAGCCUUCAAAAUUUGCGUAGUCUCAACCUUUCUAGCUGCUCUUCUCUAGAAUGGUUACCCUCAUCGUCAAGUGAUCUUCAGCAUUUAGAGAAACUCGACAUUAGUGGUUGUGGAAAAUUAUGUGAGCUGCCUAAAAUGAUCCAAAAGCUGACCAAACUUAGAGUCUUGUUAAACAACAAUUGCUCGGAAUUGAAGGGCAUGCCCCGAGGGAUCGGCAAGUUAGUUAGCUUGCAGGAAUUGUCCGUUUUUGUCGUCGGCAAGCAAGACCGCGUCGAACAUUGUGCCAGUAUCUGUGAGCUCGAGCACCUUAAGCUUGUUGGCGAGCUGGAGAUCAAGGGUCUUGAAAAUGUGACGAGUCCGGUUGAUGCCAAGGCUGCAAAUUUGAUAGAGAAGAAGCUGCGGUCUUUGAAGUUGGAAUGGAACGUUUUAAGUGCGGAAGAAGGCAUUGAUAGUACUGUACUACCGGCGGAAGAGAUCGAAACCGUGCUAGAAAAUCUUCAACCACAUCAAAAGCUAGAGAAUUUGGAAAUAGGAGGCUAUGGAGGCGGGAAGUUUUCUAGCUGGAUGAUGAACAGGAUUGGCUCGUGCCUGCCAAAUCUCGUUGGAAUCGAACUAGCGGAUAUGCCCGGAUGCAGCUCACUCCCGCAGCUGGGGCAACUUCCUUUUCUUGAACAACUGACUAUACAAAACAUGCCCGCGGUAACAAAUUUCAGCGUACAUAAGUUCCCUGCGCUGAAGACACUUGAGUUGUCCUCCAUGCCGGUGCUGCGAGAAUGGGUGACUGUGUUGACGAUGGAUGAUGAAGAAGGCAGGCGAGAGCGAGUUCCCAUUUUUCCGUGUCUCACUUAUUUGGGUCUAUAUGAAUGUCCUCAGUUGAGGCCGGAGCCUUGCCUCCCGCCAUCGGUUGAGCAUAUGGGCAUCUACAGAACAAGCAAGGAGAAUCUAUCGUUGAUACUCGAACGCGCGAUGCCAUUUGGAGGUGGUGAUGCCGCCGUUUCACCCCAACCGCCACCAGAUAAGGGGCUGCCGGGUCUAGGAAUAGUAGGAUGUCGGCAGCUAACUUGUUUGCCCGAGAGCUUGCGAAGUCUCACGUCUCUCCAGUCGCUGGGAAUAUAUGAUUGUGAAGAUCUCGAGAGAAUUGAAGAUUGGCUCGGGGAGCUCACCGAGCUGCGGUCCUUGUACAUCGAUGGGUGCAGCAGUCUCCAUUACUUGCCUGCGCACAAGAUGACCGCACUUCAGGAGUUAUGUAUUGGGAUUUGCCCGCUGUUGUUCGAUGCGGACGGACGAUUUGUCGACACUAGUGUCGAUCACAUAAAAAAUGUCGAAGUUGAUGGGAGGUAAUUACUUUGGAACUCUAACUACUCUUUAAUUAAUGAGCUAGCACCUUAAUAUUCUAUUGUAGCUAGCAUAAACAUCUGUUUUUUUUUUUUUUNAGCAGUUGAGAUCUAUGGCAAUGGUGACAACAAUGAAAAACAAAUGAGCUGUUGUCUCUAAUAAUAUAAUGAGAAUGCCAAUUUAAUUUUAAUUUAAAAUUAUAUAUUUAAUUUUUAAAUUUUAACUUAUAUUUUAAUUAAAAAAAGUUGAAAAAAUAAAUUUAAUCCGAAUAAAUAUAAUUCCGUACGGAUUCAACUUUUAAUCCGGCCUACUAGGCCGGAUUGAAAAAAGAGGUGAUUGGAGGAUUCUCAUUCCACUCGGGAAUCGGAAUCGGAAUGGGACUCCCACGUACCAAACACUCACAAACGGAUUUACUUAUUCCGAUUCCGAUUUCAAGGUAAAAAAGAAGCAAACCAAACACGCCCAAUAUAUUUAUCUUAUAUCAGCACAAACUUUUUACAAAAAAAUUUCAUUUGGUCGCUAAAAUUUAUAAUAUUUUAAUUUUUACUGUGUCAUAGUUAGAAACUUUUGUGUAAUUUUCAAAAAGUUGAGAGGGUCCAUGACCAUUGUCGGCCUCUCAAUAGCUCUUCCCCUGUUCUGGAUUCAGCAAAGCAUCCUGAGAGGGGAUUGAUACGAGUUUGCUAGAUUGUUAAAUAUAAAUAUAUAAAAAUAUCAUUCUUUACGAGAUUAAUUACUUUUUGAAAAAAAAAAUGAUUAUUUCGUAUUAUUUAACAUCGUAUCAAAGUAGAAAAUUCUGAGUUCGAGUCACGUCAGACUUCUAGCCUAAUUGAUUUUUUCUCUCAGUUAAUUUAAGUCCACAUCGAGCUCAAACGUGAGAAAAAAUAUUAAAUAUAAAAAUAUUAUUAUCUAUCACUUUAAAUUUUUUGAGAAAACGAUUGUUUCGUAUUGUUUAACAUAGAUUGGAGCCAAAUAUAUAGCUAAACAAGUGGCGUGGGUCAAUCCAUAAAAAUCUCUAUAGAUGAUGCUGUAGGUAAGUUCUCUAAAACUUGCAAUUUAUCUGAAACAAAAAGAGAUGAUGUAUCACGUUCAGAAGUAUGUAACAGUGAGGAUUGCAGCAGGCUGUAGGCGAUUUGGUUAUGAGCAACUACAAUUAAACUAUGGCUGGCAUACAUUUAUUUAAUUACAUUUUACAUGUGCACUUAUAGAUAGCAUGCUGUUGUAACUUCCACAUAUUUAUCUUUUUCCUGGAGUGUAGAAUUAUGCUGAGACUUGUGAUCUUUGCACUAUUUUAUAAAGUGCAGGUUUACGUCUGUUUCCAUUUCAAAAAAAUUAUAUAUUUCUUUUUGGUUAAAUUACAUAAAGUGACCUGCACUAUACUGGCGUAUGAAAUUACCCCCCUCCACCCAUCCCUCUGUCAACUUUUAUUUUCUCAUUUAUAUUUAUUUGUCUUAUUUAGACGGUAGACCCCUGUAUAUGUUAAUAACAAGGUUAUUUUACUGAUCGUUUCUAACGCAAGUAGCAAAAAAUUUAGUGGUUGAUAAUCAAGAUUCUAAAUUUGAAUCCUAGUUGAUUCAUAUCUCUAGCUAAGUUUAUUUCUAAAUGAAAUAAACGAAACAGUAGAAUAGCAGUUGAGAUCUAUGGCAAUGGUGACAGCGACGAAAAACAAAUAAGCUCUUGUCUCUAAUAAUAUAAUGAGAAUGUCAACAGAUACAAAAGAAAUCUAAGUUUUUUUAUUCUAGUUUAUGACCGAUUUUGAAAAAAGAUUCCAAUGGCAUCUCUAGUUUAUAAUUUUAUAUACAUUUGAGGUAAUUAGGUGUACUAAAAAUUUCUAUAUUUUUGGCUGACGGGAUCUAAUUUUUUUUAAAAAAUGAUAGUAUAAAGAGGUGUAAAUUAACUAAGAAAAUAAUUUUUUAUGGCAAUUAAGAAAAUCAAUGCUAAUUAGAAAAAGGCGGUUUUGAACUGUGGUGCAGUGCUGCAUAGAGAUGUCAACGGGUCGGAUUCGAGGCGGAUUUUUAAAAACCCGAACCUGAACCCGACUCCAAAUCCGAGACCCGAAUCCGAACCCGAAUCCAACGGAUUUUAAAAAUUCAUAUCCAAACCUGAACCCGACCAAAAAUCCGAAACCCGAACCCGAAUCCGAACCCGAACCCGAAAAUUUGAACCCAAAAUAAUAAAUUUUUUUUUCAAUAUUUCAAAAUAUAUUAUAUUAAAUCUAAAUUUUUAAAAUACAAAUUCAAAUAUAACAUCAAAUUUAUAUAUAUAUAUUAUAUAUAAUACAAAAUAAAUUCGGGUUCGGGUCGGAUUUGGGUUCGGAUUCGGGUUAGGUACAAUCAAAAUCCAUAUCCGAAUCCAUAUCCGUCGGAUUUCUAUUUUUUAUAUCCAUAUCCAUCGGAUAUAUCCGUUUCAUUCGGAUUCGGAUUCGGAUAAAAUUUCGGAUAUUCAUACCCAUUGACAUCCCUAGUGCUGCAGUGGUCCAACUCUCCAUACUUUUUUUUUUCUCUUUUUUGGGCAAUCAAAAUUUAUACAUAUCAAUUCUUCACAUAUAAUAGUAUCUUAGAAUAUUAUCGUGGGGUGAAAAUCAUUUUACUCAAUCUGAUCCCACUCUGAAGCCGAAGAUUGUCGGAUUUGGAGUGAAAUUUUACUAUCCAUUACGGAUUCAGAUUCAAAUCUGAAAUUUGAAUUUUUUUUUUGAGUUCAAAUUAAAGAUUCACUAUUUCUUUUUAAAUUCGAAUUCUAAAUUAUUGGAAACCAAAACUGAUUUUGACCGCUUUUUUAAUUUCUGAAGUAAUACCAUUUAAGCAUCUUUCAGAAAUCUCAAGCAUUCAUUGCGUUUUCUUCAGUUGGAUGAGAAAAUAAUAAUAAUAAUAAUAAUAAUAAUAAUAAGGGCGGCUCUCCUUUUCUGCCGCUUCAUUUUUUAAAAAUGGACACAGAAACGACAAGAUCCAAAGAGCAAAUUUGAAACUGAUAAUAUUUUUUAUAUUCUGCACAAUAGGAUAAGGACGAUUGAGGGACUAGCAUAUGCAAAAGAUCAAAGAUUCCCGGCGUAAUUAUCGAAGCAACAGCACAAUAAUUAAUUGGAGCGAUCACCUACUACCACUGCAGAGCAUCCCCCCUUAUUCUCUGCCUCCCUGCAGUAGGACGGUUGUAUUGAGAAGAAGCACAUAGCUGCUGUCGUAGGUAGCAGCACGCGCGAUGGCGGAGGGGAUUGCAUUCGAUCUGGUCAAAGGAGUGCUCGGCAAACUGGGCUCAACUCUCUGGGACGAAAUCGGACUGCUGCGGAGCUUCAAGAACGACGCGGACGAUCUCAGAAGCAACUUCUCGGCGAUCCAGGCGGUGCUUCUCGACGCCGAGGAGCGGAGCAGCGCUGGGAAGGAGAGCCACGCUCUGCGCGACUGGCUGCGCAAACUGAAGGACGCCGCCUACGACGCCGACGACCUGCUGGACGAGAUCCGGACGCAAGCGGCCCUCCGGCAACAGCAGUAUCCCGAGGUGCUGAAUCAACACCAGCCAGCUGGAAAGGUACGUGAAUUUCUGUCCCGGGCUAAUCCGAUGCAUCUGAAGUUUAAGCGCAAGAUGGCACACAGGAUGAAAGAGCUCAGAGAAAAGAUCGGUAAGAUCGCGAAACAGAGGCAUGAUUUUGGUCUUGCCGAAGCUGGCCCUCUUCGACAGGCUGAAUUCAAGCGCCCUGAGACAUUCUCGAUCGUCGACGAAAAGACAAUAGUCGGGAGAGAUGAUGAUAAAGAGAAAAUUGUGAAGCUUCUCCUUGAGACCAGCAGCGAUCACGACGUGUCGAUCAUUCCGAUCGUGGGAUUGGGGGGUUUGGGGAAGACGACACUCGCUCAGCUGGCCUUCAACGACGGGCAGGUUACAGGCCAGCAGCGCUUCGAUUUACGGGCGUGGGUCUGCGUGUCUACCGAUUUCGACAUGAAGAUGAUUGCAAAGCCGGUGAUAUCUGCAGCUGGAGAGAAUUGUGCUCUUGAUAACUCGGAUGCCGUCGCCAGUUGCCUUGUCAGUAUCUUCAGCCAGAAGAGAUUUUUGCUGGUGCUGGAUGAUGUAUGGAAUGAAGAUCAGGAAAGGUGGGAGAAAUUGAAGGUUUUAUUUAAGGACGGUAAGCAAGGAAGUAAAAUCUUAGUGACCACACGGAGCGAAAAGGUUGCCGAGAUAAUGAAAACAGUCGAGCCGCACCGUGUGAAAGGCUUAUCAGAUGAUGAUUGUUGGACAUUGUUCAAAAGGCGGGCAUUCAAGGAAGGGGAAGAGAAUGACUAUCCGAGCUUGGUCGAAAUCGGAAAGCAGAUAGUAAAGAAGUGUGGUGGCUUGCCUUUAGCAGCAAAUGCUUUAGGAAGUAUGAUGCGCUUUAAGAGCAGAACGGAGGAUGCAUGGUCCGCUAUUAGAGAUAGCGAAAUAUGGAGAUUGGAAAAAGAGGAAACUAUUUUACCAUCAUUGAAAUUGAGCUACAUUCAGAUGCCGUCGGCUUUGAAGCAGUGCUUCGCUUACUGCUCCAUAUUCCCCAAAGACUAUGAGAUUGACAAGGAUGACUUGAUCCGGCAAUGGAUUGCUUUAGGCUUCAUUUCAUCGCAUGAAACAUGGACUUCGAUGGAAGAUAUUGGGAAUGAGUACCUUAACGAUCUAUUAUGGAUGUCUUUUCUUCAAGAUGUGUGGGAAUAUUAUAGAAAGGGUACCACCUGCCGUAUGCAUGAUUUAGUGCACGACCUCGCACAAUCUGUAGCAAGAGAAGAAGUUGCUGUUAUAGGUGCAGAAGAGUCAACGAGGAUCCCGGAAAGUUGCCGCUAUGUCUCGAUAUACAGUCGUUUCACGCCACAGCUGGUUUCAAGUACCGUAAUGCAGAGGUUGCGAGCUCUUCAAUUUAGGGAAUCUGGUUCACCUACUAUGAAUUUUUAUAGCGAGGCAAAAUGGUUACGCCUGUUGGAUUUACAUGAUUCCAAAAUUUCUAUGUUGCCAAGCUCAAUCAGUAAGUUGAAGCUCCUAAGAUACCUCAACCUUUCGGAGAACAGUAUACAAGAAUUGCCUGAAUCAAUUACCAGCCUCUGCAACUUGCAAACCUUGAAUCUUUCAGGCUGCCAAAAGAUCCGUACAUUACCCAAAUUUCUAGGAAGGCUUACGAAUUUGCGGAAUUUAGAUUUAAGCGACUGCAGUUCUCUGACAAUACCUGACUCCAUUAGCAACCUUCAGAAUUUGUACGCACUAAAUUUGAGUUCGUGCGAAAAUGUGAUAUCACUUGAACCUAUAUGUCACCUCAAAAACCUUCAUUACCUAAACCUAUCAGAUCUAAUGUUUAUGGAGACUUUACCAAAAUCCAUUGAGAGCCUUCAAAACUUGCGUACUCUGAAUCUUUCUAACUGCAUUUCUCUGCUAUCAUUACCCUCAUCAUUAUGUGAUCUCAAAAACCUGCAUGACUUAAACCUAUCACGUCUAAAAUCUUUGGUGACAUUACCUGAAUCCAUUGGAAGCCUUCAAAACUUGCGUAUUCUGAACGUUUCUGAAUGCUCUUCUCUAGAAUCAUUACCCUUAUCGUCAAGUGAUCUUCAGCAUUUAGAGAAACUCGACAUCAGGGGUUGUAAAAAAUUAUGUGAGCUGCCCAAAAUGAUCCAAAAGCUGACCAAACUUAGGGUCUUGUUAAACAACGAGUGCUCAGAAUUGAAGGGCAUGCCCCGAGGGAUCAGCAAGUUAGUUAGCUUGCAGGAAUUGUCUGUUUUUGUGGUCGGCAAGCAAGACCGCGUCGAACAUUGUGCCAGCAUCUCUGAGCUCGAGCACCUUAAGCUUGUCGGCGAGCUGGAGAUCAAGGGUCUUGAAAAUGUGACGAGUCCGGUUGACGCCAAGGCUGCAAAUUUGAUAGAGAAGAACCUGCGGUCUUUGAAGUUGAAAUGGAACGUUUUAAGUGCGGAAGAAGGCAUGGACAGUACUGUACUACCGGCGGAAGAGAUCGAAACCGUGCUAGAAAAUCUUCAACCACAUCAGAAGCUAGAGGAAUUGGAAAUAGAAGGCUACGGAGGCGGGAAGUUUCCUAGCUGGAUGAUGAAUAGGAUUGGCUCGUGCCUCCCAAAUCUCGUUAAAAUCAAACUUGAGAAUAUGCCCGGGUGCAGCUCACUCCCGCCGCUGGGGCAACUCCCUUUUCUUAAAGCACUAACUAUACGAAAUAUGCCCGCGGUAACAAAUUUGGGCGUAGAUAAGUUCCCUGCGCUGAUGAGACUUAACUUGUCCUCCAUGCCGGUGCUGCGAGAAUGGGUGACUGUGUUGACGGUGGAUGACGAAGAAGGCAGGCGAGAGCGAGUUCCCAUUUUUCCGUGUCUCACUCAAUUGUACCUUAAAGAAUGCCCUAAAUUGAGGCCGGAGCCUUGCCUCCCGCCAUCGGUUUUGCAUAUGGGCAUCUCUAGAACAAGCAGCGAGAACCUAUCGUUGAUUUUCGAACGCGCGAUGCCACUUGGUGAUGGUGAUGGUGAUGGUGAUGGUGAUGGUGAUGCCGCCGUUUCACCCCAACCGCCACCGAAUAAGGGGCUGCGGAGUCUACAAAUAGGAGGAUGUCAGCAGCUAACUUGUUUGCCCGAGAGCUUGCGGAGUCUCACGUCUCUCCAGCGGCUGAUAAUAUCUGAUUGUGAAGAUCUUGAGAGAAUUGAAGAUUGGUUUGGGGAGCUCUCCGACCUGCGGUCCUUGAUCAUCCAGGGGUGCAGCAGUCUCCGUUACUUGCCUGCCCACAAGAUGACCGCACUUAAGAGGUUACAUAUUGAUGGUUACCCGCUGUUGUUCGAUGCAGAUGGAAGGUAAUUAAUUUGCAACUCUGGCUACUCUUUAUUUAGCUGGCUAGCACCUUAAUAUUCUAUCGUCGCUAGCAUAUAAACCUCUCUUCUUCUUCUUCCUUUUUUUUUUUUCUAAAUAUUCGGAUGGAAAACUUUCAAUUAGCCCCACCGCACGUGAUUCGGAGCAUUUUCAUUUGCUAUGAAAUAUUUCAUUUUGCUAUUUUAAUUUAUAGUUGUGUUUUUAUUUUCUUGCAAAAAUCUUCUACAAAAAAGAAAAAAAAAAAUUAAAGUGCUAAAAUAUAUGAAUUAUAAGACAGUCAAGUAAUUUAUUUUACAAACCACAUAGGGACUAUGUGAAAUAAAUAAAUAAAUAAAUAAAUAAAUAAAUAAAUAUAUAUAUAUUAUAGUAUUUUAUGAUUUAUAAAUUUUAGCACUUUAAAUAGUUUUACUUUAAAAUCUUGUGGUUAUUCCUUUUCUUUGUAUCAUCGUAAGAAUUUGCCGUCAAGUAAAUGUAUUAAAGUGCUAAAAUUUAUAAAUCAUGGGAUAGUAAAGUGAUACAUUUUAUGAAACAAAAGGUAGCCGCCUGUAUCUAUAUAUAUUUUUUCACAUAGCACUCUAUGGUUUAUAAACUAUAUUCCUUUACUACUCUAUAAUUCAAAAUUUCUAGCACUUCAAUAUUCUUUGGUAGUAGGUCCUUACGGUAAAAUAAAGACGCAAUAAUAAAGUAGCAANGGUUUUCUGGAAAAAAUUUCAAGUGGUCUCUUGCAUGUACAUAGACUAAUUAAUGAAAUUUUAACCUUUUCUUAAUUUGUAGCGAUUUGAGAUGCUAAAAAAUUUCUACUUGAACGAUAUAUAGUAUUUACAAAGUAACUAUUUUCGGUCAUAUUGUUGAUAUACUAUUCGAGUCCUAGGAUAUUUUUUUUUACAAAUUGAAAUCAGGUAUGUUAUAUAUCAUACGUUAUUAGAAAGUCUAAGCAAAAUAUACAACACAUAUAUACUGCACGAGUGUCGAAUAAAAAAGUAACCUUUUUGUGUUGUUGUGGUGUAGAAAAUACCCGUACAAGGAACAAGCGAGCAGCUCGUCACAUGUGGAAGAGAGCUCACCGAAGGAGGAGGAGGAGAAGAAGAUUGGUUAGCGAGGAGAGCAUAAGUAUAUGUAUCUCUUAUUUGGAGUUAAAAGAUAUUAGAUAUUAGAUAAAUUAUACUGCACUUUGAAAGCGGCCAAUUGGGCUUUACGAAUUUCGAUUUUAAUUUGAUUUUGAUAUAAGAAAUUUUCUUUGAAAGAUUUGUUAGAUCCUUUUAGAAUUUAGUCUCUUCCGUUAAACAAAGUACAGAAUGUUUCAUAAAAUAAAAAAAAAUUUUAUCAAAUUUUAAAAUAUUUUAUCAAAAAACAUUAAGUAUCCUUUCGAAUUCUCUAAGGAACAUAAUAAACACUGCGGAAAGUUAGAGAGUAGAAUUAAAUUUUUAAAGUUCAGUUAUUUAUCUCAAAGCGUAGUGUAGCUCACGUAAGAAUCAUUAUCUUUUAGCUUAUUUGGUGAUCAGUAUUCCCCUUUGAGAAGAGUUUUUUUUUCCCCUUUGUUUUGCCAAAAAUAAACAAAUUUUAUAUAUCUACAUGCAAUGGUGAGAGUUUUUAUUCAUGGACUUGGGGCCUUCUCUUUCAGGUUUGUGCUAUUUAGCUUUCCGGACAAGAAUUGUAGUGUGCUGUUGUCGGAUUAAUAUAUAUUUGUCUUUUCGUGAUAUAAAUUGAGUUUCUGAAUGUACUAUUUUAUAAUUUGGUUUGAUUGUUGGUAAUUUUAUGGUGUUCUAUGUAUAUGUUAUGGGCUUGAAAAAGGUUGUUUGGUUUGAAUAAACAAAAUGUUGCUACUUUUUUUAAUACGGAUAUUAGAGGGUACAUUAAUUUUUAAGUAAAUCUGACGUAGAGUUUAUUACUAGCUAGUAUAUAUGCAUUGUGUUACGGAAUUGUUUAAAAUCAUCAGAUGCUGUUUUUGGCAUGCAAGUUGGACCUACUAUAUAUGUAUGUACCGCAGUUGAGAGGGUUAAUUUCCAUAUAUGUUUACUUUAAUUUAUCUUUUCUUUUAUUUGAUUAGAUCCGAAUUAAGCCAAUAAAUUUUAAAGUAUUAAAAGUUUUAUUAUUUUGCUUUCUGCAAGAUUUUUAGUUUUUAAAUUCCACAAAUCUGAAUCGAUUUAUUAAUAAAAUCAAACUGAAUCAAUAGAAGUGAGUUGCUUUUUCAGUUUGGUUUUUACCAAACAUGUGGUUUAAAUGAAAAUACAGAUAUGUAUUGCUGCAUUAUUUAAUUUGUUUGAGUUAAGUGAUCUCACUGCUCGUGCAAUAUCAAAUUUAGAUUAAUUAUUUAUUUUAAUAAAUUUAUAGCUUCAUAAAUUUAUAAAAUAUAGUAAUUAAUUAAACAUGUAAAGAUAAACAAUACAUUUAAAUUUUAAAGCUAAAGAGAUAUUUGACUCAAAUCAAAUAAAUUAUAAAUUAUAUAGCAACAUUAAAACUCUUUUAAAGAUUAGAUAGUAAAAUUAAAAUAAGUGAUAGUUGUGGUAAGUUAUAUAAAGUUCUUAUUUUUUUAUUCAAGUAAUCCAGAAAAUUAAAAGAGGUAUUUACUUCGAAAUAAGUUAAAUUAUUUUUUAUGGACAAGUAUUUUUCGAGACCUUAACAUCUGGGACCAACCGUAAAAAUAAGGAAAAUUGCAUGAAAUUAAUUAACCAAAAUUUUAUUUUAUAGGAAAAAAAGGAUAAAAUUUUUAAAAUAUUUUGAUGUUAUUGUUUAUUCUUUCUGAUUUGAGUUUCAUGAAAUUAAAAUUAUUGCCAAUACCUAGUGCAUGGGCACUAUGCCCUUUUUUCUUUUUUUCUUUUUUUUUAUGAAAAUGUAGUAUGCAUAAUUGAUCCUUGAUGUAUACUAUAUUUUUAAUUUAACAACGGAAAAAAUAUGCUGUGAAAAUUAAACUAGUGGACGAGAUAGAGUAAGGAUAUAUGAAUGCAUCAGGUGCAUCCAAUCGUUUUAUAAGGCUAUUAAAUUAUUUAAAUUAAAUAAAAAUUUUAAAUAUAAUAAAUAUAAAUUUUUUUGAAAAAAAUAAAUAGCUAGGUUACAAAUUAUCCAAAAUUUAAUUAUCUUUGUAUAUUCAAAAUUCAAAAUCAUCAUAAGAAACUGCAUCUAACUUGCGAUGGCCAGUUCCUUAAAAUUAAAAUCCAAAACAAAAGGUACGAUCUACAGUAUCUAAAUGGAUUAUGUAUAAAAACACAAGGUUAAAAAAAAAAAAAAAAAAAAAAAAAAAAAANAAAAUUGAAUGAAAUUAAUUAACCAAAAUUUUAUUUUAUUGGAAAAAUAACCAUAAAAUUUUUAAAAUUUUCUGAUUUUAUUGUUUAUUCUUUCUGAUUUGAGUUUCAUGAAAUUAUUGCCCAUACCCAGUGCAUGGGCACUAUGCCCCUUUUUUUUCUUUUUUUCUUUUUUUUUUUUGAGGAAAUGUAGUAUGCAUAAUUGAUCCUUGAUGUAUACUAUAUUUUUAAUUUAACAACGGAAAAAAUAUAUGUGAAAAUUAAACUAGUGGACGAGAUAGAGUAAGGAUAUAUGAAUGCAUCAGGUGCAUCCAAUGUUUUAUAAAGCUAUUAAAUUAUUUAAUUUAAAUAAAAUUUUUAAAUAUAAUAAAUUUAUUUUUUUUUGAAAAAAAUAAAUAGCUAGGUUUCAAAUUAUCUAAAAUUUAAUUAUCUUUGUAUAUUCAAAAUUCAAAAUCAUCAUAAGAAAUUGCAUCUGAUUUGUGAUGGCCAGUUCCUUAAAAUUAAAAUCCAAAACAAAAAGUACGAUCUACAAUAUCUAAAUGGAUUAUGAUGAUUUUGAAUUUUGAAUAUACAAAAAAAAAAAAAAACUGUUACUAAGUCAUCUGAAGUCUAUUCGUCUGUCGUAGAGAAAGAGUAAUUAUUUGAUUUAUGAAGAAAUAUGUCUUCAAAAUAAGAAAUACUACUGAUGCAUUCAAAAGUGUGGUGUAAAUCUAAGAUUUAUUCUCAAUAUGAAUUUUGUUUUAAAUCUCAUCUUAGCAUCCGUUCAUUGUAUGGACUAGUUUACUGGAAUAAACUCUGGCAUCCUACCUAGUUCCAUAUAACGUUUUGGUUCCGGUGGUCGUAGCAGGGUAAAUUUGUAUUUAUCAGAUCAACUUAUCAUGACACAUAACUUCUCUUUGCUUUUUCUUUUCUUUUUUUUUUUUUUGGAUAAAAGCCUUCCCAUGCUGGUAUGCAAGAGAUUAUAACUGGAUUGCUUAUGAAUAUGAGAGAAGACUAGUGCUUAUUGUUUUGGAAUUUGUUGCUUGUCUGAUGAUCCUGUCUGUUUCUUACAUUUAUUUGAUUUUUUAUAUAACAGGAACGACGAAUGAGAGGUCAAGCAUUUGUGACUUUUCCAACUGUCGAUCUUGCUCAGCAUGCAUUGGUUUGUCUAUCUUUUGAGGCUAAAAACUAUUUUUUUAAAAAAAAUUUUAAGGGCCGCUGAAAAUUUAGUUAAAAACUAAAAUUAAGUUCAUGUAUGAUGUUGCUUGUUUUUUAAUACCUGGGCGAAUUUUGAGAAUAUGUAGCCCAAAGAAAGCACCUGCUUUGAUGCUUUGGAGGGCCCACAAAUUUCAAAAGCUGCCCAAAAAAGACAUCUUUUAUGCUUUGGAGUGCUCCCUUCAAAUGUUUUUAAAUGAUGAUAGGAACUGUCACUGGAGAAGCAUCAUGCCGCAGAGGCAUUCUUCUCGAUCUGUUAUAGUGCUUGAGAGCUUUGAUAGGAGCUCUCAAGCACUUUCGGAAAUUCUUUUGGGGCCAUCGAACGCAUAAAAGCUGGUGUGUUCGAAAAUAGGCCUCAGUCUGCGAAGCAGCUCUAUUUCUAUCAUGAACUGUUUCACCUGAAGUUAUUUUCGGAAAAAAGAAAAAAAAAAAAGUGAAAAAGAUAGGCUCGAAAGUGGGGAGCAGAGAAUCUGCAAUUUUUACUCUGCAAUACUUUAGUUAUGAUAAUUAUGUUCUUCAAUUUUAAUCUUCUAUUCUAGAGUAACGAGCAUUGUUCAUAAUAAUACAUAUCCAUUGUUCAUAAUAAUGGAUAUGUAUUCAAAGGCAAGGCGAUGAUCAUCCAGUUUGGUUGCAAUCCUGUUGCUGGCAAAGCUACCUAAUUAAAUGGGGAUUUUGAUGUAGACCAUGGGUGCAUGCCUUGGGAUGGAAAUUUUGAUCAAUCCAAAAAUUGUCACAGCUCUUCAACGUCCAAUAAAAGAUGGGUAUGGUUUUUUCAUUUUUAAAAAAAUAAUGAUGUGUAUCGUGUGCGUUCAUGAGGUUUCAUUUAUUUUAUCAGAAAUGAUUCAGUACUUUAUUAUUAAAAAAAUAAAAUAGAUCCUAACCGUUGAUUAAUAGAGGGUAAAGAUGUAAUUUAAUAUUUAGCAGGUAAAUGGGUUGCAUCAUUCGAAGUUAUUUCGAUAAUUAAACUAUACAGCAUUUAAAAAAACUUUUAAUUGAUAUUCUAAAUUUAUGCAUUAAUUUGCACUAAUUUAGGAAAUUGAUUGAUUACCCUAAUUUAGGCAUUAAUUAGGCAUUAAUUUACGCAUUUAGUUUAGAAAUUUUAGUGUUUCUAAAAUUUAGGCAUUAAUUUAAAUUAUAGGAAUUUUAGAAAUAGUUCUAUUUCUAAAUACAUUGAAUUUAAAUAUUAAAUAUUAAAUAUUUAAAAUUAAAAAAUUAAAAUUUAAAUUAGAGGAAUUUUGUAUUACUAUUUAAAAAAUUUGUAAUGUUGAUAAAUAUUUUAAUUCAACAUACUUAAUAUGUUUAAGAAAAUUUUUAAAUUCCUAAAGUUUAGACAACAAUUUUGUAUCACUUAUUUUAAAAAAAAUUAAAUGUUGGUAAAAAAAUUAUAAAUUAAAUGUAUUUAAUAUGUUAAAAAAAUUAGAAUUGUUCUACUUUAGACGUUAAUUAUUUAUCAUUAUUCAAAAAAAUUUGUAAUGUUGGUAAAUAUUUAAAUUUAACAUAUUUUAUAUGCUUAACAAACUUAUGAAUUCAUCUUAGACAUUAAUUUUGUAUUACUAACUUUAAAAAUUGAGUGUGGACAACAUAUUUAAAUUCAACAUAUUUAAUAUGUUUAAAAAUAUUUAAGAAUUUUUCUAAUUUAGAUAUUAAUUCUUUAUCACUAUUUAAAAAUUUUAAUGUGAAUAAUUGAUUAGAAAUAUAGGGUAUAAUUCAAAUUUAUUCUUAGAAUAGAAUUGUAUGGACAAAAUUAAUUCAAAUUUUAAUAGAAAAAAUUUAUCUUUUAAAAUAAUAAGAUAAUGUAUUGUAAUUUAAAAUAUAAUUUUUUUAUAUGAAAUGCCAAAUAUGAGAGGAAAAAAGAUAGAGAGAGAAAAAAAAUAAAGAGAGAAUAAAAAUUUUGAUAAUAUAAUAGAGAUAAAAUGACUAAAUUGCUCAUGUAUUAAAAGAUAAAAAUAUUUUUUUUUGAGGUAUCUGAUGAUCGGUACCUCUCCUAAAGUGACUUGCUAUUAUAGGUCACAAUUUUAAAAAAAUUAAAUCUGGACCGUUGAAUGGGAGUGAAUGAACGGUAAGAAAAAAAAAAAAAAGUAUAGAAGCAUUACUCUUAUUUUAUGGCCACUUCUGAUGAAACACCUAUAUAAUAGGGCUACACAUGUCGACCUCAUGCAAUAAUGCAUGCGUAGUGGCCACAAGGUGCUUCAUCUAGGUUCCUAUGAGCAGCGCUAGAACUUUAGUAACCAGAUUUUUGCAUCAAAUUAGUUCAUUAAAGUUUGAACUGAGUAGUUAAGCCAGCAAUUGCCCUUCUUCAGGAUUUUGUAUCCUCCGAAUGGAAUAUGCAUGAACUAUUGUUGCUGCUUUUCUGAGGAAGGUUUUAACCAUCUAUUAAAAGCUCAUUUCGAAGUGCAAAUUAUCAUUAGUUACUUUCUAAUAUUGCUGAAUUGAUCAGUCAGUUUUGUUCAAUUUGGCCUUUGGUUUUUGUGGUGAUUUUUGACAUAUUUUUCUGCUUUUGUGUUGAUAAGCUACGAGGACUGGUUCGCCAUAUUUUAAAGUUCAGCAACUACAAUCCAUGCCGUGGAGCUCUACUGCCGCAAUGAGAUGGUUACUUGUGUGCGCCUCCUAGUUUUGUUUUAUCCAGGAACAUGACAAACUCAGUUGGAAUUGAGAUGGUGAUGAAAGGUAACACACACUUUGUAGAUUGUAAAAUUCUCUCCAUGGUGAACUACCCCACCAGUCUAUCAACUCUUAACCAAGUUCCAUUUUGAUCCUCGAGCUUUUAGGGAUUGUUUGCGACUUUGAACUCUUAAAUGUUUCGCACAUCUAAUUCUAUUAGAUGGCAAAUUAUUGGUUACACCCAAUAUAUGUGUACAUGUUUGUAUACUUAUCUAUUGAUUGUUGCUUGUGAAUUUACAAUCGUUUUUUUUUAUUUAAAAAUUAGAGUAUUGAAUUGAAAGUAUGUGAUGGAAAAAAGGGCUAAUGAACUUAUGUGCGCAAACAUACUCGUACCGUUACUUCCAAAGUGUAAUAGAGCACGUGAACAAUGGGAAAGCGAAUAUAGUAGCACUUAAGCACCUAGUACAAUUUAUGAGCUGUACCCCUACAUAAUUAUAGUAGUGGUGGGUCCAUGCUUUGAUUAUUGGGCAUCUGAUCUAAUAGUGACUUUUAAAGACUCGGUACAUAAGAGAUGCUUAGGAAACAUUGUGGAUCACAUGAAAGGUAUAACCCUGUAAAGUUAUUUGUGAGCUGGUAAAUUUAUUUAAUGCUCUUGAUGCACUGAUGUGAUAUGUAAAAUUAUCAAAAUCUCUUGUAUUGGAAUUGCCACCAUAAGGAAAAUAUAUAAAACAAUAAUUUUGAAAAAUUUGUAGCAGUACUUGUGCAAGUGGGGAGGUAAUAAUUUUUUUCUUCCCUUAAGUGGGUUGAUAUAGGAGAAAUUAUCGAAUUAUCUGAUUGAUCAAGUUCAAUGUGUACCCAUUUUUUUUAAACUUGAUCUCAUAUAUUAGGAUUUUGAAUUUAAAUUUUUAUUUUAAAAUAUAAAAGUUUGGUAGGGUGGGUGCACCGAUGAUGUGGCGCAUGAGGUGCAAGCGAUAUUUCCCACGACAAAAGAAUUAAAGUAAAAGCAAAAUAAGAACAAAGCUAAAAGCACUUGCCCGCUUUAUUCCUGUCCUCACGCAGUGGAGGAAAAAAGAAAUUUGUUAAUCUAUAUGUAUGUUUUAAGUCUCACAUUUCAAGAUAAUUUGGUAAACUUGGUAAAUUUUUUUUCCUUCAAUUAUUAAUAAGUCCAAAGUUUUUCUUAGAUCUAUCUAUUAACUAAAAAAAAAUCAAAAGUUAAGUGCAAACUAUUUUCAUGAAUAAGGGAAAUUAAGAAGAAAAUGAUAAAAAAAAACAGCUAAACAUUUUAAUGAACAAGAAAGAGAGAGUAAAGAAUAACAAAGCUGAUUGUUUUCAUGAACAAGGGAAAGAAGAAAAGAACAAAACAAAGCAGGGAAAAGAAGAAAAUAAUAAACAUAAACUAAGCACGCGGCGUGCAUAUAUGCUAAUUAAUAUUCAGUAUACUCUUCUUUGUUGUAGGAGUUUUUUUUUUUUUUUUUGAGAAAAAAAUAGCGAGUUAUUUGUUUCAUUUAUUAGGUAAAAUAAACUAGACAUAUAUAAUAGAAACAGCCGAGGCUUCUGAGAAAAAAAUUAAAAAAGCAAACCAAAAGGAAAUUUGAACUCUGGUAGUGUGGUGUAGUGUUGCAGUGGUCUCCAUACUUUGUUUCCUUUUUUUCUCUUUUUUUUGGGCAAUCAAAAUUUAUUCAUAUCAAUUCUUCAAGUAUAAUAGCAUCUUAGAAAAAUACCUUGGGGUGAUAGCCGUUAUGAAAUUAUUCAAUCUGAUCGGACUCUGAAGCAAAAAAUUGUCAAAUUUGGAUUGAAAUUUUACAUUGAAAUUUUACUGUCCAUUACGGAUUCAGAUUCAGAUCUGAAAUUUGAAAUUUUUUUGAGUUCAAAUUAAGAUUUACUAUUCCUUUUUAAAUUCGAAUUCAAAUUAUUGAAAACCAAAACUGAUUUUUGACUGCUUUUUUAAUUUCUCAAGUAAUGCCAUUUGAAAAUGGACACGGAAACAACAAGACCCAAAGAGCAAAUUCGAAUCUGAUAAUAUUUUUUAUAAUCUGUACAACAGGAUAAAGACGAUUGAGGGACCAGCGUGCAAAUCGUCAAAGAUUCCCAGCGUAAUUAUCGGAGCGGCAGCACAAGAAUUGGAGCAGUCACCUACACCUACUGCCAACUUUUCCUCAAUUUCCAAGCACGAGAGAGAGAGAGAAAAAAAAAAAAAAAAAACAACAACUGGAGCAUGCUUUUCUGCCUCUUCAUCUGAAAAUGGACACGACAAUACGAAGAUUCAAAUAUUUUUAUAAUUUGUACAAUUGGAUAAAGAUUGAUCAUUGAUCAUGGGGUGUAUUUCACUAGUUGGAUUUUUUUUUUUUUUUUUGAGAGAGAAAAAUAGUAUAGUACCAGUUUCGUAUAUUUCAUUCAAAAAUAAACUUAGCUAGAACUAUAAAUUAAUUAAAAUUCAAAUUUAAUUCUCGAAUAUCAAUCACCAAACUUUUUUUGCCACUUGCGCUAGAAACCGUCGGUGCGGGAUGCAUCUUCUAUGCCCAAUGAAAUGAAUGUAUAAGUAAGAGUUUUCGAAAAAAAAGAAAAAAACGAAAAAAAAAAAAAGCAUUGGCGCGUGCGUUCUCUCGAAGCUCCUCCGGCGGCCCCACCAUAGUUAUAUGAGACGCAGCACAAUAAAUGGAGCAACCAUCUUCCAGCGGUGGAGAGCAUCCCCUUAAUUAUCCUCUGCUUCUCUGUAGUAGGAUGUUCGUAUUGAGAAGAAUUAGGCAGCAGCACGCGCGAUGGCGGAGGGGAUCGCAUUCGGUUUGGUGAAGGGAGUGCUCGGCAAUCUGGGCUCCGCUCUCUGGAACGAAAUCGGGCUGCUGCGGAGCUUCAAGAACGAAAUUGUGCUUAAUUAUUAUUAUUAUUAUUAUUUAUUACUAUAUAUAUAAAAGUAGAACCCUUAAUGAACCCUAUGUGAGAAGCUGACACGUAGCUUUCUAUAUACUUGUCACGUGUCAAACUCAAGUAUGGAUAUUUGGUUACGAAUUAUUUAAAAUUAUUGGUUUAAUUAAUUAUUUAAAAUUAUUGGUUGCGAAAUACGCAAUAAUCUGUUGCGAAUUAUUUUUUCGCGAUGGAAAUAAUCUGUUACAAAUUCAAAUUUCGUAUUAGCAGAUAAUUAAGAAAAAAAAUUCAAAACUCACGUUUUUAUAAAAAAAUAAUAUCUUUUAUUAUAUUAUUAAAAAUCACAUAUAAUGAAUAAAAUUUUAUUUCAAAGUCACCUAUAAUUAUGUUGAGAUAUUUGAAAAAUCUAUGGAUAUUAUGUUACGAAAGAAUUGGCGGUGCGGAUAUUACGCGUGAGAAGAAAAAUAUUUAUCUUUAUUUGGAAAUAAAUUAUUACUUAGUUAAUUAUUUAAAAUGAUUGGUUGAAAUUUCUGGACAUAAAAAUAUUAGUAAAAAAGUAUAGGCAUUUUUGGAAAGAGGAAAAAAUUUAAAACUCACCUCACUCCUGUAAUUUUCUUCGCUCUUAAAUAUUGAUGCUUUAAAAUAGAACAUGCUAUUUCCCUACUGUCACUUCUGUAAUUUUCAUUUCGUAAUUUUUUUCCUUUAUGUCACUCAUGUAACUUUUCAUCUUCAUGCAAUAAAAUUUUUUUUUCUUUAUUUUUUAUUGAAAACCAACAUCUAUAUAUUUUUGAAUCUUAAAAGCGACAGUAGGAACAUAAUAUAUGUGUGCUUACUCUAAUUUGUGUCAAAUAUGAAAGUUUAGUUGAUCUCAUUAUAUGCUUAAAUAUUAAUGUCAUUUGUAAUUUUUCAUAUCAAUUUUAGUUAUCAUUUUAUUUCGCACAUCAAUAUGUAAAUGUAAAUUGUUUUACAUACCAAUUCAUAGAUAAUAGAGCAGGAUUGAAUUUUGCAUUUUCGUUGAAUAUUUACUUUGGUCCAAUUUUUUUUUUUCUCUAGCUUGUGUACUUUAAUAUGUACUAUAAUUAAGAUUGAUAGUAUAUUUUUUUAUUUGUUAAAAAAUAUAAAAUUAAUUAAAAAAUUUUUUUAUUAUCAUCACAUAAUAAUUUUUAUUAUUCUAUAUUAUUAUAUUAGCCGUGCAUCGCACGGGUGAAAAUCUAGUUAUUAUUAUUAUUACUACGAUAAAGCAUUUUUGAGUACCUAACGUUUGGGACCAACCGUACAAAAAGGAAAAUUGUACGAAAUUAACUUAAAUUUUAUUUUAUUGGAAAUAUAGCCGUAAAUUUUUUUAAAAAUGUUUUGAUUUAUUGUCUAUUCUUUCUAAUUUGAGUUUCAUGAAAUUAUUGCCAAUUAUUUACGCAGCUAAUAUGCACUAUGCCUUUUUUUCUUUUCUUUUUUUUUACACUUUAGAAAAUACAGUAUGCCGUAACUGAUCUUUGGUGUAAACUAUAUUUUCAAUUUAGCAAUCGGAAAAAAAAAUAUUUUUUGAAAAUUAAACAUGUGGAUGAAAUAUUAAGGUAUCGCACAAAUAUAACUGCAUAGUUCUUCAGUAAUAAUUAAGCAUAAUUUUAUAGUUUUGGAGGAGUAUAGAUUAAAACCGGAUUAAAGCUAAGCUUUUGGACCAUUCAAAAUAUAGAAAUAUUGCUUCUAACCACCCGGUGCCCAAACAAAGUCAGCUCAGUUGUAAUUUUUAUACUUACAAAUUAAAAUGGCUGGAAUAAAAUAAGAAAAAUAUUAAGGAUGAAUAAAACCCUGGUUCACACCUGUUUGGAUGCACCAGGUGUGGGUAGUGAUUUUUCAUGAACCAAAAUCAUAUAGUGUUAAAGAAUAGCGAGAAAAAUUAAAUUAAAAUUUUUAAAUAUUAGGUAAUUAAUUUCAAAUGAUAAAAAAUUCAGAUUAAUUACACAUAUUUUUAUCUCCCAAAAAUAAAACACACAACAACAACAAUAACAUGACCUCUGCAAAGAAGGGUCUUUCUUCGUCAUGAACAACAGGGCAUCCCUCUCUACCUUGAUCCGAAUUUGGUUGAUUAAGAGAAAAAAAAUUUUGAGCUCCCAAUAGAUAGAAAGAAACAUGGCUGCAUAUAAUUGUGGAGGGAAGGAUUUCUUUUUUUUUUUUUUAGAAAAAAAGGAGACAAAGCCUUAAUUAGCAAGAGCUCUUUUUGUACGAAUGAACAAGUGCAUUUAUGUAUGGUGACUUGGUCACGUUUUUAAGUUUCCUACAUGUAUUGCUUGGAUCCAUUAGUGAUAUUUACAGUUUGUAAUGGAUUGAUUCAUUAAGCAGUGCAGUCAAUUUGUUGUUGGAUGUAUGCUUCAAAAGCUUGGUCUUUCGUCAAAAAAUUAAUUGAAUGGUUCAAGCUAGGUGUUAUGCAAAAAGAUUCAAAUAAAUGGUUCAAGUUAGGUGUUUUUUUUUUUUAUAACAUUAUAAGCAUUGGAUGGAUUUUUGCUUUAAUCUAAAUAGUUUUAGAGUUAGCAGCUUGUUUUGGACACUCUUUAAUACUCGUUUUGGAGAGAAACCAUGCCUUUCUGCCUCUUUGUAUCGAAAUGGACAAGGAAACAGCAAGAUGCAAAGAGCAAAUUUGAUACUUACAAUAGUAUAAUCUAUUUCUCAAUAUCAAAGGAGGGUUUGGGAAUCAAAGGGUGACAUGUGUCGCCCUAAACCCUUUUACUCUCUCUCCACCCAAAACCAAUAACUUGAUAUUUUUAAAAGUAUAGUAGCUAAAUUUUAUAUAUAUCAAAAUUUAAAAUUUUGAUACUUUCAAAUUUUAUAUUUUAUAUUUUAAAAUUUAAAUUUAAUUUAUAAUAUUUAUUUUUAAAAUUUAAAUUUUAAAUUAAUUAAUUAAUUUUAUUAAUAAUUCAUAAUAUAUAAUAUAGUUAAUUAAUUUUAUUAAUAAUACGCAUAAUAAAUUGCGUAAUAAAAUCUAACCUAAUAGAUGCAAUUUAAAUCACGUAAAGUGUCACGCUCCGAGCUCCGCCUAUUUGGUCGGAUUCGGGCACGCCGACAGACCGCCGAACGGACANNNNNNNNNNNNNNNNNNNNNNNNNNNNNNNNNNNNNNNNNNNNNNNNNNNNNNNNNNNNNNNNNNNNNNNNNNNNNNNNNNNNNNNNNNNNNNNNNNNNNNNNNNNNNNNNNNNNNNNNNNNNNNNNNNNNNNNNNNNNNNNNNNNNNNNNNNNNNNNNNNNNNNNNNNNNNNNNNNNNNNNNNNNNNNNNNNNNNNNNNNNNNNNNNNNNNNNNNNNNNNNNNNNNNNNNNNNNNNNNNNNNNNNNNNNNNNNNNNNNNNNNNNNNNNNNNNNNNNNNNNNNNNNNNNNNNNNNNNNNNNNNNNNNNNNNNNNNNNNNNNNNNNNNNNNNNNNNNNNNNNNNNNNNNNNNNNNNNNNNNNNNNNNNNNNNNNNNNNNNNNNNNNNNNNNNNNNNNNNNNNNNNNNNNNNNNNNNNNNNNNNNNNNNNNNNNNNNNNNNNNNNNNNNNNNNNNNNNNNNNNNNNNNNNNNNNNNNNNNNNNNNNNNNNNNNNNNNNNNNNNNNNNNNNNNNNNNNNNNNNNNNNNNNNNNNNNNNNNNNNNNNNNNNNNNNNNNNNNNNNNNNNNNNNNNNNNNNNNNNNNNNNNNNNNNNNNNNNNNNNNNNNNNNNNNNNNNNNNNNNNNNNNNNNNNNNNNNNNNNNNNNNNNNNNNNNNNNNNNNNNNNNNNNNNNNNCUAUAUAAAAAUAUUAAAAAAAUAAAAUUUAUUAUAAAAAUAUUUUUACAUUUGCAGCAUUGCGCGGGUAUUUCACUUGUCUUCUACUAUAUUAAAGGAGGGUUUGAGGAGACCUUGGGGUGACAAAUGUCCCUCGAACCCUUCCCUACUCUCUCUCAUAUAUAUAUAUAUGUAUAUAUAUGUAUAUGUAUAUAUGUGUAUAUAUAUAUAUAUAUGUGUAUAUGUAUAUAUGUGUAUAUGUAUAUAUGUGUAUAUAUAUAUAUAUGUGUAUAUGUAUGUGUAUAUGUGUAUAUAUAUAUAUAUGUAUAUAUAUAUAUAUAUGUGUAUAUGUAUAUAUGUAUAUAUAUGUGUAUAUGUAUAUAUGUAUAUAUAUGUAUAUAUAUGUAUGAAUGAGGGUACUAUGCUAUCGGAAGCACGGAGCCUUCCGUGCUUCCAGCUCGUUUUCGAUGUUGCGAUUUUCGAAUCGUCGAUUGGCUCCGUUAAAAUUGAUCUAGAGUAUUUGAAGUGCCUAGAAAAUAAAUUUUAUUAUUUUUCGAUAUCAUUUGCCUAGUGAUCGAAUGAGCUCAAAAUCAACAAAUUUCAAUGGCCGUAGUGAGCCGUUUGCAAGUUUAACGGUAUAGAAAUAUCCAAAUCACGUGAAAUUUUGAUAGAAAAUUUUUUAUACUAUAUAAAACAAGAUCAAUAUUUUUGAUUUAAAAUUUUAAUGUCAUAUUANCGGCAGGCUGAGUUCAAGCACCGUGAGACAUUCUCGGCCGUCGACGAAAAGGAAAUAGUUGGGAGAUAUGAUGAUAAAGAGAAAAUUGUGAAGCUACUGCUAGAGACGGCCGGCGAUCACGACGUGUCGGUCAUUCCGAUCGUGGGAUUGGGGGGUUUGGGGAAGACGACGCUCGCUCAAAUGGCCUUCAACGACGGACGGGUUACGGGCCAGCAGCGCUUCGAUCUACGGGUGUGGGUCUGCGUGUCUACCGAUUUCCACAUGAAGACGAUUGAUUGCAAAGCCGGUAAUAUCUGCAACCAAAGAGGAGUGUGAUCUUGAUAACUUGGAAUCCGUAGCGAGUUUUCUCCUCAGGAUUUUUAGUCUAAACAGAUUUUUGCUGGUGCUGGACAAUGUAUGGAACGAAGAUCAGGAAAAGUGGGAGAAAUUGAAGGUCUUAUUUAAGGACGGCAAGAAGGGAAGUAAAAUUUUAGUGACCACACGGAGCAAGAAGGUUGCCACGAUAAUGAAAACAGUCGAACCACACCAUGUGAAAGUCUUAUCAGAUGAUGAUUGUUGGACAUUGUUCAAAAGACGGGCAUUUGACGAAGGGGAAGAGAACGACUAUCUGAGCUUGCUCGAAAUCGGAAAGCAGAUAGUUAGGAAGUGCGGCGGUGUGCCUUUAGCAGCAAAUGCUUUAGGAAGUAUGAUGCGCUUUAAGAGCAGGACGGAGGAUGCAUGGUCCGCUAUUAGAGAUAGCGAAAUAUGGAGGUUGGAAGAAGAAGGAACUAUUUUACCAUCAUUGAAAUUGAGCUACAUUCAGAUGCCAUCAGCUUUGAAGCAGUGCUUCGCUUACUGCUCCAUAUUCCCCAAAGACUAUGACAUUGACAAGGAUGACUUAAUCCGGCAAUGGAUUGCUUUAGGCUUCAUUUCAUCGCAUGAAAAAGGGACUUCGAUGGAAGAUAUUGGGAAUGAGUACUUUAACGAUCUAUUAUGGAUGUCUUUCCUUCAACAAGUGUGGGAAAGUUUUAGCAAGGUUACCUGCCGUAUGCAUGAUUUAGUGCAUGACCUCGCACAAUCUGUGGCAAAAGAAGAAGUUGCUGUUAUAGGUGCAGAAGACUAAGCAAGGAUCCCAGAAGGUUGCCGCUAUGCAUCAAUACAGAGUCGUUUCAUGCCACAAGUUUCAAUUACCGUAAUGCGAAGGUUGCGAACUCUUCAAUUUAGGGAAUCUGGUUCACCUAUUAUGAAUUUUUAUAGCGAAGCAAAAUGUUUACGCCUGUUGGAUUUACAUGAUUCCAAAAUUUCUAUGUUGCCAAGCUCAAUCAGUAAGUUGAAGCUCUUAAGAUACCUCAACCUUUCGGAGAACAGUAUACAAGAAUUGCCUAAAUCAAUUACCAGCCUCUGCAACUUGCAAACCUUGAAUCUUUCAGGCUGCCAAAAGAUCCGUACAUUACCCAAAUUUCUAGGAAGGCUUACGAAUUUGCGGAGUUUAGAUUUAAGAGAUUGCAAAUCUCUGACAAUACCAGACUCCAUUAGCAACCUUCAGAAUUUGUAAGCACUAAAUUUGAGUUCGUGCGAAAAGGCGAUAUCACUUGAACCUAUAUGUCACCUCAAAAACCUGCAUUACCUGGCCCUAUCACAUCUAGAUUCUUUGGUGACAUUACCUGAAUCCAUUGGGAGCGUUCAAAACUUGCGUAUUCUGAAUAUUUCUUGGUGCUCUUCUCUACUAUCAUUACCCUCAUCGUUUUGUCAACUCAAAAACCUACAUAACUUAUACCUAUUAUUUCUGACUUCUUUGGUGACAUUACCUGAAUCCAUUGGGAACCUUCAAAACUUGCGUCAUCUGAACCUUAUGUGUUGCUCUUCUCUACUAUCAUUACCCUCAUCGUCAAGUGAUCUUCAGCAUUUAGAGAAACUAGACAUUAGUAAUUGUGAAAAAUUAUGUGAGCUGCCUAAAAUGAUCCAAAAGCUGACCAAACUAAAAGAAUUGUUAAACUCCCAUUGCUCGGAAUUGAAGGGCAUGCCUCGAGGGAUCGGCAAGUUAGUUAGCUUGCAGGAAUUGUCCCUUUUUGUCGUCGGCAAGCAAGACCGCGUCGAACAUUGUGCUAGCAUUUCUGAGCUAGAGCACCUUAAGCUUGUCGGCCGGCUGAAGAUCAAGGGUNNNNNNNNNNNNNNNNNNNNNNNNNNNNNNNNNNNNNNNNNNNNNNNNNNNNNNNNNNNNNNNNNNNNNNNNNNNNNNNNNNNNNNNNNNNNNNNNNNNNAUAUAUUUUUAUUAUUUAAAUUUUAGCAAAAUAAAAAUAUAAAUGCGAGCUUAAUUAUAAAAAGACUCAUUUAUAUGUAAAGUUUCAACAAUUAGAUCAAACUCUAAUGAAUAAAAUUUUAUAAAUUUAUUUUUUAUAUAUAUUUAAUCUAAUCUUUUUUAAUUUAUUGUUCGUUGGCCAGCUUAUGGGCCACCUCGACACGAGCUGAAUUUUUCGGCUCGAUACUUUAACGAGCUAGCUCGCGAACACAAGCCAAUCCCAGUUCGUACGUGUUCGGCUCGUUUACACCCGUACUUGGCAGUAUUUGACAGCUGGAUUAGACACACCUUGUUCUUGAAGUUGACUUGUAUGACAAGGACCGGUGUUUAGAUUCGGAGAGUAAAUUUAAAACAUAAAUUUUUAAUUCGAGGCUAAAUAAUAAUUAUAUCUAAUGUCGAAUUUAUUUAUUUAUUUUUGAGAGAUAGGUAAGAUGCUACCUGCUUCGUUUAUUUCAUUUAGAAAUAAACUUAGUUAGAAAUGUGAAUCAAUUAGGAUUCGAACUUGGGACAUCAGGUACCAACCACCAAACCCUUUGUCGUGCUAGGCACGGUCGGUUAAUGUCGAAUUUAUUACAUUAUCACCUUUCAGAUUUAGACUCUUUUAUGUCAGCCCUUCAAUUAAGCUGGGCAUUCAAUAUGGAAUCUAGAAGUUGACUUGUAGAACACAAAAUUUCUAAGCUAACUUUGGACCUAGAAAUUUUCUACGCGGAUUUUGGGAGUGCUUGCAUUUUGAGACCAUAGUUAGUUAAUUCGGAUUCGGCAAGAGUUCGGUAUGAAUAUAAUACGAAUAAAAUUUGUAUCCUAAUUUUUAAAUCCGUAGAAUAAUACGGCUAAAAAACGGAUUCGCCAAUUAUAUACAGAUACUAUAUGUUCAUCAAUUAAAAAUUCGGGAUAAAAAAUUCGGCUAUUAAAUUAAUUUUUUUUCUCUAGAUUUAUACUAUUAGCAUAAAUACUCAUAAUUCUUAAGAAUAUAAAAAUAAGGAGCUGCAGAAUUAAGCAGAUUUAAGUAAAAAAAAUUAACGACUCAAAUAUUUCAAGUUCUACCACAUGACUGCCUAUCAUGGAUCGAAAGAAUAAAAUCACAUCCAAAAAACAUUAGAAUUAGCCCUCAAUAAUGCAUCAAACAUAACUUAACUCUAAAUAAUUAACCCCACUCCAUUGGUUCUGAGUCUUCAGACAACAUCGAGCAAAUUUCGGGCGAGUGAAUAUUUUUUUUUUUUUUUCCCGUUUUGAGCGCGUGUGCUGCUUGCGGAGGGAGGGUACGGACACCCUCGAUAAUUUCGGGUUCGCGAAUUAUAAACCCUAAAAAACGAGAAUUAUUUUAAUUUUUUCUUAAAAAAAGUACGUAUUCGGUUUCCUUUAUUCGUUAUUCAAAAAAUCUCUUUACAUUUAACCUCUGUUGUUACCAUAUUGAUUCCAUUAGAAAUUUAUUUUUAAUAUCGAACUUGUCCUUUUGCUACCUCCAAUUUCUCUCCUUUUUUGUCUUUUUCUCAUGUAUUUUUUCCUUCAAAUUAAUAUGAUAGAUGAGAAAAAGUAUAUUAAGAGGUUCUAAACCUUCUGUGUCAAUAUGACACCUCGUAAUAUUUAUAGGCUGUACUUGAGUUAUUUCAAUCAAUUAAAUUGAAGGCUUAAUUAAAUUAAUUAUUGAUUCUACUGAAUUUUAUAUUGAGUAUUUUGGUAUUUGCUCUGAAACUAGUUAUUGAGAAUCCGCAACCCACUUUGAUACCGAUUGUUGUAAAUUUAACACUCGUUCUGGUAUGGAUUGUUUGGAUUACGCAAAGAAAGCAUCCAAUCGAAUUUUAACCAUAAACUCAUCUACUCAGCAAAAAUUGAUACAAACACAAAAAAGAAAAAAAUCAAAUAGAAAGCAUAGAUGAAAUAAAUUUCACUAACCAAGAAAAGAAUUAUACCUGACUCCUCUUUUACCCAAAAUAGUUUCAACCCGAGCCCUCUUUCUGAAUCUCCCUCGCUUCUAUCUUGAUUCUAUGAAUUCAGAAGACUACUCUCUCUUUUUCUAAAUCCAUGCUCGAGAUAUAUUGAUCAUCCACAGCCACAGAAGCCGCACACCUCCUCUUACACCUAUACAAUGAUGCACCUAAAACCGUGGACACUUUGGGCCACACACGACAUGCCUUCCGACUGAGACGUACGGCUCAUCAAGAGCACCCACAACAUGGCCGUAAUUGUGCUUAUUGAUGGGAAUCCAGUACUCACCCUGGUACCGGAUCUUGAGAAUCUGCAGCACGCUCCGAUACCGACUGUUGUUGAUUCGGUACCAGAUGUUGCGAUUUUGCAACGGAAGCAUCGAAUCGAAUUUUUACCAUAAAUCCGUCUCCUCAGCAGAAGCUGAUACAAUCAGAAAAGUGAGUAAAAACCAAACAGAAAAAUAUACGGGUAAAAUAAGAUUCACUAAAUAAGAGAAUAUUACAUCUGACUCCUCUUCAAUAAUAGAGUAGCUUCAACCCGAGCCCUCUUUUUGAAUCUCUCCUAUUUUCUCGUCUUCUAUAAACCCACAAAAGAAGACUUCUUUUUUUUUUCUCUCUUACAUGCACCCGUGCACUAGGAGCAUGCAACCGGGCCUAGGCUUCUCCACUAUACGGUCACCACCAUAAAAAGGCUCUCUCUCAUCCGAACAUCAUCUAGACUCACUACAAUUUGCAUACUAUGGCCCAAUAUUUAAAGCGGGCUCCACCCAAAAUAUACCCAAAUCCUAGUAUAAUUAGAAUUCCUACUCCAAUUAAUAUUUAAAUCUAUAUUUUAUUUAUCUCCAAUAUAUUUAAAUAUUUAUCAUAAUCUAAUUAGAUUUAUACUCUAAUUAAUAUUUAAAUCUUAAUUUAUCUCUAAUAGAUUUAAANGUCUACUGACAGCUCAAAGUCGACAAAAGAGUUAUGCGGAUAAACGUCGGCGAGAACUGGAAUUUCAAGUUGGCGAUCAUGUAUUUUUGAAGGUUUCACCGACGAAAGGAGUUAAAAGAUUUGGCAUUCGAGGAAAGUUAAGCCCUCGAUUUAUUGGACCCUACGAGGUGUUGGAGCGGAUAGGCCCCGUAGCAUAUCGGCUUGCUUUGCCGCCGAACCUAUCGGGAGUGCAUAAUGUGUUUCAUGUGUCCACACUUCGGAACUAUGUAUUUGAUCCAACCCACGUACUGGAGAGUAUUCCAGUAGAGUUGCAUGAAGAUUUGAGCUUCGAAGAGCAUCCCGUGAGAAUACUAGCUCGAGAAGUUAAACGGCUUCGAAAUCGCGAGAUACCCUACGUGAAGAUCCUUUGGAGCAAUCACGAGGAACGGGAAGCCACUUGGGAACUGGAGAGUGCAAUGCAAGAGCAUUAUCCCUAUCUAUUCUCAAUGGAGCCUUGAAGUAAGUAUUUACAAGUUUCGCGGACGAAACUUCUUUUUAGGAGGGGUGAAUGUAAUACACUGACUCUAGCAAAUUGCGGAGUCCGAGUGUGUGGAAUGAGUUGUGGAACUAUCCUACGUGUUCUAAAGGACUUAAACAAGUUUUUGGACAAGUUUGAAAGUGAUUGGAUGGCUAAAAACAGGAAAGUGCAUUGAUUGGGCGAAAUCAGCCUUUUCUGCUUGGUGUACCGGUACAGCCAUUAUGGUGUACCGGUACACAAUGGAAAAACGUGGCAGCAGGGCUAUUUUGGUAAUUUCACACUUUGAUCCUAUCUAUUUCAUUCCAGCACGACUCCUGGGGCUCAGUGGAGGUUGCUGGAGACCAGAGAAGCAACUUUGCACCAUUCUCUCUUUCUCUCUCUAGGGUUUUUCUCUCUCUAGAUAAAAGUCGCCGUUUCGCGCCGAUUUCGCGCCGCGCUCGUCGCUCGCUGGUUCGGUGGGCUUGGGGCCAGCUUUUAAAAGGUAAAGGGAGGUGUUUUGACAGUGUUUUUCAUGUCUAUUACUGAGAGUUGCUGAACGAGAACUUUAGAAAAGUAUUUAGUUCAAUUUCUCUCUAGUUUGCGGUUUAUCGUCGGAAUUUGACGUGUUCUUAUUCCGUUGCUUCCAGCAGAGUUGUCUGGGGUUCUUGCAGCUAGAAAGGAGAUAUCUAGCUGUGAUUUAACCACUUUGAUCCAGGGAAAAAUUGCCUUGAGGCUUGAGACAGGUAUUUAGUCAACUAUUAAACUAUUUCGGACCCUUAGGCGACCUAAUCGAAUAAUUGACGCAGUUUGAGGUCGUUCUUUUCGCAGCAGGUUUCCAAGUAUCAUUUAACUAAAUUGAGGACCUGGGGAUCUGGUUUGGAGGGUAUUCUAACUAAGGGUAAGCUAGAACUUCAGUUAGAAAACUGAAAUUGCAAGUUUCCGGCAAUAUUUAUUGGUAGUCAAUGAUUUUGACGCCGUUUUGAUCAUGUUCGCAGCGAAAGGGUAAUUGACCCUUGGAUCAUCUUCGACUGGCAUCGAAGGGCUUUUUGGCAGCUUCUCUUGAGGUAAAACACUAACCCAGAAUAGGGAUUCAAGGGGUUACUUUGUACUAAGUGUAAAUUAGGCCGAAAUCGGACAUUCGGUCGUUAUUUUGACUCGGCUUUGAUGCCUUAUUUUCAGCAGGAGUGUGACUUCGUGGGGCUGAUUUUGGGACGUCUUGUGACUGCUUUGAGCAUAGUACGAGGUGGGUCGGACCUAACCAGAGCAAGUGAAUCCCUAGGUCUACGUAUGUAUUGAUAGAAAUGGUUUAUUGGUGCUAUGGGCGAUCGUUAAAGGCUCCGAACUCGUCAUCACGACGUUAUCAUAGGUGAGAGAGCCGUGUAUGCAUAAAGGAUCAUGCAUUCAGUAUUUUUGUUUUGAUUCAGGUAGAACACACUAGAAUUCAGUUAUUAUAUUUCAUAUGAUAUAAGAACUAUAACAUGAAAGUAUUCCACAUUUAUAUCAAUCAGUUGAAUGUCGUUUGAACAAUGGACGGAACAUUUAAAGUAGAGAACAAGAAUUCCGUUGACUCGAACGUAGAGAAAAUCGACAUGCCGGACUAGUGAGAUGGCCAUACAGGGACAAGAUUAAAUGCUAUGUGAUUAGCUUACCUACCAUGUUUACAAAUCUAGCGGAACUAGCUCUUGUCUAUUGUGAUGAAAUUCCGCGAUGCUAGGAUCGAGGUAAAGAACUUGCAGAUAUGAAAUUGUGAAUAGGAAUUGGAUAUUGGUUGCUUGCACCGUGCUCAAUUCGCAGCACGCUGUGAGGGUAGCUCCUACAAGCCGGCACUCCGGAGUGGCCUAGCGACAGUCUCCCCCGUCGGAUUGGGUGCCGAAGUGGUUGCGGGGAGUGUAUACCACCACGGGACCAUUAGGCGCGGCGCAAGCUGGACUACCUGUAGGUCCCGUAUGAAAGGAAAGUACCUAAAUGAAGAAGAGACAUAAAUGACAGGUUUAUUACGGUAAAGUGUACAGUAUCACUUUUAAAUCGUGCUUAUACCAUGCUAUGUCAUGAUACAGAAGUCGCUAUAUUCUUUUUAGGCAAGAUGGUUCUAUUACCGCCGUAGAAAGCGUAUUACACUGUUGAUAUAGCAGCUAUAUUAUAGGCACAUGCUUAUAAAUCAUCAAUAUGGUUCAUUGCUUUCAUUUAGGACAUCUUGAGCCUAUUGGUGUGAGUCGCCGAGGCUGGCGGCUUACCCACUGGGAACUAGGUAAUAGUUCUCACAGGCCUUGGUGGUGUUGACAGAGCCUAGUUACAGGAGAGGCUAAGGAUCGGGUCAAGGGAGUCCGCCGAGGCUAGGGACUACUAGGAAGCUGCUAGUCGAUCACUCUUGCUACUCGGGCUAACGCCGAGGGUGAGUCCUAUGUAUAGAGAGACCACCGUUGUACCUAUUCUUUUUGGUAUACCCAGAUGUAAAUGGUACUUUUAGGGUUGAGAUCGUGGUGUUACUUCUCCCUUUUGUUGAGAUCUUGGAGUUGUAUGACUCUAUUGAUUUGGAACCUGGAUUUGAUACACCGUGUAUCCGACUUGACCUUGCUGCUGAAUACAGGAUCGAGACUCUCUUGGUUUACUUCUCUAUCCUAACUUGCUAUCUUGUAGAGCAGGCCUUAAUACUGCAGGUUAGCGGGGUCUGUCCAGUUGGCCGAGAGAAUGCUUACCGCGGGGUACCGGGCGUGACGAAUUAUGGACCAGGAGCCUAGGUUGCAGUCUUAGUAAACGUCUAGCAACCUUAGGGCGCGCUGGUGACUAUAAUAGGAAGAUGCCGGCUGGAGAACGAUGCGAGUCGAGGUUGUUGUUAGCUGAGGGUAACUUGAUGGGGGCCUUUAAACUCCAUAGUAGUAGGUGAUCGUGGAUGUGCAAGUACUACUUUGGGCCGAGGUACUUCGCGUCCGGCCGACAACGUGAAUCGGAAGUUAUAGGCGUUACAUUUCCAUUACGUUUCCGCUCGAUUAGCGGUUUAUAUCCUCAAUGAGCGGUUUCAGUUAGAAAUGGUUUAUUGACCUAGUUGUUUUGUGUUGCAGUUCAAGAUGCCGGACUGAUCGCUCUGGGAACGCCGGGCGGCUGAGCGCGGCCGCUGGCGGGAAGAGGUAGAGAACCUUCCCGCACGCGCGGCGUUCGCACGUGAGCUCCAUAGAGUUCAGGAUCAGCUUGCGACGCUGACAGAGUGGUAUCAGCAGCCGCGGCAGCACGUCAGCAGAUGGAGCGCUGCGCGUCGCAGGCAGGACACGGAUGAAGAGGUUAGAGGACUUACAGCGGCAGACAGACCGACAGAGAGAUUGCCAGAUGCGACCCUAUAGCACCCAAGAGAGGGGCACGACAAGUGAGAGCACAAGGUCACCGACGGACCCGACACACCCCCAGGCUGCCGAGGGUAGACGACGCCGACGAGGAGACGAUACCACCAUCAGUACCCUGUAGCAGCAUCAAGGGACUGUGUUACCCGAGUGGGCGGGGUGAGAAGCGGGGAAGCGGAUAUGAUGGAUACGAGCGAAUGAAUCCGUCGCCUGCAAUCCCUCAUGUCUUUGAUGGGAGAAGCAGAUCAUUGGUAGAUGUGAGAAAUGGUAAUGCACAAUGGAGAAUUAUUCUAUGACACCGUUUGUUGAGGAGCAGUAUCCGAGUCUGGUUUGCGACACACCACCUUGAUCGUGAGGCUACAGGGUGGGUGACAUUCGCAGAGGAUCCCCGUGCUGACUUGUCUGCUAUUCACGUGGAACAGAUUCAAGGAACCGUUGGUGACUACUUACUUGCCCCCAAGUGUAAAGAACAAAUGGACAAGGGAUCUGAGAACCUAGACACGGGGAAGAAGUGGCAGCGUUAUGGGAAAGAGUUUCUCUCGAUACUCACCUGUGUUCCUUUUGUAGUCGAGAUAAGGACAAGGCUCGAUAUUAGGUGGGUUGCGACCUGCGCAUCGGUCACAUUGUCGCACGGCCGCAAACAUCUCCACUCUAACCGGGAUGUCGUGAACCGGGCCUUCUGUUGUUGAGAAGGGGGCAGAAAUCAUCGAAGAUCAAGAGAUGUUGUGGAACUCGAAGCAAGGGAGAAGAGAAGCAGCAGCUGGAGAGGCAUGGUCAGCAGUCCUUUCGGAGACGCGCCAAAGUAAUCCGAAGGAACAGAGCCGACAGUCGUGACAGUUCGAGGGUCGAGGUUCUUCAGCACCCGUGGAGCACCCAGAGCCGUCGACCACGCGCUUGUGAUUUCUGUGUGCCACGUAACCGCCCAAUGUGUCGCACAGCGUGGGGGCCGGGGCGUUCUUGUGCGCGCCCAGAGGGCACUUUCGUCAGAGUCCCGAGAUUCUUUGCCAGCACCCUCGUUAGCGGACUACCACCUGCAUCGUCAGCAACGCGAGCCAGGGGACCCGACACGCGUCUUAUCAGUCAGGCCGACCACCAGGGACACGCAGUCGAGAGUCAAGGCAGGGUUCGAGUGCGGGAUGUAUGCCGCCGAGACUGAGGUGGCCGCCACAGCAGCAAGGAGGUGCGAGCAGGUAUAUUACUUAUAAGGCGUGUUCGUGCGCAUUUAUUUGAGUAUGUGCUAUACGCAUUCGUUAUUGAUCGUGCAGUUCGACGGAGUUGCAUAGCAAAAGUAGCACCUACUUUGUUAUUGGGACAUAAAUUGUACCUAGACCAUAACCUAGAGGUUCGGAGUUUUGCCCUCGCUGGCCCAGUUAGGGUAGCGAUGAUUCAUGCCAGUAAUGUCAUCUAGCAUACACAAACUAGUGAGUUGAGUGUAGAUGGGUAUGAGCUGUUGACACAGAUCAUGGCUACUAUAGAUUCAACGACAGAACGGACCUUUAAGAACGCGGUCAACAGGAGUUUGUUUAUAAGCGACGAUGUCAGAGUCAUUGGUCACAAGCCAUUAGUUCCGCGACGCACGACAGAAGUCGGAGGGGAUGUUAGGCCUAUUUGGCACAUUUCUGGAGUGGGUGAAGCCAUCAAGAGUGAUAUAUCCACGUUGUGCGCGCAUUCGGGAGUUUUCCAGCUAAGUUGCCGCAUGCCACGCAUGAUAGGGAAAGUCGAAAUUGUGAUUGAUCUGUCGCCUCGGACACCGCCCAUUGUCUAAGGCGCCUUAUAGAUGGCACCGCGAUUGGAAAGAGCUGAAGGACAGUUACAAGGAUCUUUAGAUAGGAUUAUUCGACCGAUGUGUAUCGCUUGGGGAGCGCCGUUAUGUCAAGGAAGAAAGAUGGAUCUCUUUCGAUGUGGCGUGAUUCGACAAAUCAACAAGGUCCACAUCAAGCAACAAAAUCCAUGGCCGUAGAAUUCGAUGAAUAUUGGACCAGCGGCAGGAUCGAAGGUUAUUCCAAGAUUGAUUUUGGCAAUCUGGUACCAUCAGCGUAAGACAACCUGAAGAUGUUUCGGAAAACUGCUUUUAGAACAGGUAUGGGCAGUAUGAUUUACAGUCAUGCCAUUUGGAUUGACUAAUGCCAGCAGCCUUUAUGGAUUUAAUGAGCGCGUGUCUUAAGGCCUAUUUGAUAAAUCGUGUAGUGUUUAUCGAUGAACAUCUUGAUCUAUUCCGAAGUGACGACGAACACGAAUCAUGAUUGAGAGUGGGUUGGCAAGACUGCCGCAGAAAAAAAGCUGUUUGCAACCAAGAAACCGAAUUUGGCUGCUCGAAGAAGUGGCAUUUCUGGACAUGUAAUUCGGAAACUGGAUAGCUGGGGAUCCACAGAAGAUGAGGCGAUUAAAGAUUGGCCUAGGCACGACAGGUCACAGAGAUCCGGAGUUCCUUGGAUUGGCGGGAUACUACGGAAGAUUGAAAAAAAAGGAUUGGCAAAGAUGUCUACUCCUCUCACAUCACCACACAUAAAGAGAAUAAUUCUAGUGAACGAAGCUUUGAAAGAACUAUCCAAGAGCUGAAAGGAACAUUGCCACCGCCCCGAUUCUAGCACUAAGCUUUACUCGGAGUGGAUAUUGAUUUACACAGCGAUGCGUCGCUGAAUGGGUUAGGGUGUUCUAGUGCAUGAAAUGCAACGUAAUUGCUUAUGCAUCUGCCCAGUUGAAGAUAUGAAAAGAACGACCCUACACAUGAUUAAGUUGCAGUGUGGUUUUGCCUAAAGCUUGCGCCACUACCUUCUACGGGCGAGCGUGGCGAGGUUUACAACGAUCAUAAGAGCUUAAAGUAUCUGUUACUUUCAGAAGGAAUGACAACCUGAGGCAACGAGAUGGGUGUAGUAGCUCAAGAUUAUGAUGACAUUUUGACUAUCAUCCAGGAAAAGCUAAUGUGUAAGCAGAUGCUUAAGGCAGAAAAUCGACGGAAAAUUGGCGAUGUCGAUAACUAUGGCAGCCCCUGUUGAUUAAGGACCAUGGAGCAUUGAAUGUGAAGGUUAGCCCUGAUAGCCUGGAACUUAAUGUCAGGGUGAGGUGAAACCUACCCGAUGAUCGAUCGAAUUAAAGAAAAGGCAAGCUCAAGAAUGAAUCCCUGGCAAUAAGAUUCGAGUAAAGAUCAUGCUGAAUGUGUGAUUCGAGUGGAUGAUUCAGGGACUAUUAAGAUUUAGAUAGGCUUGUGUGCCAGCAAAUCAGAGACAUUAACAAAGAUGUUUUAAAGAGGCACCACCGGGCGCGGAGACGUACCAUACCCUGGAAGUACAGAAAAUGUAUAUAGGAUUCUGACGUUACACUUACCUGGUGGCUAGCACAUGAAAAAGGAAGUGGCGGACAUACGUCUAAGUGUUUAACGUCAGCAGGUUAAAAGCUGAACACGACUUCCUGCGGGAAAUCGUCAGAGCUACCCAGACAGUGUGAAGUGGGAGAUGGAUAGCUAGGAUUCAUCGUGGAUUCCCCCAAGCAGUACAGCGAUGCAAUUUGGUAAUGGUGGAUGCGAUUGACUCACUCUGCCCCACUUAUUCCAAUCCACACACUUGGUCAGGAGAAACUCGCACAAUAAGCUGAUAAAAUGCGCGAUUAACGAUGGAGUAACACAGGCCUCUAUGUUCGGAUCGAGACACCCGAUUCGUUCACAUUCUGGAGAAUUUACAGGAAGGCCAAUGGGACCUCGAUUCGAUUUAAGUAUAGACGCUUGCCACCCCCAAGUGAUGGCAGCCGGAGCGACUAGCCAGACCCUUGAGAUAGUUGCGCGGCGCUGUGUGAUUGAUUAGCAAGGCAGUUGGCCCGAGUUCGUACCGGAGGGCUGAAUGCUUAUAACAACAGUUAUCACGCAAGCUAUUCAGAUGGCCACUUUGAGCCCCUUAGGUAGAAAAGUCGCAGAUCACACUUCAUGGAGUGAAGUCGGUUGAGAGAUGGUUGGCCAGACCGAUUUACAAGAGGCUGAAGCUAAGUGCGACUUGCGCGAGAAGCUACUGACAGCUCACCAAGUCGACAAAAGAUUAUGCGGAUAAAUCGGGAAACGAGGAAUUCAAGUUGCGACAACGUAUCUUUUGAAGGAUUUCACGAACCGAAAGAGGAGUAAAAGAUGUUGGCCAUUCGAGCAAGUUUAAGCCCUCGAUUAUUGGACCUACGAGGUUUGGAGCGGAUAGGCCCCGUAGCAUAUCGGGCCGUGCUUUGGCCGCCGAACCUAUCGGGAGUGCAUAAGUGUCUGGUCCACAUUCGGAACUAUUAUUUGAUCCAACGGCCACGUACUGGAGAGUAUCCAGUAGAGUUGCAGAAGAGUUUGAGCUUAAAGAGCGCAGCCGUGGAGAAUACUAGCUCGAGAAUUAAACGGCUUCGAAAUCGGAGAUACCUACGGAAGAUCCUUGGAGGGCAAUCACAGGAACCGGGAAGCCACAUGGGAACUGGAGAGGCAAGCAAGAGCAUUAUCCAUCUAUCUCAAUGGAGGCUUGAAAGUAAGUAGUUACAAUUUCGGCCGGGCAACUCAAACUGCUUGUUAGGAAGGGUGAAUGUAAUACACUGACCUAGCAAUUGCGGAGUCGGCGAGAUGGGAAUGAGUUGGGAACAUCUAAUGUUCUAAAGACUUAACAAGUUUUGGACGAAGUGUUGAAGUGAUGGAGGCUAAAACAGGAAAGUGCCAUGAUUGGGCGAAAUAGACCUUUCUGCUUGUGACACGCGGUACAAGCCAUUAGGUGUAACCGAUACACAAGGAACAACGCACACGGCUAUUUGCAUUUUCACACUUUUGAUCGUCAUCAUUUCAUUCCAGCACGACUCCUGGGCUCGUGGAGGUUGCUGGAGACCAGAGACGAAACUUGCACCAUUCUCCGUCUUCUCUCUCUAGGGUUUCUCUCUCUAGAGAAAAAGUCGCCAGUUUCGCCCGAUUUCGCGCGCCCUCGUCGCAUCGCUGGUUCGGUGGGCUUGGGCCCAGCUUUAAAAGGUAAAGGCGAGGUGUUUUACAGUGUUUUUCAUGUUUACUGAGAUUGCCUGAAUCGAGACACUUUAGAAAGUAUGUUAGUCAAUUUGCUCUCAGUUUGCGGUUUAUCGUCGAAUUUGACGUGUUCUUAUCUUGUCCAAGAGAGUUGUCCUGGGUUCCGGCAGCUAAAAGGGAGAUAUCUAGCUGUGACUUUAACACAACUUGGAUCCAGGGGAAAAAUUGCCUUGAGGCUUGAGACAGGUAUGUUAGUCACUAUUAAACUAUUUCGGCACCCUUAGGCGACCUAAUCGAAAUACUUGACGCAGUUUGAGUCGUUCUUUCGCAGCAGGUUUCCCCAAGUAUCAUAUUAACUAAAUAUGAGGACCUGGGCGACUGUUGGAGGGUAUUCUAAACUAAGGUUAAGCAGAACUUCAGUUAGAAAACUGAAAUUGGCAAGUUUCCGGCAAUAUUUAUUGGUAGUCAACGAUUUGACGCCGUUUUGAUCAUGUCGCAGCGAGAAGGGUAAUUGACCCUUGGAUCAUCUUCGACUGGCAUCGAAGGGCUUUUGGCAGCUUCUCUUGAGAAAACACAUAACCCAGAAUAGGGAUUCAAGGGUACUUUGUAGCUAAGUGUAAAUUAGGCCGAAAUCGGACAUUCGGUCGUUAUUUCGACUCGGCUUUGAUGCCUUAUUUUCAGCAGAGUGUGACUUCGUGGGCUGAUUUUGGGACGUCUUGUGAUCGUUGGAGCGCUAGUACUGAGUGGGCUCGGACCUAAACCAGAGCAAGUGAAACCCUCAUUUCCUAUAGUAAUUAUAGAAAUGUUAAUUGUGUGUUAUGCGAUUGUUAAUAGGCUCGGGAUACGUACAUCACGACGUUUAGAUCAUAUAGUGAAUGACGUUUAUGCAUAAAAGUACUAUGCAUUCAGUAUUUUGAUGUCAGUGAAGCAACUAGAAUUCAUUUAUUAUGUUUCCUCAUGAUAUAGAGAACAUAUAUACGAUGAAGAUAUUCACAGUUAUAUUCAAUCAGACUUGAAUGUCUCGUUUGAACAAGUGAGGAUACACUUUAAAGUAGAGCAACAAUGACAUUCUCUUGACUGCGAACGUAGAAAGAACUCUGACAUGCUCUGGACUAUGUUGAUAAGUGCCCUCUAACUAGUGAAAAGAUUAUAAUUGCUCUAUGUGAAUUUUAGCUUACCUUACGAUUUUACAAUCUAGUGAUACUAGCUCUUGUUACUAUGGGUAUUGAAAUUCCGAUCAGGAUCGGGAAAACUUUGCAAUGAAAUUAUGAAAUUGUUGGAUAUGUGGAUAUUGGAUAUGUUUGCUUGCCAUCGGCCAUUCGCGACGCUGUGAGGGGUAGCUCCUACAACCGGACUCCUGGAGUUAGCCUAUGCGACAGUUGUCCAGCCCGUGCGGGAUGGUUGGUCCGAAGGGAUGCCGGGGGAGUGUAUACUACCACGGGCCUAUAGGCGCGGCGCAAGCUGCGACUACCUUGGGUAGGUCCCUGGAAUGAAAAUGAGAGGGUACAAAUGAAAAAGACAGUAAGAAUGUUUAUCUUAAAGUGUACAGUAGUCACUUUUAAUAUCGGGCUUAUACUCAAUGUCAGUCAUGAUUCACAGAAGUUGCUAUAUCUCUUUAUGCAAAUGAGUUCAUUACUGUAUGAAAGCUAUUACAUGUUUGAUUACAAUGCUUCAUUACUUAUUAGCAGGCAUGCUUAUAAAUCACUUGCAUAUAUUCGUUAUGCUUUCAUUUAGUACAUCUUGAGCCUACGAUGGUGUAAUCGCGGAGGCUGGCGCGUUACCCACUGGAACUAUGAAUAGUUCCACAGCCUUUUAGUGUUGUUAUCAGAGCCGUUACAGGAGAGGCUAGGAUCGUGGCAAUGGAGUCGCGCCUAGCUUAGGGCUACUAGUGAGCGUGCUAGUCGAUCACCUUGCUACUCGGGUACGCCGAGGGGUGAUUCCUCAAUGUAUAGAGAGACACCGCCGGUUACCUAUUCUUUUGUAUACCCAUAUGUAAUUUACUUUUAGGGAUUGAGAUUAGUGUGUACUUUCUCCUUUUGUUGAGAUCUGGUAGAUGUUGUAUACCUUUGUAUUUGUGACUGAAAUUGAUACUCGUUGGGAUUAUCACUGUACCUUUGGCUGCUGAUUAUCAGGAUAGGACUUCUUGUUUUACUUCCUAUCUACGUGCUCUGUAGACGCUUAAUAUCGGCAGGGUGUAUGGCGGCGGGUCUGUGCACGUUCGGCAUGAUGGUACUCGGCUGGAUCGGGCGUGACAGGGCCGUGAGAACUAUAAUUAAUAGGUUCCAGUGGGGCAAUACUAACCUCAAGCUCAAUGCCACACUGCCCCAAAGAAGAGGUACAGUACAUAUAAUAGCAAUAAUGACUGCGAUAUAAAGGCAUAAUUAAAGAUGCUAAUUAGCUAAACUCAAGAACAACGAUGCUCAUGUGAUGAACAUCUACGAUACGAAAAAAGUAGGUCAUUAACGCUUCAAUGAAUACAUUAGCUAUAAGUUCCGUCAUGGACAACAAGUAGCUUUAUGGCAAAAUGGGAGACUAUCAAGUAUACUACAUGUCUCAAACUAGAGCUAAAAGCAUAAUAAAUGAAUUCAACUACUAAAACCUAUCUAGUAAGGGAUUAACCAUUCGACACAGCGCGGUCGAUUUCAUUCCAAUUAAGGAUAUCAAGGAUAGUCUAGCUUGGUGACCGCCUAAGAGCUGUUGCUGGAGCCCAACAUCCACGCUUGAUGUGUCUGUUCCACUCGACCCCGUAGGCUUCUCAAUACCGCCAGACGAACAUAAGAUCGCGCUAGGCUAACUCCGAAUGCGGCUUGGUAGGAGCGGAUCUCGCACAACCAUCGCUGCGAAUGAGCACAAAUAGCAAGCAGCGAUGCCAAGUCUCAAGUGUCCAAUCCUGCAUGUCUCUAACAUGGUAUGAUAACUAGCAUCCCGAUGAUUAUUAUGAUCCAAAGAGAAGUUCCAACAUUCUUACACGCCUUUACGUGCCCGCUUGGACAUUAACAACAAAUGUUGCAACAUAUACCCAAUCCCUCAAUGGCUCUAACCCACUUAGGUCACACAUGUCCGAGCUCAACUGCCGCUUGUAUGACAUUAGCUCUCAAAUACACAUACAUUCUAGUUCGAUAGCUCUAUAAGUGGCAAUUUGGUCAACUUCAUGUCUCAAAGAAACUAGGUUUAAAUGCAUAAAUCCAAUUCAUUUACACAUGAGCAUGGAACAGUCUCAUAUAGAAUGCUAGAGCACAACUAUAGGCCUUACCAAGUACUCUCAACUACAAGAGUCCAACAAUUUCUCAUCAUAUAUACAUAGGCCUUUAAGCAUUCUAAAAUUCACAAUAAAAUACAUAAACAAGAAUAUGCAUGCUUUCAUUUAACAAUACUUAAUAAGCACAAAUGAGCAAUGGCUGCCAUUGUGUGGCUAGGUCAAAACCGCACCGAACGCGCCGUAGGGCCUCCGUUUCGCCGAACAGAUGUCGCCGAGCUCAAAAACUCUAAAAGUACCUGAGCGACAAGCAACACUGGGAUUACGAUCAAUUCAUAUAAGCUGUCAAAUUUAAACAAAACUUAACAAAAGGGCUCACAACUCACCCAAUGGUGAAAAUCUCUUUCAACCCAAAAGAGAGCUGAAAUCCCUUCUAAUCCAACCAAGGAAGGUUUAAUCCACCAAUUUGUUCACAAAGCCGCUGAUCAAAAGCCCCAAAACGAACCCUAAACUCAUUCUAGCGGUUCCAAGACAAUAAAACCUCAAAUCCAAGGCUCUAGAUGGAGGAGAAAGGGCUACCAACCUCUAAGAAGCUCCAAUCCAAGCUCCAAGGGUGAAGUUCUCCUCUUUGGCAAGCUCCAAGUCCAAGCCUCAUGCACCAAGGGAGAAGAGAGGGUGAGGAAGAUGCUCCAAGUCCACUAGUAGCUCUCAAACUUCUUCUUCUUCAUUCAUUCUUCUCCUUCUCCUUCUCCUUCUUCUUCUUCUUCUUCUCUAUCUAGGGUGUAGAGAGAGUUGAGAGGAGAGAAAUGAGGAGAGGAGAGAGGGGAUGGGUCAUAUAGACCAUCUAUUGUAACAAAAUCCAGCUAGGUCCUCCAAAAAUCCAAAAUUGCAUCAGCCCGGUCUGGGCAAUUUUUGCCCAGAGGGACCGGUCUCUCCCCAGCAGGGACCGGUCUCUCGCUGCGAACCCGAAAAACCAACGCUCGGGAACCGGUCUCUUCCUGUGUGGGACCGGUCUCUCUCUGCGAAGGCGCGCACGAGGACCGGUCUCGCCCGCCAGGGACCGGUUGCCUUAGGGCUGCCGCAACACUGUUCACUGGGGGACCGGUCUCUCCUAUCAGGGACCGGUCCCUGAGAGCAAAAACUCUCAGGACUUGUCCAGAAUUCCAGUUUUCGAACUUUUUAGGUCGGAAAACAUUCUACAACCCUCCACCAAGUGCGGAAAAGCUCGAAAUAUAUCCAAACACUCGAACCUCGCACUUUGCAAAGGCCCAGUGUGUUACAUGUAACCUCCUCCACAAUAUAUGAGUAACCUCCUUCACAAUAAGUGUGAGAAGUUCUCCUUUAGUUGUAUAAGUUUCUCAAUCGGACAUUAAUGAAGUGUGUGAGCUUCCAAUUUCUUUACGAGCAUCCGUGGGCCUUUGAUCCGGAGGACGAGAAAGAAUUGCUAAAGAAGGAGGAUGAUUCCGUUUGACAUAGUAGAUCGCUCAAAUGCGUACAUGAUCAGCUGAAGGACUUUUCUUGCUUUACUUCUUCCGGCCCUUCUUUUUCACUUUUCAAGUUGAAUGUUAAGAGGAAACAGAACAAUAGAAGAACUAGAAAAUUGACCCCCUAACACAUUCAUCCAUUCUUUCACCUCGUUCAAGGAGUCAAUAUAUUGACGCAAUAUGUUUUUUGGAGUAAUGUCUUCGAAAUAGUAACAAUGAAUUUGUAAUGCAUAAAUAGUUUGCUCUCUUUCUUUCUUCCUUUUACGUUUUUCUUUUUGUUUGUCUUCCUAUUUUUACGUAGUCUUGUUACUUGUUACCGUAUUUUUGUAGCUAAGUUUAUAUUCUUAUUGAAUGAAGCGGUAGCAUGCUAUUUUUUUUCUCGAAGAAAAAAAAAUUUGUAGCACAUAAAUUGGGAGUAUUCAACAACAUUUUUCAUUUCAUAUUUGUGGGGGAGUUUUCACUUUUUAUCUUUACUAUAUACGGCCUCUAAACUUUGGGUUUUGAAUAUUGUUAUAGACUAUCGUUAAUUCUGCUAUUUUCUUCGCCAUAAGUGUAAUUAUAUAUGGUCUUUAUGUCUAAGCGCUUUCAUAUUUUGCAUUAGAGAUGGAUUAAGGAACAUGACCCUACAGUGCAGUUUUUCUCCAGCGGGUAUGAUAGGUUGGUCUUCUUAGGGUGUUUGACUACUGGCUUAGAUUGUCCAGUCUUUAAGUAAGUAGAGAACGAUGGUCUAACUAACAUUCCUGUACGAGUGUAUAUAUAUAUAUGCAGUCUAACCUUUUGUUCCCUGUGUUUGCGCUUAGAGAAAUUAAAUUUUGACCAAGGAGAGCAACUUUUUCUUCAAAAUAGGAGAGCCAUACAGGCUCUCGAAAAAUGUUACGAUAUGAUGAAUUGAUUUGUGGGAAAAUUAUAUCGAACUCUUGAACUUUGGUCCAAUUACAAUCACUAGCAAACUUUUAAANCCAACUCUAUUGAAUUGUUAUUCAGUUUUUGAUGAUUUGUUAUUCAGUUUUGAAUGUAACAAACAUAGUCAUCACACCUGUAUAUAUGUACCAUAAACUAUGAAUGAAAAUCAGUGUGGAGAUUUAUCUCUAAUCCUUCUUAACAUGGUAUCAGAGCCAUAUCCACAUCUCUAACCUAUUAAGAGUGCCUAGUAUUGUUUCAUCACACCCAGAUUUCAUUUUCUCUCUACUACAAUAUGAGCUCUUCACCUCAAACUCCCAACACUUCCACUACGACUGAUCUCACUUCCUUGAUAGCCUCCCUUCUAACAUUAACAAAUCUAAUCUCUAUCAAACAUACUGAUAAGAAUUAUUUGCUAUGGAAGAGUCAAUUUCUUCCUUUGCUAAAUGGUUAUCAGCUACUCGGCUAUGUUGAUGGGACUAUGAAAUGUCCUUCAAUUCUUCUACCAUCCUCUACUGAUAGUACUCCAAUAUCCAAUCCAGAUUUUAUUAAAUGGAAGCAGAUCGAUCAAUUGCUAAUCUCGUGGAUCCGAUCAACAAUUUCUGAAGAAAUACUACCACAUGUGGUAGGAUUAACUACAUCCAAGGAAGUUUGGGAUACACUUGCUGAUCAUUUUACCCAGCAAUCCAAAUCUCGAGAAUUUCAUCUUCGCCAUCAAAUUCAAUAUUUGAAGAAAGGUAGUAUGUCUAUGUCUUCCUACAUUAAACAAUUUAAAAGUCUCUGUGAUGAACUUGAAGCAAUCCAACAACCACUGUUUGAUGAUGACAAAGUCUAUUGGAUUCUUCGAGGAUUAGAUCGACAAUAUGCAUCGCUUGUCACUAUGAUCACCUCUCAUGACCCUUAUCCAAAGUUUAAGGAUUUAUGCUGUACUUUUUUGGAUCAAGAAUUAUUUUUAAAGUCCUAUGAUGAAGAUAUAUCAGAGACAAAGGCCACUGCAUAUAAUAUCAUGAAAACUAAUCAUGCACAUGGGCGAGGAUCUACUCGUGGCAGAUCUACAAAUUAUGGGAUGCGAGGACGUCGCUCAAAUAAUCGAGGUCGCGGCAACCAAACACAACAAUUGAGAUCUUCGACUGAUGCAAACAUUCCACGCCCUCAAUGUCAAAUUUGUCAUAAAUAUGGUCAUACUGCACUUAAUUGUUGGCAUCGUUUUGAUGAUUCCUUUCAUGAGCAAAGACAAUCUCCCGAUGCACCACAUCAAGCGCUAGCAGCACUCCAAAUUCAAAAUCCGACAGAUGAUGCAUGGUAUCCAGACACUGGGGCCACUAUUCAUGUCACAAAUUCCGCAUGUAUGCUUCAAUCUUUGCAACUUUAUUAUGGUAAUGAUACUGUUUUUGUUGGGGAUCGUCGACAAUUAAAAAUUACCCACAUUGGCCAUUCUCAACUUCUAACCUCUUCUACACCUUUACACCUCAAAAAUAUUUAUCUAGUACCAUCUAUUAAAAAGAACCGUCUAUCUGUUAGCAAGUUUACUCGCGAAAAUAAUUGUUCUCUUGAGUUCACCCCCUCUGCUUGUUUUGUUAAGGAUCAGGAAAACAAAAUGACUCUGCUACAGGGAUCUCAUCAUAAUGGUCUUUAUUCUCUCAAUUCUCCAAAAGCUAUUUUUCUUUCUACAAAGAGGGCUUCUCCAAAAAUUUGGCAUCAACGACUGGGCCAUCCUUCACAACAAGUGGCAAAUCAUUUAAACAAGAAUGCUGCAAUAAAAUUCUCUAGUAUGUUCGAUUCCAAAUCUUUAUGUGAUAGUUGCUAUUCUAGUAAGCAAACUAAGUUGCCUUUUCCAGUUUUAAAUAAAAGGGCCUUUGUUCCUCUUGAAAUUAUUUCUUCUGAUGUUUGGGGUCCAUCUCCUGUUCCUUCAAUCACUGGCUAUCGAUUUUAUGUAAUUUUCAUUGAUAGCUACAGUAGAUUUGUUUGGUUUUAUCUUAUGCAUAAUAAGUCUGAAGUUUUUUCAUGCUUUCUUAAAUUUCAAAAAAUGGUAGAAAAUCAAUUUAACACCAAAAUUAAAAUUUUGCAAAGUGAUGGUGGUGGCGAGUAUAUUUCUAAAACAUUUGUUACAUACCUUGAAAAUAGCGGAAUUAUUCGCCAACUCUCAUGCCCCCAUACGCCUGAACAAAACGGUGUUUCCGAAAGAAAACAUCGCCAUAUAACUGAAAUGGGUUUGACACUUCUAUAUCAGUCCCAAGCGCCAUCUACUUUAUGGGUUGAUGCCUUUUUAACAAGUGUGUAUCUAAUAAAUCGAUUACCUACACCUUGCUUACAAAACCUAUCCCCUCUUGAAACUCUAUUUUGUUCUUCUCCAAAUUAUCAUCACCUACGUGUUUUUGGAUGUGCUUGCUAUCCUUAUUUACGCAGCUAUUCUUUGAAUAAAUUUACUCCGAGGUCUACUUGUUGUGUUUUCAUAGGAUAUAGUCCUCAUCAUAAAGGUUAUAGAUGCUUAAGUUUAUCCGAUGGACGCAUCUUUAUAUCCCGUCAUGUUCAUUUUGAUGAGUCACGAUUUCCCUAUGCAGAGUUGUCUUCCAAAUCCAUUUCUACAUCACUUGAUUCCAUUCCCAAACAACAGAGGUACUCAUUUCCUAUUUGUCCACCAUCUCUAUUAACUUCUUCUCCACAAAACAUUCAACCAUCCGAUACUAUUCUUGAUUCUAUAAGCCUUCCCCAAUCCAAUCUACCAGAGCCCACAAGUUUAGAUGUUGAAUCUGUCCCUUCUACAAAUCCUGUUGACACCUCCACAAGAACAUGUCAUCCCAUGAUAACAUGCAGCAAAGAUGGUACACGCAAACCAAAGGUUUUUCAUACCUCUCGACACCCAGUGCCCCAAUAUUGCUUGCAAAUUACUAAUGAUGAGCUUCCUUCUGAACCUACAUCAUAUUCUGAAGCCUCUAAAGAUCCUCAAUGGCGCCAUGCUAUGGCAGAAGAAUUCAAUGCUUUACUCAAGAAUCAGACAUGGUCACUUGUUUCUCCACCGUCAAAUUGCAAUAUUAUUAGUUGCAAGUGGGUGUAUAAGGUUAAACAAAAAUCUGAUGGCAAUGUUGAACGCUUCAAAGCUCGUUUGGUUGCUAAAGGAUUUCAUCAACAAGAAGGACUUGAUUACGAUGAUACAUUUAGUCUAGUAGUUAAACCGCAAACUAUUCGUAUCGUCCUUUCGCUUGUACUCUCCAAAGAAUGGCCAAUUAUGCAAUUAGAUGUUAAAAAUGCCUUUUUGCAUGGCACAUUAAAUGAGGAGGUAUAUAUGUUACAACCUCCAGGAUUUGUUGAUCCCUUAUACCCUUCACACGUAUGUCGGUUGCGCAAAGCAAUAUAUGGUCUUAAGCAAGCUCCACGAGCUUGGUUUCUGUAAGGACUGAGAUUUUUACAGUGCAACUAAACUCUCUGUUGAUGAUGUUUAUGUGUGUAAUUUAAUUACAUAAGUACUCAUCAAGUUUCAGGAGAAAAUGAGCUAAAAUGGAGAAGUUACGCGAUUAUUAGUUUUCACUUAAGUGAAUAGUAACUCCGGUUUUUCGGUGAAGCCACGGAGUAGAGUUGGCUUUCUACGCGUAUCGGACUCCCUUCAUAGCGAUCCAAUAGCUCGUUUUGAUCGAUUCAGCUAUUCUGGAACCAAUGGCACUGACGGAUUUCAGAUCUGAUGCACGAUUUUUGAGAAAAAGGGAUUUUAUCGAAAAGAGGAUUUUCGCUCUUUGCUGUUCUUGCGUAAUGAGACUCCUCGUGCUCUACGUUUGUGACCUGGGGUUAGGUGAGAGUUGCUUCUGGUACCUACUGGUGGUAGGGAAUUCAAAUUUGAAUUUGGAUUAAAGGUUUUAGGGUUAUUACAUAGGUCUAUGUGUAAUUUGUGGAUUAGUUGGAGAGCAGUUGGGUUUGGUCGCAAAUCGGCAAGUAAAUCGGAUGAAACGAAAUCGAGUUUCCCAUUGCUCUUCGUCGUGCUGAACCGCGAUGGUGCAUAAUCCGUUCUGGAAAAUCCGAUGAAACGAUUGCGGAUAUUGCUGAAGUUGCUAAGGGGUCGAGAGUGGAAAAUCUGGGAAAAUUUCGCAAAAGUCGUAAUUUUAUGUGCCGGAAUUGCGUGAUUGAUGCGCAGCAUGGGGAGGUCGUAUUUAAAAUACGCUAUGCUGUGAGGGACUUGAUGAGAAAAUAUAUCCUCGGGAGAGCUAUCUUGCAAAUGGCAUGAAUGUAAAUAGUAGUUGGCACUAGCGGUUUCGUAGGAAACCUAGCUUUUGGCCUUCUCCUCAGUCGAUACGCGAGCCCUAGCCGCCAUCCUUCUCCCUUGCCGGCACCCGUGCGCACGCCCCGGCUGUAGCCGCGAGCUGCCGCGCGCCGGAAGCGUCCACCGCGACCUCUCUCUUGCUCGUCUCGGCCACCCUAAGUUCCUCUGUACUAUCACCGAAGUUGCGAAGUGAACUUUCUUCACUCCGAGCUUUCAUCCAUUCCCACUGGCCGAAGACCCAUCUCUGGCAUCUUCCCGCGCCGACUCGCGGCAUCCCGUGCCCUGCCGGAGCCUCUCCGCGAGCCUUCCUGCGGCCAUCUGCGGUCAGCCCAGGCCGAGCUUGGGUGGAACCUCGGUCUAGUGCGGCCAGCCGUCGCUUCCCAUCGGCCCUCUUUUUUUCUUGCGCCACCUUUCCAGUGACACCUCGCAACCUCAUCCGCUUGCCGUCCCGCCGUCUGGCACGCCUGCCUUGGCCGCCGCUGGAACCUUGCCUGCGCCCUGCCCAGAACCCUGUGCGGUAGCCAUGUUGUGUGCUCCGCGUUCGGCUCCCAGCACUCUUGCACUGUUUGGCUUUGCCUAUUUACACCGAGGGGUGCAACCAUCUUCCCUCCGGUCUCUCUCACCCCAUCCGAUCCAUCGCCGCCUCGCCUUCCUCCCGCCGGCCCGCCCCGUUUCCGCCGCCUUUGUCGCCGUUCGGAGAGCUCGACCGCGAGAGUGUAACCGGGCGGUUGGGCUGCGCCGCCUGCGCAGUAGCCUGGCACCUCCUCCCGCCGGCCACAGGUCCCCGCCGAACCCCACCGACGCCGCACCCUUCCCUGGCCGGGACCGCCCGCCUCACUCGGUCGCCUUGCGUUACCAACCCUAGGCCCUCCUCAGGAUCCGGUAAGGCCUGUUUUGAUGUUCUCGAGCACAGUAUUUACCUUUCCGGCCACCUUUGCUGAAUCCAAUUAAUUCCCCGAACACCCAGCUGGGAAGUGAGCACCUGAUGAUCUAAAACGGGUCGUGCUGAACAUCGUGGCUCAUCUCGUCCGACAAACCGGCAUGAUGCCUGGUUUAGACGAGUUAAUCGGGCGCUAAUCUUGCGGCUGUGCUGCGCAUCUCGCAGAGCUUCGGCAUUGUUUUCGGCCGCUCCGCUCCUGUGGCUGAAUUGGUCCGAUAAGGUGAGCACGUUUCCAGAACGCCGUGACCUGUCAGCGGUGUCUCUGUUCGGCUGUUUCAGCUGUCUGUUUGUGCAGACCGGACUAAAAUAGCGCGCGAAAUCUUGCAUGGAAAUAUUCGAUUUCGGGUAUUCGGUACGGCUUUUAUGGCAAACUUCUUGUUCGUCCGCGGCUGCUGUUUGCACAAGAAUGGAUGGCAGUUUUGAGUGACGUCUUGGACUGAUUGUUCCAGGCCCCUUGGACCUUUGGAAGAUCGAAAAGGCAUUCCAGUUGCGUUGUCGGCAAAUAUGCCUGAUCGGACCGUUCGUUCGGAAUCAUUUCCGACGGUGUCUCGGGAUGAUUUAUUGUGUCGCUGAGCCUAGUUGGUGGUCACCUGUUGUCAUGGUUCGGGUUCGAUAAUGACGGUUGAGCGAACUGGGUUUCGGUGUCGAUAAUGACACUUCCGGGGAACUCCGUUCGGAACGAUUAUUUCGACUGAUAAUCGUAUUUGAGAGUGAGUUAAGUGUCUUGCUGCCAUGUCACCUGUAAAUUGUAAUUUAGUGCAGGCUGGUGACUCUGAGUGCGAGUCGGGUGCAGGUUCCUUGGGACAUGUUCGUUGGGUCCCGAAGAGUCUCUCGUGCGGUUUCGGAAUCUCUGGUUGUUUGCGCUAUUGGUUCGGGAAACGCGAUUCCCGAGGGGUCUAUGCAUUUGGAAUUGUGAUUAACUGAUACGGUUGGAGGGUUGUGGAUUUAGUGGAUAUUAGUUGUGGGUUACAUACUAACCCGUGGAGUCCUGUAAGUCGGCGGUUGUCCCAUUCUUCGCAUUAGACAGGCCGCGACUAUCCUUACAGGUGGUACUUCGUCGUAUCCGACGUUGGUAAACAUGUUAGCUAUCUUGUUGGUGCACCGCUCGGUGAUAGAGUUUCUUACCCUUGCUCUUUGUUUAUUUCAAUUGCUUAUUAUUAUAUUGUUGAGUUCUUUGCACCUUACUAUUGUUAUAACAUUACACCACAACGUUUGUGUUGCAUUACUACUCUACUCAAGUUCUUCCAUGCUUAGUAAUCUGUAUGUUGUAGGUAUAGUCUAUUCUGAUAUGUGAUACCAUAAGUUUCUCUUGUGCUUCUAAGCCUUAGCUUAUUCGCAGUACCUCGCGUUUUCAUUAAUUUAUAGUUAGUAUUGCGAGUUCUGUGGAUUAUUCUGUGAUGAUUACGUCUAUUAGGUCGAUUCUUAUGUAUGUUCAGUAUUUGUGACUCAUUCGGUGAGUUCCUCUGACCUUGUUGUCCUGAUUACCGUUGAGUCGAUAAAUAUCCCUGAGGGGCUGGAUUGUCCGUUAGUUGCCGACGAUGAUAUAUAUUUACUCCAUUCCUAUAUUCUUUGUGACACUGAUUCGGUCGAGGGUUUCAUAUCUAUACUUGUGAGCGCUGAGUUGUGGUCGAGUUCGAUAUUUCUAUUACUUUGUGACGCUUGAUGGUCGUAGUUUACAUAUUCGAUGUUGAUUCUGGAGUGGGUCAGUCCUUGUGGUUCCAUGAGCAGAUAUUUGCAUAAUGUUGAAGAGGAUGUUCGAUGUUGUCCCCAUCCUAUUGACGCUGAGUGGUUUCUUUCUUUGUGCUUCCUUUACAGUUGCACGACCUAUUGCGGUCGAGUGGUCCCUUGUGGGCAGGAUUGUCGGCUGGUGCCGACGUUGAUCAUUGUAUGGCAUUUAUUGCAUUGAUCGCGUCCGAUACGUCGGCUAUUUUCAUCNNNNNNNNNNNNNNNNNNNNNNNNNNNNNNNNNNNNNNNNNNNNNNNNNNNNNNNNNNNNNNNNNNNNNNNNNNNNNNNNNNNNNNNNNNNNNNNNNNNNCCCUAAACCCAUUUGUUAUCUCCAAAUGCUAUUGAAAUUGUUUAGAUGACAGACCGUUCCUAGAGUAAGUGGCAAAGGGUUUGGUGGUUGGUAUAUGAGACCCAUGUUCAAAUCCUAGUUGAUUCACAUUUCUAGCUCAUUUUAUUUCUAAAUGAAAUAAACGAAAUAGGUAGCGUACUACCUAUCUCUCAAAAUAGAAAUUGUUUAGGUGACAAAUGUAAUAAAAAAAGAGAUUGAAGAAUCACUCUUGCACAAUUGAAAAGUGAUUUUGACUGAUAAUGUGAAUGAUAAAUCAGUGGAUGGAUUUUGAGAUUUAGCUUUUAUUCUUUUUAUAUAUUAUGCCCACUCAAAAAUGCAGUGUAAAUCUUAUACUCAUAUAUUCAAAGAUUUACAUAAUACUUUUGAGUUUUUAAUAUCAACAAAGAAAAAAUUGAUAAAAUUAGUGAGAAAAUAUUAGCCCUUGGAUGGAAUAGUGCUAUAAAAUAGGAUACAAUAAACUUCUAAUUAGCCCCCUAUGAAAAAAUCUCAGUAAAUCAUAGGAGGGGUUAAUUGAAGUUUAUGCAAAAUAAAAACUCUAGCACCGUGCAAUGAUUUCAUAGUGUGAGGAGUAUAAUCAAACUUCUAGAAUUGAUAAAAUAUUUAGCCUAGAAAUCAAUUUUUUCACGGAAAGAUAAAUUAUCUCAUAAUAAAAUAUAUUAUUCUGCAAAAUAAUGAACAACAACAAUACCUUCUAAAGAUGAGAGAAAAAAGGAAAAAAAAAAAAAAUCAUAUUGAUGUCCAAACGGGAUAGAGAUACCAAGUGCAAAUAGGUCAAAACCAGAGGACCAAAUUGAAGUUUUCACUCUGCUAUAAAAACCCAGCCCGUUUGAAACCCCCCACCCUGCAGCACCUUCUUCUUGUAUUCCCUCCAAAACUUCUCCCUCCCAGAUUCCCUGCUCCAGCGUCCAACCCCCAAAAUCAAUCAAGAANAUCGAGUCGGCUGGCGAUCUACUGCUUAUAAGCAGGCACCGAGAGCUCACCGCAGGGCGCAUCUUGGUCCAUCGUCUGCCACCGUUCGAAGGGGACGGUCCGCUCGUACCGACUCCCCUGGCCAGCAUUGGCGAUCGUGCCUUGUUCUUGGGCACGGGGAAUACCGUCGCAGUCCACGCGCCUGACUUCCCGCUGUCCGUCAGAAGAAACAGCAUCUACUUCACCGACGUAUAUCGCAGGGUGGUAAACAAUCAGUUUGUUUCCGUCGGCUGCGUCUAUGUUUUUGACAUGGAGCAGGGCGUCACGACGAAGGCGUUCGAAGUGGCGGAAACGGACGAGACGAACAUGUGGGUGAAUCUGAGGCCGUGGUGGGUUACGCCGAAUUUGCGCAGGAGAGGUCCAUGAGCACCGAGAGGUUCGAUCUCGUACCGCACUUUCAUUCUCCCUUGGUGCACAUUCUGAGUUUCAAAUACAAUUGCAGUCUCAUUGCGGAUACAAUCGAAGGAUCCGGAUCAUUUAUUUGCCCCCCUUACAUGUUCUUCUCAGCGAAAAGUUGAGAACUAAGGAUGCAAUUGAUCAAGCCUUAAAUCUGGAUAUUAGGAAUUGCUCAAAAUAAAAGCACCGAAUUUCGCAAUUUAAUUUCACUUCGCUUAUUGAAGUUAUUAUGAUCCAGUUUCAUAGUUUGAACACUUUUAACUUUUGAUCGGGCAGUUUUGAAGAAUCUACUCCCUUUCAUAUUUGAAGAGCAGUUCUUGAAUAGUAAAGAUUUUGCUCAAAUAAUCUUUAAUAUUUCAGUAUCAAGUUAUCUCGAAAAUUAAAAUGAGUUGUCCACGAUUUAUUGUGAUAUCAUGAUAAAAGUAGUUGCAUUUCAUGAUCCAGGUUAAUUGAGGAAUGGAAGGAAGAACCGAAAGCGGCAAUUCGACCAUUAUAACCGUCCUUAGUUCCCCGGCUUCCAAGCCAUCUAUACAAAUUUCAAUGUUUUCUGUACAUAGGAAGAUGAUGGCGUGCAUCAUAUAUAGUCCUGCAGGAGUUUGGAACUUCAUCCAUACAUUGUAUCAUAUCUGAUGCAAAAUUUUAGCACCAUUUUGUUUUGAACUUGUGCAUACCAUUUAGGAGCAUCUGCUGAGUGCGCACACAACUAUCAGAAACUGAUGAGACGUGCGAUAAAGAAAUUGUCUUACUGUGUGAAGAACAGCAUGAUGAUCCGUCUGAAGCAUUCUCCUCUGUAAACAGGAAACUGCAUGUUUACAUCUUUUUCUUCUUUUUCUUUUUCUUUUUUCCUUUCUUUGUGGGGUCUUAUAUUGUUAUUAGAUCAAGCAUCAACAAUUGAGUUACUUCCCUCAAAAGAAAAAAAAAAAAAACAAUUGAGUUACUAUACUUAUGUUUUUUACUCUCCAAUUUGAUUCUGCAAUAAAGGCAUAGUGACUUUUGUGACCAGGAUUGAGGAAAGGGUUUAUUAUAAUGAUCCCUAGUUGAAUCCAAUUUCUAUGGCCAUACUCCUUUAUUAAGGACCUAUUAGCCCCGCUAGGUGGGAGGAAUUUUAUACUAUCAUACUUGCACCACGUCAUUAAUAACAAGUCAAUUAUAUUUCUUUUUUUCAAACAAAAGUAUAAUAAAAAUAUUUUUUUAAAUCAUAAUGGGACAUAUACUCUUAAAAGGAGACAUUUGAUUGAUUUGUUACGCCAAGUCACCAAUAUACCUGAUACAUUCUAAAAUUUUUUGCUAGGUAGAGGGUGGAGUUUACUGUUUGAUGCUAAUAAUAGUUUAUUGCGGCAACUCUAGUUCCCGUCCAAAUUCAAAAAUCCUUAACCCAAAGAUAGAAAUUUUCCCAACAAAGUAAGACCCAAGAAGGAGUAUUAUAUCGGUAAAUAAACCACAUAAGUUGAUCAAAAUAUGUUAAACACUGCAUUUAACUUCGUUCCCUUAAUCUCCAAAAUUAGAUAUCAGCAUCUAAUUGCGCAUAGAUCUACUUCCGCAGGAACUACAUAACGAGAUGAUCGCGAUUAAAAAGAAACACGCUCGAAUCGAGUAAUCGAACCAAUCACCUGCACGAACAGCUCGAUCCCCCCUCGCCGCCCCCGGCAUCGUCUUCCUCCCGGCGACGGCGACGGCGAUGGCGGGGUAACGGGGGGCAUAAGGAGAAGGACGACGGCGACGAGGAGGAGGGGGACAAGAUUUUUAGUUUUUAAUUCCCCAAAUCCGAAAUCAAUUUAUUUACUAAAAUCAAACUGAAUCAGUCCAAGUGAGUUGCUUUUUCAGUUUGAUUUUCACGAAACAUGUGGUUUAAAUGGAAAUAUAGACUUAUGUUGCCGCGCAAUUUUGAUUUAAAUAAUUUGAUUAAUUUUUCAAUAUAAAAUUUAGAAUAAUUAUUUACUUAAUAAAUUUAUAUCUGUGUAAUUAAAAAAAUAUUUAAAUUUUUAAAGCUAAAGAGUUAUUAGUUGAUUCAAAUCAAAUAAAUUAAAAGAUUAUAUAGCAAAAUUAAAAUUUUUAAAGAUUAGAUAAUCAGAUUAAAAUAAGUGACAGUUGAGGUAAGUUGUAUAAAUUUUUACUUUUUUAUUCGGAAAAUCUGAAAAAUUAGAAGAGGUAUUUAUUUCAAAAUAUGUUAAAUUUUUUGAUUUAUUGUCUAUUCUUUCUGAUUUGAGUUUCAUGAAAUUUUUGCUAACUAUAUACCCAGUGCUAUGUGCAGUGUGCCUUUUUCUCUUUUCUUUUUUUUUUUUUCAUUCUCCUUCAUUUGCAUUGUGACUGUAUAGUAUCCUACAUUGUAAAUUGAAAUAGAUUCCGGUUACUAAAGAGAAUAAAUAAUAUAAUUAUCUUAUACCAGAACAAACUCUUUACAAAAGAAUUUCACUUUGGCCCCUAAAAUUUAUAAUAUUUUAAUUUUUAAUAUAUCAUAGUUAGAAACUUUUGUGUAAUUUUCAAAAGCUUGAGGGGGCCCAUGACCAUUGUUGGCCUCUCAAUAGCUCUCCCCCGAUUCAGGACUAAGCAAAGCAUCCUAAAAGGACUUUGAUACAAGUAUGCUAGAUUGUUAAACAUAAAAAUAUAACAAAAUCAUUCCGGCUUAAGUUUUUGAAAAAAAUAAUUGUUUCAUAUUAUUUAAUAUGAUAUCAAAUCAAAUAAUUAUGAGUUCGAGUCACACCAGGUUCCUAACUUAAUUGAUUUUUCUCUCAAUUAAUUUAAGUCCGCAUCAAACUUAGACAUAAAGAAGAGUGUUCAAUAUAAAAAUAUAAAACAUCAUUAUCUAUCAGCUUAAAUUUUUAGAGAAAACAGUUAUUUCGCGUUGUUUAACAUAGAUUGAAGCCAAAUGCACAGCUAAACAAGUAGGGUGGGCAAGUCCAUUAAAAAUCUCUAAAUGCUGCAUGUAAGUCCUCUAAAACUUGUAAGUCCAGGAAAGAAGGUGGUUUAGGUAUGUUGGAUGUCGCGACCAUGAACCAAGCCUUUCUAACUAAAUGGUGGUGGAAAUUUCACACGUCACCUCAACUACAGUGGAAUAAGCUUAUCCGAGAAUUGUAUUAUCGUAGAAGAAUACCUCUGAGGGAAGGCAGAUCCUUCAGACCUUUUUCCAGCUGGUGGAAGGGUAUUCUUAGCCUCAACAUUAUCUUCAAAUGGGGAGUGGCGUUUCAACUAGGAAACGGGAAUACCAUCGAUUUUUGGUUGGAUCGGUGGUGCGGCGAGAAAUCGUUGAACCUUUUAUUCCCGGAAGCGUAUCUGAGGUCUGUGGGGGGGGAGAUACUCUAGAGUUAGUGAUUUCUUCACGGGGGAUAAUUGGAACUGGCCCAAGAUCCUGGGAGCAAAUGUGGAACAGUUGCUAGGACUGGUUCCAAACCUAUCGGAGCUUGUAGAAAAGGUCUCUUCUUACUCCGUUGUGGUCAGUCCGGACACGAUCCUAUGGCGGUGGAGUACUGAUGGACACUUUUCGGUCAAAUCAACCUACUUGGCCUUGACGGACGGCGGGACGAGAGAUGCACGUGCCCCUGUUCUAUGGAACCUUAAAAUCCCUCUAAAAGUGAAAGUGUUUUGUUGGUUGAUUCUCAAGAAAAGGAUCCUUACACGUGAUAAGCUUGCUAAGAGAGGGUGGUUAGCCGACCCUACCUGUGUACUAUACGGGUCAGAGGAGGAAACCGUGGACCAUCUAUUUACCAGCUGCGUUUUCUGUAAAUUCAUUAUAGCGAAAUGGGUGGACGAUAUUCAGGCCCAAGACCUCGGGGGGGAAGUCAGCCUCGUGUGGGAUAGGUGGAAGGUCAGGAAGGAUAAACAUAAGAAGCGAUCUCGGCUUGUCGAUCUAGUCGCCUGCUGGUGGAUCAUUUGGAAGAUCAGAAACGACUCAAUCUUUCGUAAUAUUCCCCCGAACCCUGGGAUUGCGGUUCACAGGCUCAAACUUCUUGUGAUGGAUUGGGACCUUCUUCUCGGGCCUUAAACAUCUAUAAGUAAUUGUGUGUGUGUGUAAUUGCGGUUCUUUCUUCUUCUUCUUUUUUUUUUUUUUUUUUUUUUUUUUUUUUUUUUCGAGGCCUGGUUGCCUCACACUUGUAGCUUAAUUCACCUCUCCAAUGAAUGAAGCGGGUAGCAUGCUACCUUUUUCUCAAAAAAAAAAAGUCCUCUAAAACUUGCAAUUUACCAGUAACAAAAAGAGAUGUACCACGUGCACGAGUAUGUAACAGUAAGGAUUGCAGCUGCAGGCGAUUUGAUUAUGAGCAACUACAAACUAUGGCUGGCACACAUUUAUUUAAUUACAUUUUACAUGUUCACUUAUAGAUAGCAUGCUAGAGAGCCAGCUCAGCCACCAUGUGAUCUUUGCUCUCUUUUACAGAGUGCAGGUCUUACGUCUGUUUCCAUUUCAAAAAAAUUAUAUAUAUCUUUUUGGUUGAAAUACAUAAAGUCACCAGCACUAUACUGCCAUAUGAAAUUGCCUCCCCUCAACUUUUUUAUUUUUUCUUUUACAUUUAUUUGUCUUAAUUAGACCCCUAUGUUAAUAACAAGGUUAUUUUAUCUACUGUUUCUGGCGCAAGUGGCAAAGAAUUUAGUGGUUGGUAUCUAAGGUUUCAAAUUUGAAUUCUAAUUGAUUCACAUUUUCAUUCUAAAUAAAAUAAACGAAGCAGUAGAGUAGCAGUCGAGAUGUAUGGCAAUGAUGACAAUAUGAAAAAAUAAAUGAGCUGUUGUCUCUAAUAAUAUAAUGAGAGUGUCGACAGAUACAAAAGAAAGUUAAGUUUUUUCAUUCUGAUUUAUGAUAGCAACGCAGUUUUGAAAAAAGAUUCCAAUGGUCUCUCUAAUUUAUAUAGAUUUGAGAUAAUUAGGUAUAAUAAAAAUUUAUAUAUUUUUCACCGAUGGGAGUCUAACGUAAAAAAAAAAAGAAAAAAGAAAAAAAAUGACAGUACAAAGAGGUGAAAAUUAAGAAAAUAAUUUUUUAUGGCUAUUAAGAAAAUCAAUGCUAAUCAAAAAAGGCAAUUUCGAACUGUGGUGCAGUGCUGAAGCGGUCUCUAUACUUUUUUUUUUCUUUUUUCUGGGGCAAUCAAAAUUUAUACAUAUCAAUUCUUCAAAUAUAAUAGCAUCUUAGAAUAAUAUCGUGGGGUGAAAAUCAUUUUUAUAUUACUCAAUCUAACCAGACUCUAAAGCCGAAGAUUAUAGGAUUUGGAUUGAAAUUUUACUAUCCAUUACCGAAUCAGAUUUAGAUUCAGAUCUGAAAUUUGAAAUUUUUUUGGGUUCAAAUUAAGAUUCACUAUUCUUUUUCCAAUUCAGAUUCAAAAUUAUUCGAAACAAAAACUGAUUUUGACUGCUUUUUUAAUUUCUGAAGUAAUGCCAUUUAAGCAUCUUUCAGAAAUCUCAAACAUCUUCAUUGCGUUUUCUUCAGUUGGAAGAGAAAAUAAUAAUAAUAAUAAUAAUAAUAAUAAUAAGUCCCUCCUUUUCCGCCUCUUCAUUUGAAAAUGGACACGGAAACAACAAAAUCCAAAGAGCAAAUGCGAAACUGAUAAUAUUUUUAUAAUCUGUACAAUAGGAUAAAGAUGAUUGAGGGACUAGCGUGCAAACGGUCAAAGAUUCCCAACGUAGUUACCGGAGCAGCAGCACGAUAAUUGGAGCAAUCACCUACUACCACUACCACUGCAGAGCAUCCCCUUAUUCUCUGCUUCCUUGUAGUUGCUAGGACGUUUGUAUUGACUAUUGAGAAGAAGCACAUAGCUAGCUAGCUGCUUUCGUAAUAGCGAUGGCGGAGGGGAUCGCAUUCGGUUUGGUGAAGGAGGUGCUGGGCAAGCUGGGCUCUGCUCUCGGGGACGAAAUCGACCUGCUGCGGAGCUUCAAGGACGAUGUACAGGAUCUCAAAAGCAACUUUUCGGCGAUCCAAUCGGUGCUUCUCGACGCCGAGGAGCGAAGCAGCGCUGGGAAGGAGAGCCACGCUCUGCGAGACUGGCUGCGCAAACUGAAGGACGCCGCCUACGACGCCGACGACCUGCUGGACGAGAUCCGAACGGAAGCUGAAAAGGUACGUGGAUUUCUGUCCCGCGCUAAUCCGAUGCAUCUGAAGUUUAAGGUCAAGAUGGCACACAGGAUGAAAGAGCUCAGAGAAAAGAUCGGUAAGAUCGCGAAACAGAGGCAUGAUUUUGGUCUUGCCGAAGCUGGCCCUGGUCGGCAGGCUGAGUUCAAGCACCGUGAGACAUUCUCGGUUGUCGACGAAAAGGAAAUAGUUGGGAGAGAUGAUGAUAAAGAGAAAAUUGUGAAGCUACUGCUAGAGACGGCCGGCGAUCACGACGUGUCGGUCAUUCCGAUCGUGGGAUUGGGGGGUUUGGGGAAGACGACGCUCGCUCAAAUGGCCUUCAACGACGGGCGGGUUACGGGUCAGCAGCGCUUUGAUCUACGCGUGUGGGCCUGCGUGUCUACCGAUUUCCACAUGAAGACGAUCGCAAGGUCGGUCAAAUCUGCAACCAAAGAGGAGUGUGAUCUUGACAGCUUGGAAUCCGUCGCGAGUUUUCUCCUCAGGAUCUUUAGCCAGAAGAGAUUCUUGCUGGUGUUGGAUGAUGUGUGGAACGAAGAUAAAGGGAAGUGGAAGGAAUUGAAGGUUGUAUUUAAGGACGGCAGGCAGGGAAGUAAAAUCUUAGUAACCACACGAAGCGAAAAGGUCGCCGCGAUAAUGAAAACAGUCGAACCACACCGUGUGAAAGGCUUAUCAGAUGAUGAUUGUUGGACAUUGUUCAAAAGGCUGGCAUUCGAUGAUGGGGAAGAGAACGACUAUCCGAGUUUGGUCGCAAUCGGAAAGCAGAUAGUAAAGAAGUGCGGCGGCGUGCCUUUAGCAGCGAAUGCUUUAGGAAGUAUGAUGUAUUCAAAGAACAGGACAGAGGAUGCAUGGUCCGCUAUUAGGGAUAACGAAAUUUGGAGUCUGCAAGAAGAGAAAACUAUUUUACCAUCAUUAAAGUUGAGCUACAUUCAGAUGCCGUCGGCUUUGAAGCAGUGCUUUGCUUAUUGCUCCAUAUUCCCCAAAGACUAUGAGAUUGACAAGGAUGACUUGAUCCGGCAAUGGAUUGCUUUAGGCUUCAUUUCAUCGCAUGAAACAUGGACUUCGAUGGAAGAUAUUGGAAAUGAGUACUUUAACGAUCUAUUAUGGAUGUCUUUCCUUCAAGACAUGAGGAAACACUGGGAAUCUAAAAAGGUUACCUGCCGGAUGCAUGAUUUAGUGCACGACCUCGCACAAUCUGUAGCAAGAGAAGAAGUUGCUGUUAUAGUUGGAGAAGAGUCAACAUGGAUCUCGGAAAGCUGCCGCUAUUUCUCGAUAUACAAUCGUUUCACGACACAGAUUCCAACCACAGUAGUGCAAAGGCUGCGAGCUCUUCAAUUUAGGGAAUCUGGUUCAUUUAUUACUUUUUAUAGUGAGGCAAAAUACUUACGUCUGUUGGAUUUACAUGAUUCCAAAAUUUCUAUAUUGCCAAGCUCAGUCGGUAAGUUGAAGCUCUUAAGAUACCUUGACCUUUCGAGGACCAGUAUACAAGAAUUGCCUGAAUCAAUUACCAGCCUCUACAACUUGCAAACCUUGAAUCUUUCAGGCUGCUGCGAGAUCCGUACAUUACCCAAAUUUCUAGGAAGGCUUACGAAUUUGCGGAUUUUAGAUUUAAGUGAUUGGCAAUCUCUGACAAUACCUGACUCCAUUAACAACCUUCAGAAUUUGCACGCACUAAAUUUGAGUUGGUGCAAAAAGGUGAUAUCACUUGAACUUAUAUGUCACCUCAAAAACCUGUAUUACCUAAACCUAUCAGGUCUAAAUUUUAUGGUGACAUUACCUGAAUCCAUUGGGAGCCUUCAAAACUUGCGUAUUCUGAAUCUUUCUAACCACUAUUCUCUACUAUCAUUACCCUCAUCGUUAUGUGAUCUCAAAAACCUGCGUAACUUAAACCUAUCACAUCUAAAUUCUUUGGUGACAUUACCUGAAUCCAUUGGGAGCCUUCAAAACUUGCGUACUCUGAAUCUUUCUGGCUGCAUUUCUCUACUAUCAUUACCCUCAUCAUUAUGUGAUCUCAAAAACCUGCAUUUCCUAGACCUAUCAAGUCUAAAUUCCUUGGUGACAUUACCUGAAUCCAUUGGGAGCCUUCAAAACUUGCGUAUUCUGGAUCUUUCUUGGUGCUCUUCUUUACUGUCAUUACCCUCAUCGUCAAGUGAUCUUCAGCAUUUAGAGGCACUAGACAUUAGCGACUGUGGAAAAUUAUGUGAGCUGCCUAAAAUGAUCCAAAAGCUGACCAAACUUAGAGUCUUGUUAAACGAGGAUUGCUCGGAAUUGAAGGGCAUGCCCCGAAGGAUCGGCAAGUUAGUUAGCUUGACGGAAUUGUCUGUUUUUGUCGUCGGCAAGCAAGACCGCAUCGAACAUUGUGCUAGCAUUUCUGAGCUAGAGCACCUUAAGCUUGUCGGCAAGCUGGAGAUCAAGGGUCUUGAAAAUGUGACGAGUCCGGUUGAUGCCAAGGCUGCAAAUUUGAUAGAGAAGAAGCUGCAGUCUUUGAAGUUGGAAUGGAAUGUUUUAAGUGCGGAAGAAGGUAUGGAUACUGUACUACUGGCUGAAGAGAUCGAUACCGUGCUCGAAAAUCUUCAACCACAUCAAAAGCUAGAGAGUUUGACAAUAGAAGGUUAUGGAGGUGGGAAGUUUCCUGGCUGGAUGAUGAAUAGGAUUGGCUCGUGCCUCCCAAAUCUUGUGGAAAUCAAACUUGCGGAUAUUCCCGGAUGCAGCUCACUCCCGCCGCUCGGGCAACUUCCUUUUCUUAAAGAACUAAUUAUAGAAAAUAUGCCCGCAAUAACAAAUUUCGGCGUUGAAUUUUAUGGAGAUAGCCAUAUUACUGCAAGUGCAAAUAAGUUCCCUGCCCUGACGAGCCUUAACUUGUCCUCCAUGCCAAUGCUGCGAGAAUGGGUGACGGUAUUGACGGUGGAUGACGAAGAAUGCAGGCGAGAGCGAGUUCCCAUUUUUCCGUGUCUCACUCAUUUGAUUCUUAAUGAAUGUCCUCAGUUCAGCCCAGAGCCUUGCCUCCCGGCGUCGGUUGAGGAGCUGAUCAUCUCCGGAACAAGCAAAGAGAAUCUAUCGUUAAUUCUCUCACGCGCGAUGCCACUUGAUGGUGGUGAUGCCGCCGUUUCACCCCAACCGCCACGAAAUAAGGGGCUGCGGAAUCUAAUAAUAGACGAAUGUCAGCAGCUAACUUGUUUGCCCGAGAGCUUGCGGAGUCUCACGUCCCUCCAGAACCUGAGAAUAUGUGGUUGCGAAGAUCUUGAGAGAAUUGAAGAUUGGCUCGGGGAGCUCACCGAGCUGCAGUCCUUGUUCAUUUGCUUACCGAGUCUCCGUUACUUGCCUGCCCACAAGAUGACCGCACUUCAGGGGUUAUAUAUCGCGGAUUGCCCGCUGUUGUUCGAUGCGGACCGACGAUUUGUCGACACCAGUGUCGAUCACAUAAAAAAUGUCGAUGUUCAUGGGAGGUAAUUAAUUUGGAGCUCUAACUACUCUUUAAUUAAUGAGCUAGCACCUUAAUAUUCUAUUGUAGCUAGCAUAAACAUCUCUUCUCAUUUUUUUUUUCUAAAUAUUCGGAUGGAAAACUUAAUUUCAAUUAGCCCCACCGCACGUGAUUCAAAACAUUUUCAUUUGCUAUGAAAUAUUUCAUUUUGCUAUUUUAUAGUUUUGUUUUUAUUUUCUUGCAAAUAUCUUCUACAAAAAAGAAAAAAAGAAAAAAAAUUAAAGUGCUAAAAUGGAUGAAUUAUAAGACAGUCGAGUAAUUUAUUUUACAAACCACAUAGGGACUAUGUGAAAUAUAUAUAUAUAUAUAUAAUAUAUAUAUAAUAUAGUAUAUUAUAUAUAUUAUAUAUAAUAUAUAUAUAUAUAUAUAUAUAUAUUAGUUCUAUAAAAUCUUAGCACUUUAGUACUCCACGCUACUUGAGAUAGGUUCUUAUGAUUGUAUAUAUAUAAAAAAAAAAUCCAUAGGAUUUUCAAGUAAAACUAUUUAAAACGUAGGGCGGCAAAAUGAAAACGGGUUAAACCAUAUUUCAAUAUCAAAAGUGCAGUUAAGAUAUUCGAAAACAUUGUUGGUUUUCUGGAAAAAAUUUCAAGUGGUCUUUUGCAUGUACAUAGACUAAUUAAUAAAAUUUUAACCUUUUCUUAAUUUGUAGCGAUUUGAGAUGCUGGAAAAUUUCUACUUGAACAAUAUAUAGUAUUUACAAAGUAAUUAUUUUCGGUCAUAUUGUUGAUAUACUAUUCGAGUCCUGGGAUAUUUUUCUUUACAAAUUAAAAUCAGGUAUGUUAUAUAUCAUACGUUAUUAGAAAGUCUAAGCAAAAUGUACAGCACAUACUGCACAAGCGUCGGAUAAAAAAGUAACCAUUUUGUGUUGUUGUGGUGUAGAAAAUACCUGUACAAAAAACAAGCGAGCAGCUCGCCACAUGUGGAACAGAGCUCACCGUAGGAGGAGGAAGAGAAGAAGAUUGGUUAGCGAGGAGAGCAUAAGUAUAUGUACCUAUUAUUUGGAGGUAAAAAGAUAUUAGAUAUUAUCUAAACGAUACUGCACUUUGAAAGUGGCCAAUUGGGCUUUACGAAUUUCGAUUUUAAUUCGAUUUUAAGUCGAUUUUAAUUCGAUUUUGAUAUAAGAAAUUUUCUUUGAAAGAUUUGUUAGAUCCUUUUAGAAUUUAGUCUCUUCCGUUAAACAAAGUGCAGAAUGUUUCAUAAAAUAAAAAAUAUCAAAUUUUAAAAUAUUUUUUCAAAAAACGUUAAGUAUCCUUUCGAAUUCUAUAAGGAACAUAAUAAAUACGGCGGAAGCGUAGUAUAGGUCUGUGAAACAACCGUUGUACUCUAAAAGCUUAAGCUGGUAGAGAACGGUAUUUAAACAUUUUUAUAUUUAACACUCCCCCUCACGUCUGGACUCUGGACUCGAGACUUUUUAGUCGGCCCAUAACGUGAGCUUAAAUUAAAUGAGAGGAAAUUAAUAUGUUAGGAGCCUGGCAUGACUCGAACUCAGGAUCUCCUGCUCUGAUAUCAUGUGAAACAACCGUUGUACUCUAAAAGUUUAAGCUGUUAGAAAACGGUGUUUAAACAUUUUUAUAUUUAACAAGCUCACGUAACCUUUUAGCUUAUUUGGUGAUCACUAUUCCCCUUUGAGAAGACUUUUUUUUCUUCCUUUGUUUUGCCAAAAAUAAACAAAUUUUAUAUAUCUACAUGCAAUGGUGAGAGUUUUUUUAUUCAUGGACUUGUGGUCUUCUCUUUCAGGUUGGUGCUAUUUAGCUUGCCGGACAAGAAUUGUAGUGUGCUGUUAUCGGUUAAUAUAUGUGUUUUCGUGAUAUAAAUUUAGUUUUUGAAUGUACUAUUUUAUAAUUUGAUUUGAUUGUUUGUAAUUUUAUGGUGUUUUUUAUACAUGUUAUGGGCUUGAAAAAAAUUGUUUGGUUUGAAUAAACAAAAUGCUGCUACUUUUUUAGUACGGAUAUUAGAGGGUACAUUAAUUUUUAAGUAAAUCUCAUGUAGAGUUUAUUACUAGUAUAUAUGCUUUGUGUUACGAAGUUGUUUAAAAUCAGAUGCUGUUAUUUGCAUGCAAGUUGGACCUAGUGUGUAUGUACCGCAGUUGAGAGGGUUAAUUUCCAUAUAUGUUUACUUUAGUUUAACUUUACUUUUAUUUGAUUAUUAGAUCCGAAGCCGAUAAAUUUUAAAGUAUUAAAAGUUUUAUUAUUUUGCUUUCUGCAAGAUUUUUAGUCUUUAAAUUCCACAAAUCUGAAUCGAUUUAUUAAUAAAAUCAAACUGAAUCAAUAGAAGUGAGUUGCUUUUCCAGUUUGGUUUUUACCAAACAUGUGAUUUAAAUGAAUAUAAAGGAUAUAUAUAUAUAUGAGUGAGGCUACUAUGCUAUCGGAAGCACGGAGCCUUCCUUGCUUCCAGCUCAUUUUUUGAUGUUGCGACUUUCGAAUCGUCGAUCGGCUCCGUUAAAUUUGAUCUAGACUAUUUGAAGUACCUAGAAUAUAAAUUUUAUGAUUUUACGAUAUCAUUUGCCUAGUGAACGAAGGGGCUCAAAAUCAACGGCUGAAAAUAAAAAUCUUACAAAAUGUAAUAAUAUGACAUUAAAAUUUUAAAUCAAGGAUAUUGAUCUUGUUUUAUAUAGUAUAUAAAGAAUUUUCUAUCAAAAUUUCACGCGAUUUGGAUAUUUCUACACCGUUAAACUUGCAAACGGCUUAUUAACGGCCAUUGAAAUUUGUUGAUUUUGAACCCAUUCGAUCAUGACAAGAUGAUCGAAAAAUAAUAAAAUUUAUUUUCUAGGUGCUCCAAAUACUCUAGAUCAAGUUUAAUGGAUCCGAUCGACGAAUUCGAAAAUCGCAACAUCGAAACGAGCUGGAAACGCGGAAGGCUCCGUGGUGUUCCGAUAGCAUAAUAGCCUCAUCUCUUCUCUCAUACUAGUAUAUAUAUAUAUUAUAAUAUAUGUAGGGCUUCUUGUCUCAGAGAGCACGGAGUCUCGGUGCUCCUGGACCGUUUCGAUGAAUAGAUUUUUCGAAUCGACGAUCGGCUCCGUUAGACUUGAUCUAGGGCAUUGAAGUUUCUUAAAAAUAAUUUUUACGAUUUUUAUAAUAUUAUUACCUAGUGAUCGAGAAGAUUAAAAUUCAUAAUUUUUAAUGGUUGAUUAAUCUACCAUUUUUAAGUUUAACAGGUAGAAGUAUUCAAUCAGAUGAAAUUUUGAUACAAAAUUUUUUAUACUAUCCUAAAUAUGAAAUCAAUAUUUCUGAUCGAAAAAUAUUUAGUACUAUAUCACUACUUUUUAAUAGAUUUUUUUUCAGUCGUUAAAAUUAUUGAUUUUGAUCAUUUCGAUUGCUAGUUAAAUGAUAUCGAAAAAUCGCAAAAAAUUAUUUCUAAAAACUUCAAAUACGCUAGAUCAAUUUAACGGAGCCGAUCGUCGAUUCGAGCUCCAUCAUCGAAAACGCUCAGGAGCACGGAGGCCUCCGUGCUCCUGAGAGCACAGUAACCGCUUAUUCUAUAUAUAUAAUUGAUAUAUUAUAUAUAUAUUAUAUUAUAUUAUAUAUAUAUAUAAUAUGUAUAUAUAUAGAGCUUAGUGCUACUAUCUAUCGUAGUACGGAGCGCUCCGUGCUACAAUUGUUUUCGAUGAUGUGGCUUCCAAUCGACGAUCGACUACGUUAGAGUUAAUCUUACACUAUUGAAAGUAUUAGAAACUAAAUUUCAUAAUUUCGAUAUCAUUUACUUAUCCAAACAAGUAGUCUAAAAUUGAACGGCUGAAAAUAAAAAAUCUCAUAAAAAAUGAUGAUAAAAGAUUUAAAUUCAAGAUCAGAUAUACUGAUCUUACUCUAAAUAGUGAAAAGAAUUUUCUAUAAAAUUUUCAUCAACGCAUUGGAUUGUUUAUACCGUUAAACUCACAAACACACCACAUCGGCUAUUAAAUUGUCAAUUUGAGAUCUUUUGAUCACUAGUCAAAUUGAUGUCGAAAAAAUUUGAAAUUUAGUUUCCAAAUACUUCAAUAGUGUAAGAUCAACUCUAACGGGAGCGAUCGUCGAUUUGGAAAGCCACAUAAUCGAAAAACAACUUGGUAGCACGAGCGGCUCCGUGCUACGAUAGUAUAGUAGCCUAGCUCUAUAUAUAUAUAUAUAUAUUAUAUAUAUAAUAUAUAAUAUAUAUAGAAGUCCGCUACUAUGCUAUCGCGUAGCACAGCGAGCGCUCCGUGCUACCAAGUGUGUUUUCGAUGAUGCGGCUUUCAAAUCGACGAUCGGCUCCGUUGACAUGAUCACACUAUUGAAGUAUUUUGAAACUAAAUUUCAUAAUUUUUUCGAUAUCAUUUACUAUCAAAUAAGUAGUCUAAAAUUGAACGGCUAAAAAUAAAAAUCUCAUAAAAAAAUGAUGAUGAUAAGAUUUAAAUUCAAAGAUCAGAUGAAUACUGAUUUUACUCUAAAUAGUGAAAAGAAUUUUCUAUAAACUUUUCAUCGCAUUUGGAUUUUUUUACUCGUUAAACUCACAACACAACCACAUCGGCCAUUAAAAUUAUCAAUUUUGAAUCUUCUAUCACUAGUCAAAUGAUAUCGAAAAAAUUGAAUUUAGUUUUCAAAUACUUUUCAAUAGUGUAGAUCAAGUCUAACGGAGCCGAUCGUCGAUUGAAAGCGCAUCAUCAGAAACAACUGGUAGCACGGAGCGCUCCGUGCUACCAUAGCAUAGUAGCGGACUCUAUAAUAUAUAUAUAUAAUAUAUAUAUAUUGCUGCAUUAUUUAAUAGUAAAGUAAAAUUUAUGUAAAUUAUGAGUGUGAGCUACUAUGCUUACGAAGCACGGAGCCUUCCGUGCUUCCAGCUCGUUUUGGAUGUUGCGACUUUCGAAUCGUCGAUCGGCUCCGUUAAACUUGAUCUAGAGUAUUUGGAGUACCUAGAAAAUAAAUUUUUAUUACUUUUCGUUAUUCAUUUGCGUUAGUGAUCGAAUGGCUCAAGAAUCAAACAAAUUUCAAUGUGCCGUGUGAUCGUGACGCAGUUUGCAAGUUUAACGGGUUGAGUAGUAGAAAUAUCCAACUCACUGGAAUCUGAUAGAAAAUUCUUUAUAUAUAUAUAAACAGAUCAAUAUCUUUGAUUUAAAAUUUUAAUGUCAUAUUAUUACAUUUUGUAAGAUUUUUAUUUUCAGCCGUUGAUUUUGAGCCCCUUCGUUCACUAGCCAAAUGAUAUCGUAAAAUUAUGAAAUUUAUUUACAAGUACUUCAAAUACUCUAGAUCAAGUUUAACGAAGCCGAUCGACGAUUCGAAAGUCGCAACAUCGAAAACGAGCUGGAAGCACGAAAGGCUCCGUGCUUCCGAUAGCAUAGUAGCCUCACUCGUAAAUUAUUAUAAUAAUAAGAGUUGAGCUAGAAUAUUAUUAAUAGCAAAACGUCCUUUUUGCUAUCAAAUUUUUAGUAUUUGGAUCAACUCUUUUCAUCAUUUCUAAUCAUUGAAUUAAAUACUAUAAUACGGUGGGAACCACUCACUCAACCCUAUGGUUUGUAAAUUAUAAUAUUUUAAUUACAUGUGGUUUAUAAGUUACACUAUUUUAGCAACCUUAUAGUGAUAAAAAAAAAAAUUAAAAUUAAAAAACAAGGGCAAUAUGGCAUAGCAAAAGUUUUUUCAACCACAUAUUGAAAAAAGUGAAAAUAUUAGCCUUUGGAUGGAAUAGUGCUAUAAAAUAGGAUACAAUAAACUUCUAAUUAGCCCCCUAUAAAUUAGCAAAUUUUCACUUUUUCAAUAUGUGGUUAAAAAAACUUUGGCUUUGCCAUAUUGCCUUUGUUUUUAAAUUUUUAUUUUUUUAUAACUAUAAGGGCCUUCUUUUGAAAUGGUUGCUAAAAUAGUGUAACUUAUAAACCACAUGUAACUAAAAUAUUAUAAUUUACAAACCAUAUGAUAUUAUAAUUUAUAAUAAUAUUACUUUACUCUUCUAUUUAAUGGCAAAUUGUUACGGUAGGAUAAAGACAAAAUUACGGGAUAGCAAAAUAAAAACUUCUAACUCACAGGAUUGCAAAAUUUAAAAAAUCCUAGUAAAUCAUAGGAGGGGUUAAUUGAAGUUUAUGCAAAAUAGAAACUCUAGCUUCGUGCAAUUAUUUCAUACUGUGAGGAGUAUACUCAAACUUCUAGAAUAGAUAAAAAUAUUUAGCCUAAAAAUCAUUUUUUUCCACGGAAAGAUAAAUUAUCUCAUAAUAAAAUUUAUUAUUCUGCAAAAUAAUGAACAACAAUACCUUCUAAAGCUGAGAGAAAAAGGGGAAAAAAAAGAAAUUCAUGUUAAUGUCCAAACGGGAUAGAGAUACCAAAGUGCAAAUAGGUCAAAACCAGAGGACCAAAUUGAAGUUUUCACUCUGCUAUAAAAACCCAGCCCGUUUGAAACCCCCCACCCUGCAGCACCUUCUUCUUGUAUUCCCUCCAAAACUUCUCCCUCCCAGAUUUCCUGCUCCAGCGUCCAACCCCCAAAAUCAAUCAAGAAUCGAAGAUGAGCGAAUCCUCGGCCUCCGUCGGUGGCGACGGCGAGAGUGGAAACGAGCUGUGGGCGCCGCCUUUUCCCGGGGAUAUCUUGCCCCGCAUCGUCGCGAGGCUGACCUGCGCCGAUCACGCCGCUCUCCGCGCCACCUGCAAAUCAUGGCGCACCAUCUUCUCCGCCAUCCCCCCCUCCCCCCAUCCCGGCCUGCUCCCCUUCCUCCUCCUCCCCCCGCAUUUCGCCCUCCCUGAUCCUCUCUGCCUCAGCCAUCGUACCCCGCCCUAUACCCCGCCCCUUCCCGACUACCCUCUUGGCCCCAUCGUCCCCUUCCCCCGCCUCGGCCACAGCCAUUCCGAUUCCCCCUUCUUCCCCCUCGGCAGCCUCCGCAAUCCCACAUUCCGCCCGCUCCCCUCCCUCUCCGACACCACCCGCCACGUCUGCGUCGGCUGCUCCCACGGCUGGCUCAUCCUCCUCGGCCCCACCUCCCACAUCUCCCUCCUCAACCCCCUCACCGCCGCCACCAUCCCCCUCCCUCCCCCGCUCUCCUCUGUCCGCUACCUCUUCCCUGUCUCCGAUCCUCGUGACGUCGACCAACACCUCCUCUCGCCGCCUCAUCAACCUCGCCGCCUCCUCCACCUCGCCGCCCUCGUCCGCCUCGCCGCCCUCUCCGCCGACCCCUCCGACGACCCCUCGUCCUUCAUCCUCGUCAUCGUCCUCGGGAACGACGUCUCCUCCCGCUUCUUCACCUGUGGCCCGAGCGACAGCUACGCUGCGUGGAAGCCCCACAGCCCGCUCAGGUUCCCUGCCUACGGCCUCACCGACCUCAUCUUCCACCACGGCCGCUGCUUCGCCGCCAUCACAUGGAGUUACUCUGGGCGCUCACUGCACGGCCCUGCAGACGCAAUCGCCGUUUUCGAUUUCCACACCUAUCCGGCAUUCCAGAGGCUUUUGCAUGUUCGGAUCCGCGAAAACUAUGUUGCGAAAAACUAUACCAACUUCUUGAUUGAGUCGGCCGGUGAGCUACUGCUCGUAACCAGGCAUGGAGAGAUCAAUGCGGGGCGCAUCUUGGUCCAUCGUUUGCCUCCGUUGGAGGGGGAUGGUCCGUUCGUACCAACUCCCGAGGCCAACCUCGGCAAUCGGGCCUUGUUCUUGGGCACGGGGAAUUCCGUCUUAGUGCAAGCCCGGGACUUCCGGCGAUUCAUCCGAAGAAACUGCGUCUACUUCACCGAUGUGUAUCGCAAGGUGGUAAACGAUCGGGCUGUUUCCGUCGGCUGCGUCUACGUGUUCGACAUGGAGAAAGGCAUCACAAGGAAGGCGUUCGAAGUGGCGCAAGAGCAUGAGAUGAAUAUGUGGUCGAAUCUGAGGCCGUGGUGGGUUACGCCCAAUUUGCGCAAGAGUGAUCCAUGAGCACCCAGAGGUUCGNGACAUGGAGCAGGGCGUCACGACGAAGGCGUUCGAAGUGGCGGAAACGGACGAGACGAACAUGUGGGUGAAUCUGAGGCCGUGGUGGGUUACGCCGAAUUUGCGCAGGAGAGGUCCAUGAGCACCGAGAGGUUCGAUCUCGUACCGCACUUUCGUUCUCCCUUGGUGCACAUUCUGAGUUUCAAAUACAAUUGCAGUCUCAUUGCGGAUACAAUCGAAGGAUCCGGAUCAUUUAUUUGCCCCCCUUACAUGUUCUUCUCAGCGAAAAGUUGAGAACUAAGGAUGCAAUUGAUCAAGCCUUAAAUCUGGAUAUUAGGAAUUGCUCAAAAUAAAAGCACCGAAUUUCGCAAUUUAAUUUCACUUCGCUUAUUGAAGUUAUUAUGAUCCAGUUUCAUAGUUUGAACACUUUUAACUUUUGAUCGGACAGUUUUGAAGAAUCUACUCCCUUACAUGUUUGAAGAGCAGUUCUUGAAUAGUAAAGAUUUUGCUCAAAUCUUUAAUAAUACAGUAUCAAGUUAUCUCGAAAAUUAAAAUGAGUUGUCCACGAUUUAUUGUGAUAUCAUGAUAAAAGUAGUUGCUUUUCAUGAUUCAGGUUAAUCGAGGAACGCAAGGAAGAACUGAAAGCGGCAAUUCGAUCAUUAUAACCGUCCUUAGUUCCCUGGCUUCCAAGCCAUCUAUACAAAUUUUAAUGUUUUCUGUACAUAGGAAGAUGAUGGUGUGCAGCAUAUAUAGUCCUGCAAGAGUUUGGAACUUCGUCCAUACAUUGUGUCAUAUCUGUUGCAAAAUUUUAGCACCACUUUGUUUUGAACUUGUACAUACCAUUUAGGAGCAUCUGCUGGGCACGCACACAACUAUCGGAAACUGAUUAGACGUGCGAUAAAGAGAUUGUCUUACUGUGUGAAGAACAGCAUGAUGAUCCGUCUGAAGCAUUCUCCUCUGUAAACAGGAAACUGCAUGUUUACAUCUCCUUCUUUUUCUUUUUCUUUGUUCCUUUCUUUGUGGGGUCUUAUAUUGUUAUUAAUUAGAUCAAGCAUCAACAAUUGAGUUACUUCCCUCAAAAAAAAAAAAAAAAAAACAAUUGAGUUACUAUACUUAUGUUUCUUACUCUCCAAUUUGAUUUUGUAAUGAAGGCAUAGUGACUUUUGUGACCAGGAUUGAGGAAAGGGUUUAUUAUAAUGAUCCCUAGUUGAAUCCAAUUUCUAUGGCUAUACUCCUUUAUUAAGGACCUAUUAGGCCCCGCUAGGUAGGAGGAAUUCUACACUAUCAUACUUGCACCACGUCAUUAAUAACAAAUCAAUUAUAUUUCUUUUUUUCAAACAAAAGUAUAAUAAAAAUAUUUUUUUACAAUCAUAAUGAGACAUAUACUCUUAAAAGGAGACAUUUGAUUGAUUUGUUACGCCAAGUCAUCAAUAUAUCCGUUAUAUUCUAAAAUUUUUUGCUAGGUAGAGGGUGGAGUUUACUGUUUGAUGCUAAUAAUAGUUUAUUGCGGCAACUCUAGUUCCCGUCCAAAUUCAAAAAUCCUUAACCCAAAGAUAGAAAUUUUCCCAACAAAGUAAGACCCAAGAAGGAGUAUUAUAUCGGUAAAUAAACCACAUAAGUUGAUCAAAAUAUGUUAAACACUGUAUUUAAGGGUUUGUUUGGUUCAAUGGUGGAAUUGAAAUGGAUAAUGGAAUGGAAAUGAAUUGGAAUAGUAAUUGGAAUGACCCACUCCCCCAAGACGUUUGAUUUAUUUGUGGAUUGAGAAUUAGAAUGAGUUAUUCAAAUUUCAUUGUUAGGUUCAUAUAAACUAAAAAAAUUAUAGGAUACUAUAAUACUAAUUUUACUCUCAAAUAUAAAUUUGUAUUAUUUAAAAUUUAUAAAAAAUAUAAUACUAUUCUCUAAUAAGUUUUCCAAAAAAAAUAUCAAAUUUAUUUUUAAAAACUUUUAUUAAUGUGGGUUAGGAAUAGGAUUUUGAGAGAGGAUAGAUUUUUUUUUUUUUGAUGAGAAAGGGGUGAAGAGAAGGAGGGUGAGAUGGUCACAUGGGCUUUGAGCUUCCGGAAUGAAAUUUCAAUCCGGACUAGAAGACCGGAAUCAAGUUGAAGACUAAUAGGCCAUUUCCAUUCCAGUCCGAAAUAGCAAUCUCAAACCAAUUCAUGCGAACCAAACAAAAUUAACCGGAUUUGAUCAAACCGAUUUCCAUUCCAUACCCAAAAUGGAUGAACCAAACAAGCCCUAACUUCGUUCCCUUAAUCUCCAAAAUUAGAUAUCAGCAUCUAAUUGCGCAUAGAUCUACUUCCGCAGGAACUACAUAACCAGAUGAUCGCGAUUAAAAAGAAACACGCUCGAAUCGAGUAAUCAAACCAAUCACCUGCACGAACAGCUCGAUCCCCCCUCGCCGCCCCCGGCAUCGUCUUCCUCCCGGCGACGGCGACGGCGGGCGCGGCGGGAGAAGGACGACGGCGACGAGGAGGAGGGGGACAAGAUUUUUAGUUUUUAAUUCCCCAAAUCCGAAAUCAAUUUAUUUACUAAAAUCAAACUGAAUCAGUCCAAGUGAGUUGCUUUUCCAGCUUAGUUUUUAUGAAACAUAUGGUUUAAAUGGAAAUAUAGAUUUAUCUUGCCGCACAAUUUUGAUUUAAAUAAUUUGAUUAUUUUUUCAAUAUAAAAUUUAGAAUAAUUAUUUACUUAAUAAAUUUAUAUCUGUGUAAUUAAAAAUACAUUUAAAUUUUUAAAGCUAAAGAGUCAUUAGUUGAUUCAAAUCAAAUAAAUUAAAAGAUUAUAUAGCAAAAUUAAAAUUUUUAAAGAUUAGAUAAUCAGAUUAAAAUAAGUGACAGUUGUGGUAAGUUGUAUAAAUUUUUACUUUUUUAUUCGGAAAAUCUGAAAAAUUAGAAGAGGUAUUUAUUUCAAAAUAUGUUAAAUUUUUUGAUUUAUUGUCUAUUCUUUCUGAUUUGAGUUUCAUGAAAUUUUUGCUAACUAUAUACCCAGUGCUAUGUGCAGUAUGCCUUUUUCUCUUUUCUUUUUUUUUUUUUCAUUCUCCUUCAUUUGCAUUGUGACUGUAGAGUAUCCUACAUUGUAAAUUGAAAAUGAUUCCGGUUACUAAAGAGAAUAAAUAAUAUAUUUAUCUUAUACCAGAACAGACUCUUUACAAAAAAAUUUCACUUUGGCCCCUAAAAUUUAUAAUAUUUUAAUUUUUUAAUAUAUCAUAGUUAGAAACUUUUGUGUAAUUUUCAAAAACUUGAGGGGGCCCAUGACCAUUGUUGGCCUCUCAAUAGCUCUCUCCCGGUUCAGGACUAAGCAAAGCAUCCCAAAAGGACUUUGAUACAAGUAUGCUAGAUUGAUAAACAUAAAAAUAUAAAAAAAUCAUUCCGGCUUAAGUUUUUUUAAAAAAUAAUUGUUUCAUAUUAUUUAACAUGAUAUCAAAUAAAAAGAUUAUGAGUUCGAGUCACACCAGGCUCCUAACCUAAUUGAAUUUUCUCUCGGUUAAUUUAAGUCCACGUCGAACUUAGACGUAAGGGAGAGUGUUCAAUAUAAAAAUAUAAAAUAUCAUUAUCUAUCAGCUUAAAUUUUUAGAGAAAACAGUUGUUUCGCGUUGUUUAACAUAGAUUGAAGCCAUAUGCACAGCUAAACAAGUAGCGUGGGUAAAUCCAUUAAAAAUGUCUAGAUGCUGCAUGCGAGUCCUCUAAAACUUGCAAUUUAUCUAUAACAAAAAGAGAUGAUGUAUCACGUGCAGAAGUAUGUAACAGUAAGGAUUGCAGCUGCAGGCGAUUUGAUUAUGAGCAACCACAAUUAAACUAUGGCUGGCGCACAUUUAUUUAAUUACAUUUUACAUGUUCACUUAUAGAUAGCAUGCUAGAGAGCCGGCUCAGCCACCAUGUGAUCUUUGCUCUCUUUUACAGAGUGCAGAUCUUACGUCUGUUUCCAUUUUGAAAAAAUUAUAUAUAUCUUUUUGGUUGAAAUACAUAAAGUCACCAGCACUGUACUGCCAUAUGAAAUUUCCUCCCCUCAACUUUUUAUUUUUUCAUUUAUAUUUAUUUGACUUAAUUAGACCCCUAUGUUAAUUACAAGGUUAUUUUACCGACGGUUCCUGGUGCAAGUGGCAAAAGACUUAGUAGUUGGUAUCCAAGGUUUCAAAUUUAAAUUCUAAUUGAUUCACAUUUUCAUUCUAAAUAAAAUAAACGAAGUAGUAGAGUAGCAGUUGAGAUGUAUGGCAAUGAUGACAACAUGAAAAAAUAAAUGAGCUGUUGUCUCUAAUAAUAGAAUGAGAGUGCCGACAGAUACAAAAGAAAGCUAAAUUUUUUUAUUCUGAUUUAUGAUAGCAACGUGGUUUUGAAAAAAGAUUCCAAUAGCCUCUCUAAUUUAUAAAGAUUUGAGAUAAUCAGGUAUAAUAAAAAUUUAUAUAUUUUUCACCGAUGGGAGUCUAACGUAAAGAAAACAAAAGAAAGAAAAAAAAAAUGAUAGUAUAAAGAGGUGUAAAUUAAGAAAAUAAUUUUUUUAUGGCUAUUAAGAAAAUCAAUGCUAAUUAAAAAAAAGGCAAUUUCGAACUGCGGUACAGUGCUGAAGUGGUCUCCAAUUUUUUUUUUCUUUUUUGUUGGGGCAAUCAAAAUUUAUACAUAUCAAUCCUUCAAAUAUAAUAGUAUCGUAGAAUAAUAUCGUGGGGUGAAAAUCGUUUUGAUAUUACUCAAUCUAACCGGACUCUGAAGCCAAAGAUUAUCAGAUUUGGAUUGAAAUUUUACUAUCCAUUACAGACUCAAAUUUAGAUUCAGAUCCAAAAUUUGAAAUUCUUUUGGGUUCAAAUUAAGAUUCAUUAUUCCUUUUUAUUCAAAAUUAUUCGAAACAAAAACUGAUUUUGACUGCUUUUUUAAUUUCUUAAGCAAUGCCAUUUAAGCAUCUUUCAGAAAUCUCAAACAUCUUCAUUGCAUUUUCUUCACUUGGAAGAGAAAUUAAUAAUAAUAAUAAUAAUAAUAAUAAUAAUAAUAAUAAGGCCCUCCUUUUCCGCCUCUUCAUUUGAAAAUGGACACGGAAACAUCAAGAUCCAAAGAGAAAAUUUGAAACUGAUAAUAUUUUUAUAAUCUGUACAAUAGGAUAAAGCCGAUUAAGGGAGUAACGUGCAAAAGGUCAACGAUUCCCAGCGUAGUUACCAGAGAGCAGCAGCACGAUAAUUGGAGCAACCACCUAUCAUCCCCAUAUUCUCUGCUAGGACGUUUGUAUUGAGAAGAAGCACAUAGCUAGCUAGCUGCUUUGGUAAUAGCGAUGGCGGAGGGGAUCGCAUUCGAUCUGGUCAAAGGAGUGCUGGGCAAGCUGGGCUCCGCUCUCUGGGACGAAAUCGGGCUGCUGCGGAGCUUCAAGGACGACGCGGACGAUCUCAAAAGCGACUUCUCGGCGAUCCAGGUGGUGCUUCUCGACGCCGAGGAGCGAAGCAGCAGCGUUGGGAAGGAGAGCCACGGUUUGAACGACUGGCUGCGCAAACUGAAGGACGCCGCCUACGACGCCGACGACCUGCUGGACGAGAUCCGGACGGAAGCUGAAAAGGUACGUGGAUUUCUGUCCCGCGCUAAUCCGAUGCAUCUGAAGUUUAAGCGCAAGAUGGCACACAGGAUGAAAGAGCUCAGAGAAAAGAUCGGUAAGAUCGCGGAACAGAGGCAUAAGUUUGGUCUUGCCGAAGUUGGCCCUGGUCGGCAGGCUGAGUUCAAGCGCAGUGAUUCAUUCUCGCUCGUCGACGAAAAGAAAAUAGUUGGGAGAGAUGAUGAUAAAGAGAAAAUUGUGAAGCUACUGCUACAGACUAACAGCGAUCACGACGUGUUGGUCAUUCCGAUCGUGGGAUUGGGGGGUUUGGGGAAGACGACGCUCGCUCGGCUGGCCUUCGACGAUGGGCGGGUUACGGGCCAGCAGCGCUUCGAUCUACGGGCGUGGGUCUGCGUGUCUACCGAUUUCGACAUAAAGACGAUUGCAAGGUCGGUGAUGUCUGAAGCUGGAGAGAAGUGUGAUCUUGACAACUCGGAUGCCGUCGGCCAUUGCCUUGUUAGGAUCUUUAGCCAGAAGAGAUUUUUGCUGGUGCUGGAUGAUGUGUGGAACGAAGAUCAGGAAAAGUGGGAGAAAUUGAAGGUUUUGUUUAAGGACGGCAAGCAGGGAAGUAAAAUCUUAGUGACCACACGGAGCAAGAAGGUUGCCACGAUAAUGAAAACAGUCGAACCACACCAUGUGAAAGUCUUAUCAGAUGAUGAUUGUUGGACAUUGUUCAAAAGACGGGCAUUCGAGAAAGGGGAAGAGAACGACUAUCCGAGUUUGGUGGAAAUUGGAAAGCAGAUAGUAGAGAAGUGUGGUGGCUUGCCUUUAGCAGCAAAUGCCUUAGGAAGUAUGAUGCGCUUUAAGAGGACAGAGAAUGCAUGGUCUGCUAUUAGAGAUAGCGAAAUAUGGAGGUUGGAAGAAGGAACUAUUUUACCAUCAUUAAAAUUGAGCUACAUUCAGAUGCCGUCGGCUUUGAAGCAGUGCUUUGGUUACUGCUCCAUAUUCCCCAAGGACUACGUGAUUAACAAAGAUGACUUGAUCCGGCAAUGGAUUGCUUUAGGCUUCAUUUCAUCGCAUGAAACAUGGACUUCGAUGGAAGAUAUUGGGAAUGAGUACCUUAACGAUCUAUUAUGGAUGUCUUUUCUUCAAGACGACGUGGAGAACAAAUACAGAUACCGGAUGCAUGAUUUAGUGCACGACCUCGCACAGUCUGUAGCAAGAGAAGAAGUUGCUGUCAUAUUUGGAGAAGAGUCAACAGGGAUCUCAGAAGGUUGCCGCUAUGCAUCAAUACACAGUAGUUUCGUGCCACAGAUUCCAACCACGGUAGCGCAGAGGUUGCGUGCUCUUCAAUUUAGGAACUCUGGUUCACUUAUUAUGGCUUUUUAUAGCGAGGCAAAAUGCUUACGCCUGUUGGAUUUACGUGGUUCCCAAAUAUCUAUGCUGCCAAGCUCAAUCGGUAAGUUGAAGCUCUUAAGAUACCUCAACCUUUCAUCGACCAAUAUACAAGAACUGCCUGAAUCAAUUACCAGCCUCUGCAACUUGCAAACCUUGAAACUUUCAAGCUGCCACGAUAUCCGUACAUUACCCAAAUUUCUAGGAAGGCUUACGAAUUUGCGGAUUUUAGAUUUAAAUGAUUGCCUAUCUCUGACAAUACCUGACUCCAUAAGCAACCUUCAGAAUUUGUACGCACUAAAUUUGAGUUGGUGCAUAAAUGUGAUAUCACUUGAACCUAUAUGUCACCUCAAAACCCUGCAUCACCUACACCUAUCAUUUCUAUAUUCUUUCACAACAUUACCUGAAUCCAUUGGGAGCCUUCAAAACCUGCGAAUUCUGAAUCUUUUUUGGUGCUGUUCUCUAAUAUCAUUACCGUCGUCGUUAUGUGAUCUUCAGCAUUUAGAGAAACUAGACAUUAGACGAUGUAGAAAAUUAUGUGAGCUGCCUAAAAUGAUCCAAAAGCUGACCAAACUAAAAGAAUUGUUAAACGAAGAUUGCUGGGAAUUGAAGGGCAUGCCCCGAGGGAUCGGCAAGUUACUUAGCUUGCAGGAAUUGUCCGUUUUUGUCGUCGGCAAGCAAGACCGCGUCGAACAUUGCGCUAGCAUCUCUGAGCUAGAGCACCUUAAGCUUGUCGGCGGGCUGGAGAUCAAGGGUCUUGAAAAUAUAACGAGUCCGGUUGAUGCCAAGGCUGCAAAUUUGAUAGAGAAGAAGCUGCGGUCUUUGAAGUUGGAUUGGAACGUUUUAAGUGCGGAAGAAGGCACGGAUAGUACUGUACUACCGGCGGAAGAGAUCGAAACCGUGCUAGAAAAUCUUCAACCGCAUCAAAAGCUAGAGGAAUUGAAUAUACGAGGCUAUGGAGGCGGGAAGUUUCCUAGCUGGAUGAUGAAUAGGAUUGGCUCGUGCCUCCCAAAUCUCGUUCAAAUCCAACUUGUGAAUAUGUCCAGAUGUUGCUCACUCCCGCCGCUGGGGCAACUCCCUUUUCUUAAACAACUAUUUAUAAGAAAUAUGCCCGCAAUAACAAAUUUGGGCGUAGAUAAGUUCCCUGCGCUGACGAGACUUCGCUUGUCCCGCAUGCCGGUGCUGCGAGAAUGGGUGACGGUAAUGACGGUGGACGGCAAAGAAGGCAGGCGAGAGCGAGUUCCCAUUUUUCCGUGUCUCACUCAUUUGAGUCUUACAAAAUGUCCCCAGUUCCGCCCAGAGCCUUGCCUCCCGCCAUCGGUUGAGGAUCUGGACAUUUCCGGAACAAGCAGCGAGAAUCUAUCGUUAAUUCUCGAAUGCGUGACGCCACUUGACGAGCGCGAUGCUGCCGUUUCACUCCAACCACCACCAAAUAAGGGGCUGCGGAAUCUAACAAUAACUAAAUGUCAGCAGCUAACUUGUUUGCCCGAGAGCUUGCGGGGUCUCACGUCCCUCCAGAGCCUGAGAAUAAGAGGUUGCCAUGAUCUUGAGAGAAUUGAAGAUUGGCUCGGGGAGCUCUCCGACCUGCAGUCCUUGUCCAUCCAUGGGUGCAGCAGUCUCCGUUACUUGCCUGCCCACAAGAUGACCGCACUUCAGGAGUUAGGUAUCGGGAAUUGCCCGCUGUUGUUCGAUGCAGAUGGACGAUUUGUCGACACCAGUGUGGAUCACAUCAAAUAUAUCUAUGUUGAUGGAAGGUAAUUAAUUUGGAACUCUGACUACUCUUUAAUUAAUUAGCUGGCUAGCACCUUAAUAUUCUCUUGUAGCUAGCAUAUAAACCUCUUUCUUUAAAUUUAUUUAUUUAUUUAUUUAUUUAUUUUUAAUCCAGAUGGAAAAACUUCCAUUAGCCCCGCCCCACGUGGUUCAUUUGCUAUAAAAUAUUUCACUUUGCUAUUUUAUUGUUGUCUUUAUUUUGCCCAACUACUGCCAAAGAAUAUUGAAGUGCUUAAAUUUAUGAAUUAUAGGAUAUUAAAGUAGUAUAUUUUAUAAAUUUUAGCACUUAACUACUUCACUUGAUGGCAAGUUCUUACAAUGAUACGAAGGAAAGAAAUAAUCACACAAUUUUAAAGUAAAAAAUUACUAUUUAAAGUACAGGACGAUAAAGUAAAAAAUGCAUUGAAUUAUAGAGGGUCCAAACUAAAGUUUUUCCUCACCGUAUAAACCUCUCGUAACAUACUUAUAGAUGCACAUACUUACUGCAACAUGAGUUACAAACCAUUUGCUAUUCACAAUCUCCAAUCCCCACCUUCUCGAGCAAUUGACCCACCAAUUUAUGUAUCUGGGAGAUUUUGUUUAAUUUAUAUUCUGAGUGAUUAUAAAUUUUUAGAUUAGUUUUAUCCUACUCUUAGAUAAGUUUUAUCCUGUUCUUAUUUCUUCCGGUUUAGAUAUGCUAAAUUGCUAUUCAACACAAUAUUUUGCUUGUACAAGUAGUUCAUAGAUUACACGAGGCAAUUAUUUUUCCACAAAUUUUGUAGCAAUUCCAACUUUACUAAUUUGCACAAUUGAAACUAUAUCAGCUUGCCGUUGCACAAUUUAAAAGCCACAUUUCAAAAUCAACUACAUAAAAGUGCAGCUAAGAUAUUCUAAAACAUGGUUUGUUGCUAAAAAAAAUUUACAAGCGGUCUCUUGCACGUAUAUAGACUAAUUAAUGAAAUUUUAACCUUCUCUUAAUUUAUAGCGAUUUGAGAUGCCGAAAAGUUUCUACUCGAAAGAUAUAUAGUAUUUGCGAAGUAAUUAUUUCCGGUAAUAUUGCUAAUAUACUAUUCGAGUCCUGGGAUAUUUUUCUUUUCAAAUUGAAAUCAGGUAUUUUAUAUAUCAUGCGUUAUUAGAAAGCCGAAGAAAAAUGUACAGCACAUGCUGCACGAGCAUUGGAGUUUAGUAGUUUCCACACCCUCUUGUUGUUUACUUUUCAGCUACUGCUACACCGACAGAUCAUCGAGAUAUGAGGAUUAUGCCAUAGAUAGCAUCUCCAACCCGUGUAUAUAGAGGACCACCAGUUAGUUGGUUUUGAGAUUGUAUGAUGUACAUUAGGACCGGCGGGGUCAGGAUCUUUACUUAUAUACCUUUAUUUUGAAAUGUAUAGUUGUAUAUUUGUAUGGAUAGUGGUCGUUGUUUAGUUUAGUUUUACAUAAAUCGCUAUGAUACUUUGUGUUUAGUUGUGAACUCUAGAAUCAUUAAUGUUGACUCUUUGAUUCCUUUAUUACUGCUACUGUUUCGUUGGUCGCUUCGUGCGGACAGGAGAAACUCUAUCCGUUCGGUGGAUCUGUCGAUGUUCCCGUGGGCUUACGCUAUGAAAUUGGGGCGUGACAGAUUAAUGUGCUAAAAAAAGUUACUAUUUUGUGUUGUUAUGAUGCAGGAAAUACCCAUAUGAGGAAGAAGGGAGCAGCUCGCCAAAGGAAGAGAAGAGCUCACCGAAGGAGGAGGAGAAGAAGAGUUGGACGAGUUAUUGGAGCAGAUCGAAUUGGUUAGCGAGGAGAGCAUAAGUAUAUGUACCUAUUAUUUGGAGGUAAAAAGAUAUUAGAUAUUAUCUAAACUAUCAUGUGCUUUUAAAGCGGGCAACUGGGCUUUACGAAUUUUGAUUUUAAUUCGUAAACCUUAUAUAUGCUCAUUUUGAUAAAAUAAAUUUUCUUUCAAAGAUUUGUUAGAUUCUUUUAGAAUUUAGUCUUUUCCGUUAAAAACAAAGUACAGAAUGUUUCAAAAAAUAAAAGAUAUUUUUUAAUCAAAUUUUAAAAUGUUUUAUCAAAAAACGUUAAGUAUCCUUUCGAAUUCUAUAAGGUGUUAGGAUUUGGUUAGAUUUGUAAUUGAAUCCUAUUUGGAUAAGAAUUAAUAUUUAAAUCUGUUUAAAAUAAAUUAAGAUUUAAAUAUUAAUUAGAGGAUCAACCUAACUAGAUUAGGAUUAAUAUUUAAAUCUAUUAGAGAUUAAUUAAGAUAGAUUUAGAUAUUAAUUAGAGUAGAAAUCCUAAAUAUAUUAGAAUUGGGGUACAUUUUGGUGGAGCUUUAUAAAUAGCUCUUGAUGGGUUUGUUUUUGAGGUGAGUACGGGAGAGAGAGAGAGAGAAAAGGCCUCUUGGGUGCCGUACCAGAGAGAGAAAAAGAGAGAGAGAAGGGAAUGAGAGAUUCAGAAAGAGAGCUCGGAUUGUAGCUACUCUGCGCAGAAGAGGAGUCAGGUGUAAUCUUCUCUUAUUUAAUGAAUCUUAUUUUACCCGCAUAUUUUCUGUUUUGGUAUUUCUCUCUUUUAUGAUUGUAUCAGUUUUUGCUGAGGAGACGGAUUUAUGGUAAAAAUCCGAUUUGACGUUUCCGUUGCGGAAUCCCAACCAUCGGUAUCGGAUUCACAAUAGUCGGUAUCGGAGCGGGUUGCGGAUUCACAAGAUCCGGUACCGGGGCGAGUACCGGAUUCCCAACAUAAGGAACAUAAUAAACACGGCGGAAAGUUAGAGAGUAGAAUUAAAUUUUUUAAAGUUUAGUUAUUUAUCUGAAAGCGUAGUAUAGCUCAAGUAAUUAAGAAUCAUUCUCUUUUAGCUUAUUUGGUGAUCACUAUUCCCCUUUGAGAAGAGUUUUUUUUUCCCCUUUGUUUCGCCAAAAAUAAACAAAUUUUAUAUAUCUAAAUGCAAUGGUGAGAGUUUUUAUUCAUGGACUUGUGGUCUUCUCUUUCAGGUUGGUGCUAUUUAGUUUGCCGGACAAGAAUUGUAGUGUGCUGUUGUCGGUUAAUAUAUAUUUGUGUUUUCGUGAUAUAUAUUUAGUUUCUGAAUGUACUAUUUUAUAAUUUGGUUUGAUUAUUUGUAAUUUUAUGGAGUUCUCUAUACAUGUUAUGGGCUUGAAAAAGAUUGUUUGGUUUGAAUAAACAAAAUGUUGCUACUUUUUUAAUACUGAUAUUAGAGGGUACAUUAAAUUUUAAGUAAAUCUCAUGUAGAGUUUAUUACUAGUAUAUAUGCAUUGUGUUACGAACUUGUUUAAAAUCAGAUGCUGUUUUUGGCAUGCAAGUUGGAGCUGGUAUAUAUGUAUGUACCGCAGUUGAGAGGGUUAAUUUCCAUAUAUGUUUACUUUAAUUUAUCUUUACUUUUAUUUGAUUAGAUCCGAAUUAAGCCGAUAAAUUUUAAAGUAUUAAAAGUUUUAUUAUUUUAAUUUGCUUUUUGCGAGAUUUUUAGUUUUUAAAUUCCACAAAUCUGAAUCGAUUUAUUAAUAAAAUCGAACUGAAUCAAUAAAAGUGAGUUGCUUUUCCAGUUUGGUUUUUACCAAACAUGUGGUUUAAAUGAAAAUAUAUAUAUAUAUUGCUGCAUUAUUUAAUAUAAAAUUGAGAUUAAUUAUUUAUUUUAAUAAAUUUAUAGCUUCAUAAAUUUAUAAAAUAUAGUAAUUAAACAUGUAAAGAUAAACAAUACAUUUAAAUUUUAAAGCCAAAGAGAUAUUUGACUCAAAUCAAAUAAAUUAAAAAAUUAUACUCUUAAAGAUUAGAUAGUAAAAUUAAAAUGAGUGAUAGUUGUGGUAAGUUAUAUAAAUUUCUUAUUUUUUUUAGUCAAGUAAUCCAGAAAAUUAAAAGAGGUAUUUACUUCAAAAUAACUUAAAUUAUUUUUUAUGGACAAGUAUUUUUCGAGACCCUAACAUUUGGGACCAACCGUAAAAAAUAAGGAAAAUUGCAUGAAAUUAAUUAACCAAAAUUUUAUUUUAUUGGAAAAAUAACCAGAAAAUUUUUAAAAUUUUCUGAUUUUAUUGUUUAUUCUUUCUUAUGUGAGUUUCAUGAAAUUUUUGCCCUUACCCAGUGCAUGGGCACUAUGCCCCCUUUUUUUUUUCCCCUUUUUCUUUUUAAUGGAAAUGCAGUAUGCAUAAUUGAUCCUUGAUGUAUACUAUAUUUUUAAUUUAACAACCGAAAAAAUAUGCUGUGAAAAUUAAACUAGUGGAUGAGAUAGCGUAAGGAUAUAUGAAUGUAUAAGGUGCAUCCAAUCGUUUUAUGAAGCGAUUAAAUUAUUUAAAUUAAAUAAAAAUUUUAAAUAUAAUAAAUAUAAAUUUUUUUAAAAAAAUUAAAUAGAUAGAUUUCAAAUUAUCCAAAAUUCAAUUAUCUUUGUAUAUUCAAAAUUCAAAAUCAUCAUAGAAAACUGCAUCUAACUUGUGAUGGCCAGUACCUUAAAAUUAAAAUCCAAAACAAAAAAGUACGAUCUACAGUAUCUAAAUGGAUUAUGUAUAAAAACACAAGGUUAAAAAAAAAAAAUCUAUUACUAAGUCAUCUAAAGUCUAUUCGUUUGUCUAUCGUAGAGAACGAGUAAUUAUUUGAUUUAUGAAGAAAUAUAUCUUCAAAAUAAGAAAUGCUACUGGUGCAUUCAAAAGUGUGGUGUAAAUCUAAGAUUUAUCCUCAAUAUGAAUUUUGUUUUUAAAUCUCAUCUUAGUAUCCGUUCAUUGUAUGGACUAGUUUACUGGAAUGGGCUUGGGCAUCCUACCUCGUUCCAUAUAACGUUUUGGUUCUGGUGGUCGUAUCAAAGUAAAUUUGUAUUUAUCAUAUCAACUUAUCACGACACAUAACUUCUCUUUGCUUUUUCUUCCUUUUUUUUUUUUUUUUUUUUUUGGAUAAAAGCCUUCCCAUGGUUGUAUGCAAGAGAUUAUAACUUGAUUGCUUAUGAAUAUGAGAGAAAGACGGGUGCUUAUUGUUUUGGAAUUUGUUGUUUGUCUGACGAUCCUGAUUAAAUAAUAUGAAGUACAUAUCUCUGUUUCUUACAUUUAUUUGAUCUUUAUAUACGUUUCAUUUUGGUCCUCAAACUUUCAAGUUCAACGACCGAGAUUUUGAACUCUUCAAAUAUUUUGCACAUCAACUGUUGGAUGGCAAAUUUCUGCUUACACCUAUUAUAUGUAUGCUACAUAUUUGUAUACUUAUUUAUCGACUCUGUACUGUCAUAUUAUUUUUACAUUGCCGCUUGUGGAUUUACAAUCGUUUUCUUUUUUAUUUAGAAAUUAGAGUAUUGAAUUGAAAGUAUGAGAUAAAAGACGGCUUGAUGAAUUUGUGGUGCACAAACAUACGGGUAACAUUUUCCAAGGUAUUGCUUUAGAAGGUAUUGCUGUUCAUUAUUUUGAGGAAUAAUAUAUUUUAUUAUGAGAUAAUUUAUCUUUCCAUGAAAAAUUGAUUUCUAGGCUAAAUAUUUUAUCCAUUCCAGAAGUUCUAAUAUACUCCUCAUGGUAUGAAAUAAUUGCACAAAGCUAGAGUUUCUAUUUUGCACAAACUUCAAUUAACCUCUCCUAUGAUUUACUGCAUUUUUUCAAUUUUGCAAUCUUGCGACUUAGAAGUUUUAUUUUGUUAUCCCAUAGUUUUGUCUUUGUUCUACCGUAACAAUUUGCCAUUAAAUAGAAUAGUGAAGUAAGAUUAUUGUAAAUUAUAAUAAUAAUAUGAUUUGUAAAUUAUAGUAUUUUAGUUAUAUGUAAUUUAUAAGUUACACUAUUUUAGCAACCACUGCUGAUAAAAAAAAUAAAAAUUAAAAAACAAGGGCAAUAUGGCAAAGCCAAAGUUUUUUUAACCACAUAUUGAAAAAGUGAAAAUGUGCUAAUUUAUAGGGGGCUAAUUAGAAGUUUAUUAUAUCCUAUUUUAUAGCGCUAUUCCAUCCAAAGGCCUACAUUUUCGCACUAAUUUUAUCAAUUUUUUCUUUGUUCAUAUUAAAAAUUUAAAAGUAUUGUGUAAAUUUUUAAAUAUGUGAGUAUAAGAUUUACACUGCGCUUUUAAGUGAGCAUAGUAUAUAAAAAGAAUAAAAGCUAAAUCUCAUAAUCCAUCUGUUGACUUAUCAUUCACAUUAUCAGUCAAAAUUACUUUUCAUUUGUACAAGAGUGAUUCUUCAAUCUCGUUUUUUAUUACAUUUAUCACCUAAACAAUUUCAAUAGCAUUUGGAGGUACCACCUGAGUUUAGGGUUGAGGGUUUGUUCGUAAACUUCGAUUGGCGAAAGUGGUAGCAACAUGUAUAUACUAAAUUGCAUUCAAAUUUUUAUCCAUAUUUAACUUGUUCGUAUCAUAUUUAACUAGUAAAUUAACAAACACUUCGUACUACAGUAAAAGUUGACAUUAAAAAAUUUGCGCAUUUGGAGAGUAAGACAAAGUACGGGAACUCAAUUCUUGAUGCUUGAUCUAAUUCACAAGAUGAGAUCCUCCUCACUUUGCAUUUAGUGGAAGUUGCAAAAAUGAUCUGAAAUGCUUGAGCUGCGAGAAAUUGACCUCAUACAUUUAAGAAGGCCAAAAGAGUUUCAGAUAAGAGCAUUGUAGUCGCUUCUUCGGAUUGGAGAAUACUUUGAGAUGAAUCAUGCUGUUCAUCGCAUUUGGAGAGUGAGAAGCAGCAGGUGCUGCAGGCUUCAAACAGGCUGGGUUUUUGUACAUACGAAUUAAAUGGAUGGAAUAAAAUGAAAAAGAAUAUUAAGGAUGAAUAAAACCCUAGUGCACACCUGUUUGGAUGCACCAUGUGUAGGCAGUGAUUUUUCGUAAGACAAAAUCAUAAAGCGGUAAAGAAUAGGUAGUCAAAUUAAUUUAAAAUUUUAAAUAUUAGCUAAUUAAUUUCAAAUAAUCAAAGUUCGGAUUAAUUAUAUACAUUUUUAUACCCAAAAAUAAAACACACGCACAACAACAACAACAACAACAACAACAACAACAUCAUGAUCUCUGCAGAGAGGGGUCUUUCUUUCUCAUGAAGAACAGGGCAUCUUCCGCACCAAGAUCCGAAUUUGGUUUAUUAAGAGAGGAAAUUUUGGGUCUCAAUAGAUAAAACAAAAACUUGCUGCAUACAAUUGUGGAGCAAAGGAUUUUUUAAAAUAAAAAAAAGGAGACAAAGCCUUAAUUAGAAAGAGAUGUUUAUGUAUGAAUUAACGAGUGCAUUUACGUAUGGUAACUUGGUAACUGUUAUACUUUCCUACCUGUAUUGUUUGGAUUCAUUAGUGAUAUUUGCAAUUUGUUAUGGAUUGAUGCAUUUAGCAGUGCAAUGUGUAUAUAUGCUUCAAAAGCGAGGUGUUUCAUCAAAAAAUUAAUCGAAUGGUUUAAGCUAUAGGUUUUAUGCCAAAAUAUUCAAAUAAAUGGUUCAAGUUAAGGGUUUUUUUAAAAAAAACAUUUGAAGUAUUGGAUGGAUCUUUGCUUCAAUCUGAGCAGUUUUGGAGUUUUUUUUUGAGAAAAAGAUAGCACGCUACCAGCUUUAUUCAUUUAAGAGAUGAACUUAGCUACAUAGGUGAGGCAACAAGGUCUCUAGAGAGAUGAAAACCAGAAGUUAAAUGAAAAAAAAAAAAAAAAAAAAAAAAAAAACAACAACAACAACAACAAAGAAUUAGUGUCUCUCUACAGGGCGAAGUUUCUCCCAAAGGGACGUCAACUGUUUAACCUUAUAACAACCACGGAUUGGAUCAGUCUGAAUCCUCCUCUUAAAGAUCACACCAUUCCUGAUCUCCCAAAUGACCCACCAGCAGGUUAUUAGUCCAGAUAAACUAUCGCUCUUAGACUGUGACCUCUUCUUUCUACUCCAUAUGUCCCAAGCCAUAUACACAUCUUCACCCAAAUCUCCUACUUGGACAUCCUCUAAUGACAUCGCCAUAAGAAAUUUGAAGAAUACAUAUUAAGAAAAACGAUAAUCUACUGUUUCCACAUCAGUCCCACACAACACGCAAUUCGUGUUUCCUAUCCAUCCUCUUUUUAAUAAAUUAUCUGCAGUUUUGGAGUUAACAGCUUGUUUUGGAUACUCUCUAAUACUACUUUUCGAAAUAGAGUUGUUACAGUUGCUCCUCUUGCUGAUGUACUGGAAGAUGCUACUGGUGUCGACCAAUAGUAGCUAGGUUAAAAUUUGAAACUGUUUCAAUCUUAAAACUUGUAAAUAAUAGUGUUUAAGAUUGUUUUUGGUUUCAUGUCAGCAUCUAUUUUGACAAAGCUGACUCUGUUUCCGGCUGAAUUUGUUUUGAAAUUGCUUCAGUUCGCCAUUUCAAUAUAAGCAACUGCUAAACUUGCAAAGACUCGUAAAGAUGGUAACAACAGCUGAAGUUAUUCUGAAUAAUCGCAUUUUUACAGAAGCUGUAUUUAUUUCAAGCAAAACAGUUUUGACAGGGCUAAAUUGGUCUCAAGCAUUCCGUAUCUACAAAUGCAGAAUUAGAAUUGAAGCAAAGCCAAAAUGACAAAUAUUUUUUCCUUUUGACGUAGGAUUGUUGGGCAUACACUUCACAGUUAGAGAAAAAUUGCAUAAUAGUAAAGUCGCAAAAUCGUAAAGAGAAUCGGUUCACAAAUAGAAGAUAAUUUUAAUUAAUAGCAUUGAUGUCUAAAAAAAAAAUUUCUCCUUCAUAAAGUUUUGAGUCAUCAUCCUACUCGCUUUCUUCAUUAAUUACCAUCGCUGCCAUCAUCAACAUGCAUCUUUGAUGCAUCAGGAUUUACCUGAAGUGAGUGAGCAAAAAAAGUCCUCCUUUAAUUAAGGGACCUUGCAAAAAAAAAAAAGAAAAAAAAAAGGGGUCCCCCUCCUCCUCAAACAUCUUCAUCUUCAUUGCGUUUUUAUUCUUUUCCUCCUUUCCAAGCACGAGAGAGGGCAAAANAAAGAAAAAUGAUAGUAUAAAGAGGUGUAAAUUAAGAAAAUAAUUUUUUUUUACGGCAAUUAAGAAAAUCAAUGCUAAUUAAAAAAAGGCAAUUUCGAACUGUGGUGCAGUGCUGCAGUGGUUUUCGUACUUUUUUUUUUUCUUUUUUUUUGGGGCAAUCGAAAUUUAUACAUAUCUUGGGGUGAAAGCCGUUCCCAUAUUAUUCAAUCCGACCGGACUCUGAAGCCAAAGAUUGCCGGAUUUAAUCUGAAAUUUUACUAUCAAUUUCAAAAUCAAAUUCGGAUCUGGAAAUUAAAAUUUCUUGGGGUUCAACUUAAGAUUCACUAUUCCUUUUUGAAUCCGGAUUCAAAUUAUUCAAAUCCAAAACUUUUUAACAUGCUUUUUUAAUUUCUUAAAUAAUACCAUUUAAGCAUCUUUCAGAAAUCUCAAACAUCUCCAUUGCGUUUUUUCUUUCCCCCCUCCGUUAGAAGGAAGAGCAUCUAUGCGCAUUCAGUGUGAGAAAAAAAAAAAAUUGCUACCUUUUUCCUGUACAUAGGCUAUAGGCCUCGUUACCGUCACUCACCGUUCAAACCGUUAGAAGGAAGAGCAAAUAAUAAUAAUAAUAAUAAUAAUAAUAAUAGUAAUAAUAAGGGUCCCUCGUUUUCCGCCUCUUCAUUUGAAAAUUGAAAGUGGACACGGAAACAACAAGAUCCAAAGAGCAGAUUUGAAACUGAUAAUAUUUUUAUAAUCUGUGCAAUAGGAUAAAGCCGAUUGAGGGACUAACGUGCAAAAGGUCAACGAUUCCCAAGCGUAGUUACCAGAGAGCAGCAGCACGAUAAUUGGAGCAACCACCUAUCAUCCCCGUAUUCUCUGCAAGGACGUUUGUAUUGAGAAGAAGCACAAAUAUAGCUAGCUGCUUUGGUAAUAGCGAUGGCGGAGGGGAUCGCAUUCGAUUUGGUGAAGGGAGUGCUCGGCAAGCUGGGCUCCGCUCUCGGGGACGAAAUCGGGCUGCUGCGGAGCUUCAAGCACGACGCGGACGACCUCAGAAGCAACUUCUCGGCGAUCCAGGCGGUGCUUCUCGACGCCGAGGAGCGAAGCAGCAGCGCUGGGAAGGAGAGCCACGCUCUGCGCGACUGGCUGCGCAAACUGAAGGACGCCGCCUACGACGCCGACGGCCUGCUGGACGAGAUCCGGACGCAAGCGGCCCUCCGGCAACAGCAGCAUCCGGAGGUGCAGAAUCAAAACCAGCCAGCUGAAAAGGUACGUGAAUUCCUGUCCCACGCUAAUCCGAUGCGUCUGAAGUUUAAGGUCAAGAUGGCACACAGGAUGAAAGAGCUCAGAGAAAAGAUCGGUAAGAUUGCGAAACAGAGGCAUGAUUUUGGUCUUGCCGAAGCUGGCCCUGGCCGGCAGGCUGAGUUCAAGCACCGUGAGACAUUCUCGGCCGUCGACGAAAAGGAAAUAGUUGGGAGAGAUGAUGAUAAAGAGAAAAUUGUGAAGCUACUGCUAGAGACGGGCGGCGAUCACGACGUGUCGGUCAUUCCGAUCGUGGGAUUGGGGGGUUUGGGGAAGACGACGCUCGCUCAAAUGGCCUUCAACGACGGGCGGGUUACGGGCCAGCAGCGCUUUGAUCUACGCGUGUGGGUCUGCGUGUCUACCGAUUUCCACAUGAAGACGAUCGCAAGGUCGGUCAAAUCUGCAACCAAAGAGGAGUGUGAUCUUGACAGCUUGGAAUCCGUCGCGAGUUUUCUCCUCAGGAUCUUUAGCCAGAAGAGAUUCUUGCUGGUGUUGGAUGAUGUGUGGAACGAAGAUAAAGGGAAGUGGAAGGAAUUGAAGGUUGUAUUUAAGGACGGCAGGCAGGGAAGUAAAAUCUUAGUAACCACACGAAGCGAAAAGGUCGCCGCGAUAAUGAAAACAGUCGAACCACACCGUGUGAAAGGCUUAUCAGAUGAUGAUUGUUGGACAUUGUUCAAAAGGCUGGCAUUCGAUGAGGGGGAAGAGAACGACUAUCCGAGUUUGGUCGCAAUCGGAAAGCAGAUAGUAAAGAAGUGCGGCGGCGUGCCUUUAGCAGCGAAUGCUUUAGGAAGUAUGAUGUAUUCAAAGAACAGGACAGAGGAUGCAUGGUCCGCUAUUAGGGAUAACGAAAUUUGGAGUCUGCAAGAAGAGAAAACUAUUUUACCAUCAUUAAAGUUGAGCUACAUUCAGAUGCCGUCGGCUUUGAAGCAGUGCUUUGCUUACUGCUCCAUAUUCCCAAAAGACUACGAGAUUGACAAGGAUGACUUGAUCCGGCAAUGGAUUGCUUUAGGCUUCAUUUCAUCGCAUGAAACAUGGACUUCGAUGGAAGAUAUUGGGAAUGAGUACUUUAACGAUCUAUUAUGGAUGUCUUUCCUUCAGGAAGUGGAGGAGGACAAAGAAUAUAGAAAGGUUACCACCUGCCGGAUGCAUGAUUUAGUGCACGACCUCGCACAAUCUGUAGCAAGAGAAGAAGUUGCUGUUAUAGUUGGAGAAGAGUCAACAAGGAUCCCGGAAAGUUGCCGCUAUGUCUCGAUAUACAGUCGUUUCACGCCACAGGUUUCAAUUACCGUAAUGCGGAGGUUGCGAGCUCUUCAAUUUAGGGAAUCUGGCUCACUUAUUAUGGCUUUUUAUAGCGAGGCAAAAUGCUUACGCCUGUUGGAUUUACAUGGUUCCGAAAUUUCUAUGCUGCCAAGCUCAAUCGGUAAGUUGAAGCUCUUAAGAUACCUCAACCUUUCGUCAACCAAUGUACAAGAACUGCCUGAAUCAAUUACCAGCCUCUGCAACUUGCAAUCCUUGAAUCUUUCAGGCUGCCGUAAGAUCCGUACAUUACCCAAAUUUCUAGGAAAGCUUACGAAUUUGCAGAAUUUAGAUUUAAGUGAUUGCCGAUCUCUGACAAUACCUGACUCCAUUAGCAACCUUCAGAAUUUGUACGCACUAAAUUUGAGUUGGUGCAAAAGGGUGAUAUCACUUGAAUCGAUAUGUCACCUCAAAAACCUGCAUUACCUAAACCUAUCAGAUCUAAAGUUUAUGGAGACUUUACCAAAAUCCAUUGAGAGCCUUCAAAACUUGCGUAUUCUGAAUCUUUCUAACUGCAUUUCUCUGCUAUCAUUACCCUCAUCAUUAUGUGAUCUCAAAAACCUGCAUGACUUAAACCUAUCACGUCUAAAAUCUUUGGUGAUAUUACCUGAAUCCAUUGGGAGCCUUCAAAACUUACGUAUUCUGAAUGUUUCUAAAUGCCAUUCUCUACUAUCAUUACCCUCAUCGUCAAGUGAUCUUCAGCAUUUAGAGAAACUUGACAUCAGUGGUUGUAAAAAAUUAUGUGAGCUGCCUAAA